CACCACGGGAGCUAUCAUCUACGCUAGUGCUGCCAAGAUCAGUUUCUACGUCAAAGGGAAGAAGGAAAUAUUUUUCUUCAAGAACAAGACUACACAAAUUCAAGAUCAAACCAGACGUAAAUCAAGGAAGAGGACCAACAGGAGAAACAGGAACAAGCAAGUGUGGACCGAGUCAGCAAAGAUGGUCACUGCAGUUCAUGGAGGCCAAGAUCAUCAACUUAAGUCACCGUUUUUGACCAAGAAAGACGAUCCAGGAAUGCCAAGCAUCUACUGCUCCAUACAUGGAUAUAGCUUCUAUAAGACGAUUUGCGACACCGGAUCGGGCGUCAACAUAAUGGCCGCAGUCACCUAUCGGCUCUUGUUCGGAACCAUGCCACUAAGACCAACAUACAUUCAGCUCCAGAUGGCAGAUCAGACAUUUCGAGAAGUUAAAGGAACAAUAACUGAUGUCCCAGUCAAAAUAGACGAUCACUUUGUCUACACAGACUUUCAAGUUGUUGACAUGGGAGAAGACGAGUAUGAUCCACCCAUCAUCCUUGGAAGACCGUUCCUCAGCACCGUUAAAGCAAUUAUCUACAUUGGAACCGGAGAAGUCCAUAUGCACUUCCCCUCAGAGAAGGUACGCCAUUACUUUAUUGACCCUAACUAUAUCGUUGAAGAAUCUAAGCAGGUCAGAAAGAGACGCAACCGCAACCAGAGGAGGCAGAUCAUCAAGGACGGAUGGGCAGACUAUGAAGGAGAAGUUGUAAGAUCAGAAGACGUAGAAUUUAAACAGAAUUAUCCAGAGGAAAUUGAAGCACCGAGUCAGGUAUGGAAAAUGAAGAUAACUAUACAAGAAGAGGAGACGCUGCCGGAAGUACCGACUACGCCACCCAACGAACCUCAGGACGAUUAAGAAAUUGGAGAGUCCCGUUCGGAGGACUUAAAAACACCGAACGCCUUGCCAAGAGGUAAACUUGGUAGUUAUCCUUUCCCUUUCAAUUAGUUUACGUAGUUAAUUAUGUUCGUACUAUCCUAAAAAGAAAAUAAAAAUAUGAAAAACUGUAAGCCCCAUGUGAGUAGACGAGUGGCAUAAAACCCAUAAGUACAUUCACUGUGGUGGCAUAAAAAUAAAAUAAAUAUUUUUCUGCUUUAUAAAACAAAAAUAUAAAAACAGGGAGUAAUAAUUAUUAAGGAGUCUCAAGAUGAUAAAAGCUAGAUAUUUAUGCUAACACUUAAUCAGUUCCACAAGCUUUGUUGUCUAUUUGAGCUCCACAGGAAUCAAGAAGACUAGCAGACGGAGGACAUUCUAAUCGCUGUCAGAAUGCUGCUGACUUUCAAAUACACCUCUGCCACCUGCUAGCUACAUCAAGAGAAAUUACGUCAAAAUUCAGCUUGGGGGAGAGCACCCCCAUUUAUCUCGAUAAGUAUUUCUAUCCAUCUAUCUUUACACUUAUAUUAUUUUAGAAUACAAAUAUACAUAAACCAGGGAAAACCAAAUAAAGAUUUCGUGCUUAUAUAUAUAUAUAUCUUUUGCUUAAUAAAUAAAUAAAGUGGCUAUGCUAAUCUGUAUCUAAAUAAAACUUAAGCAUGGAUAUGAUGAAUAGUUGCUCUGCCUAAUUUGCACAAUUUAAGUUCUCUCUCAAGUUUAGAUAUAACUGUUAUAAUUUAAAGCUUGCUCUAGACCUAAACUUGUGGGAUGAAAACUUGAUCUGAAGUCUAAGUUGUUAACGGAUACGAUAUGAGAAGGUUGAGCUGCUGUUUAUCUGUUCCUAGAGAUGCUAGAAUUCUGGAGAAUUUUAUCUUUGAAAAAUCUUUAAAAUGUUGCAUGAUGAGUUCCUGUAUGAUGAGAGUUUAAAUUCCUACCACAGCCAUAUAUACAUGCUUGCUAGACUUUGAGCCACACAUUUAAUAUUUACUGCUUAUGAGCAUUGAGUGUGGUCAAGCUGUGUAGACCCUUAGGAGCUUGUCAUGUGGUUAAAUCAAGAUUUCACUUGCACGUUCACCCAUAUAUGCUACUUCUAUUCCGGAAGUACCAUCCACAUAUAUCCAUCCAUUUCCAUCUCCAGAACCACCUAAAAAUAUUCUACUCCUAAUCCGGGAGAGAAUAACCAAAAAUAUUUCUGUUUUCCUCUUGUGAAAUAAAUGCUCAAGUUAUCUUAUUACUACCACUUGCUAUAUUAUCUCAAGAGAUGGUUGCUCUAAAAAAAAAGAGAUACGAGGAAAUAAAAAGGAGCAAGUGCUCGGAACCUCGAAAGAAAAGAAAAAAGUGAGACGAGAGGUAAAAAUGGACAAGUGUCCGACAGUAGAAUUAGGGGUACAAGAUACCCACCUGAGAGAAAAGAAAAAAGAAGAGCAUCUCAUUCUCCUCAUAAAGUUUCAAAAGCAAGGAAGGUAUGUAUCCCCUCAAAAGAGCAAAAGUAGAAUUAGAUUUCCACCACCAUUGUUUUCACUAUUGUUAUCACCAUCAUCACCAUACAUCAUUCAUCCGCCACACAUGCACAUCUUGAUUUGGCUUAAUGAUUUGUUUCUUUGGAUCCAUGGUUUGACUAUGCAAUAAAUGUCUUGUAAGUAUGUAUACUUUAUGUCCCACCUAUGAGCUCCAGAUAUUAAAGCCUUAUUAGAGUAGGGUGAGAGAGAAGGCAAUGUCACUAUGCCUCAUACCACAAAUACCACAUAUCUUGAGAGAAGGCAUAUACCAUCACUGCCUUGGUAAGGAUACAAAAAUACCACAAAAGAGAGAUCGGAGAGAAUCAUACAAGGAAUCUCUGAGUUUUAUUUGAAAAUCUGCAAAAAACCCCAGAGCUAUAGCUGAUCAAGAAUAAGAGACAUGGCACUUGACUAGACUGUUCUAUCUUUUAACUACUCAAGACAGAAGUGACAGUUACAAGUCCCAUGGUGUAGGAAAAGUAAGUAAGUUUUAAGUCUUGACAGUUUACUCUAACUCAGAGAUGAGAUCUUAAAAAGCAUGUGUACCGUCAAUUUUUUUUAUAUUGCAACAACUUAUGAUCCAUAGCUGAGUCUAUCCUUGCUCAGGGACGAGCAAGAGGUAAGCUUGGGGGAGUUUGUUGACGGUCCUUAAGUAUCAAAUUUAAUUAUCAAAUAAAUAAAGAAAAGGAUCCAAAUGAAAUCAAGAUCUAGACUUAGGGUUUUAUCUGACAGAAUUCCACGAGUUUUGGUGUUUGUCUAUUUCUGCAGGGGGUUAUCAGGAAAUAUGGAAGAAAGGCCCACAUGUUAGGAUUACGUAAAGAUAUUAACGUGCCGCACAAUUAUCUUACAUCUAGAAGACUCCAGAAGCCACGAGACCGAAGCGGAGGCGAAUCGGGGCCAGAGACAGGGCGCCCGCCCUGUCCUACUGGGCGCCCGCCCUGCCCCCAAGUCCAAUCAGGACUCUACUUUGCGGGAGAUCUCCACCGACCUAAAGGAUGAAUCUAAACCAUACAAUCUAUGUCGGUUUGAUCCAAGGGCCCAUAUUCACUUGAAGGGACUAUAAAACCAGACCCCCUGGCCCCUGGAGGGGAGAGCCUCUCAACCCUAAUUCAUUGUUCCAUCAAGGGAGAAGAAGCCUCUGAUCAAGAUUAGAGCCACCACAUCAAUUAGACAUCUAGAUUAGCAUAGCUACAUAGGAUUAGAACUAGAAGGAGUCAAUCUUCGAUUGGUUUCCGGAUCUGUCAAGAGGAUUCUUGGUAAUUCUCUAAUUGUGCUUCUAAUUGUUCUUCUAAUUAUCUUUGUUCUUCAAUAUUAUGAAUAUGACUUUGUUCUACUUCAAUAUAUUGCUUAUGACUUUGCUCUACUUGCUUAUAUUCAAGAUUAUAUUGUUCUUAGUUUAUCCUAGUUAUGUACUUGGCUUAGUUAGAUUUGAUCUAUAUACAUGCUUAGGAUCGUAUAGCGUUUAUCCAUCGGAUCCAUGGGUAAAUGAUAGAUAUUGUGUAGGCGUGGUGCUUAUACCGUAUUUAUCUGCGAUUGUACCCAAUAUGCCAGAUCGUGGGGUGGUUCGUGAUAGUGACAGCUUCAUUGAUUCUUAUAUAGUCCCCCUCUCGUGUAUUGGGCUGGCAGAGCAACAUUAUUAUAGGGGAGUGAUUGCUAUGUUUCUCAUAUUCCUUGCUAAUAUCACUAUGCAUGGGCGUAGUCUUGUCUCGCAAUGAUUGCUAAGUAUGCUUGCACUAACUAUGAUAAUGCUAGACUAUAUAGUUAAGAAUAACUUAGGGAAUAUUCUUGUAGUUCGUUCUAAUACCAUGCUAAUGACUUUCUAGAGUAUCUAAUUGAGGUGCUUAUCAUAUUUAUUAUGUGGCUAGAUCAGAUUAGUUAUCCUUGUCACUAUUAUUAUUUCAUAUAUCUUUUAUGUGACACUUAUCCCUGUAUGAAGAGUUAGAUAUAAUGUUCUCAAUUAUACAUGCAAUGGUAGAUGCUCAAUCUCAUAUGCUAUUCUGUAAUCAAUAUUGAUGAUUGAUUAAUCCCUUCCCAGUGGUAAAAAUAUAAAUAACGAUACCUGGAAUACUUCCCGGUUAAAAUGCUGCAUCGGUAUUAAUCUGUGCGCUUGCAGAUCCCAUUCAUUAUUUAUUUAGAAGAGCAAUUGCAUAUUUCAAUACCGCGUCUCUUAUAUCAUGCUGGGGAUGACAACUUGGCUUAAGUGGUGUAAGGGAUAGGUUUGGCAUUUUUGGCACUGUUACUAGAUUUAGAGAACUUAGUCUACUUUUGGUAAUGAUGUUAAGAAUACCCAACAGCUGGUGCUGAGUGUUGACGGUCCUUAAGUACCAAAUGUAAUCAUCAAAUAAAUAAAGAAAAGGUUUCGAAUGCAACCAACACCCAGACUUAGGGUUUUAUCUGACAGAAUUCCAUGAGUUUUGGUGUUUGUCUAUUUCUGCAGGGGGUUAUCAGGAAAUAUGGAAGAAAGGCCCACACGUCGGGAUUACAUAGAGAUAUUAACGUGCAGCGCAAUUUUCUAUCAUCUAGAAGACUCCAGAAGCCACGGGAACAAACGGGAAGGCGAUCGGGCCCAGGGGCAGGGCGCCCGCCCUCCCCCCUUGGGCGCCCGCCCUGUUGCAGAGACCAAUCAGGUCACGUCUCGCGGAUUACGCUCCACCGACCUAAAGGAUCAAGGAUAACCGUUCAAUUAAUGUCGGUUUGAUCCGACGGCCCAGAUUCACUUGAGGGGACUAUAUAAGCAGACCCCCUAGCCCCUGGAGGAGAACAAGUUCAUUAUAGAGUUGAGAGGUGCCCUCGAAGGAUAACCUUUCCUCUACAUAGACUUAGGGCUUAGCAUCCAAUGUGAGAGUACACUAGAUCUACUAGAUUGAGAGAGAUAGAGUGGAGGUAUAGAUCGGAGGAAGCCCGGCCUGUCGGUGUCUACUCCGAGGUUGUACCUACAGGAUCAAGUCUUCUAACCCGAGGCUUGCUCCUAGGAUUCUUCAGUAUUUCGACUUCUAAAUUCUAGUAAGUUCUUGUUUUAUUGUUCUUUGGUUUAUGAGUUUACUUUGAUCUCUUCGCGUAGAGUUUAGAGUAAUCAUCUCUAGCGUAAACGUGGUGUUUGGGCUAGGAUACUCAUAGAUAUCCCCUGACUAGCUGGACCGUGGUAGUAGCGAGGAACGUGACAUUUCCGAGUUACCUUUGCAGCCCAUAUCCCGUUAGCAGGAUCGAUAGGGUUUAUAGGUGCGGGUCGAACAUCCUCUGUGGUGUUCCGUGAGCCUCCCCAAUAGAAUAGUAGAUCAUCCUUACCAAGGUUAGAACGAGAUUACGGUUGUAGUCUUCUCUAUACAUUGCUCACAUCGAGAAACAUUCUUUGUAGCCUAAAGGGUAGUAGCAAUAGAUUUGGUUAGUCAGAUGCACGCUUUCUCCCAGUGGUAAAAAUAUAAAUACGAUACUCUAGAUAACCUCUCGGAUGAAGUGCUCACCGAUAUCCGUGCGCUUGCGAAUCAAUUCCUGAUGGCGUUACCAAAUAUCAACAAGCAUUUCUGGCACCGUUGCCAGGGAGAAAGACGGUUUGCUGAGAUAACUUUAAGUCUUGCUAUUAUCUUGUAUUAUACUUUUAUACUUUUAUUCUUUUAUCUUUUUAUUUUUUCCAUCUUUAUGGAUAACUCAAAUUCCACACCUAUUAUUGAAUUUUUUGCACCUUCAGAGACCAGCCAUAGACCAUGGGAGUCAACAAGUCCUUUCUUUGCCCCUAAUUAUGAUCUGUGUCCGCAGUUGAUUGCAAUAGGUCAAAACCAACCCUUUUCUAUAGCUGAGGUCCUAUCUUUUAAUCAAGAAGAUAAUGAACUUUUAGCUACACCUAGGGAAUCUGUUAAUCUUUAUAUAAAUUCUAGUUUAAACCUAACCCUACAAGACCAUGUUUUUUCUCGAUAUUUUCACAUUGGUCUUAAUCAUAUAACCUUUGGUAGUCUUUCUUUCUUUAUCUAUUAGUAAAGGAAGGUAUGUCUUCAUUCGUGGACAUCCUUCUUGCACUAGUCUUCAUAAAAAAUUCCUAGAGAUAGAGAAGGAAUCAUAUCCCAGACAAGGAAAGGAAGUUUCAAUAGCCGAUUUCCAAACAUUUCAAUCCCAUGAUUCGGCUAUCCAACCCAUCCUUGAGCUUAAUAAUUUCUACUAUGCUCUUUCUCUUGAAUCUCCCAAUGAUCCUAUGAAUCUCUCUAGACAUCCCAUGUAUAAGAGUCACCAAGACCAUAAGGAGGAUCGAGAAGAGCAACAUCAAUGGCUAGAGGGCAUUAAAAACGCAUGUGCUAUCACCAUUGAAUGGAUGGACAAGGAAGAAGCCUUAAUGGAUUCUAACUUUGGCUCAAUUUCAAAUGGUGAGUUCUUAACUCCCUUUAAAGAUGAGAUUCAUCCAACUACAAAAGAGGACAUAGGCAAGACCAAUCUAGGAGAAACUCCGAACAUUCAGAUUGGAGACGAAGAUAACAUUAAUGAGCAUGGAAUUUAUUUCAUAGCCACUUCAUUUACUCCAUGCUCAUAUGCAACAUCUUCCCAAUCUAUUGGUCUCUCCAACAUCACCACAUUUGAGAUCUCCAACCCCCCUUCCUUUCUAUUUAUAAAAACUUUAAAAGGACGGUUGUCGAUGCAUAUGUCUAUAAUAAAUAUUGCAGAUCUCGUUGAGUUGAUCUUGAUACAGGUCAGAGUUGGAGGGGAAACCACUUCGCCGACAUAAAUUGAUGGUUUCCCAAGGACAAGCUUAGUGUCCUAAAACAAGCACUGAUCAGAUCGUAACAUGAGCGGUUAAUUAUUUGCAACAUUACCUUGUGUAUUGAGCAUAUAAGGACAAUUGUAAAAAUAUUCCUUCGGGUAUUCUUGCCACUAACCUUUCCAGGAUUGGAGCAAGAAGAUCGGAUGAAUGACACACACAAGGUAUGUCCAACCAACCAUCAUACAACAUUCAAUUAAAUUCAUCCAAACUUGAAUUUUGCAAAAUUCAAGCUUGGGGGAGUACUUUACAUAAAAACAUCCUUUGGCAUGUUGCUAUGUUGGUUGUCCCUACCUUUGAGACAUGCUCAAUUUGUUAAAUACUAAUCACACUACUUCAUCUCCACUUGAGUAGAUCUCUAUAAAUGCUCUCAUGCUACCUUUGUUUGCUUUAGUAUAUGUCUAGGUUUGGAGUAGUUUCAUUUAUCUCUUAAUUAAGCAUGGUGCUUAGUUUAGGAAUGAUGAUCUUACUUCCAAGGGUUUUUAAAUUAAGCAUGGUGCUUAGGUUAAAAUGCCCUCCUAAAUCAAAUUAGACAUGGUGUCUAGGUUGAUUUUUGAGCCGAUAGUAUGCUAUAGUAGAUAUGGGAUAUUUUGUCGGACUAACCCCUGCAGAAAAACUUUCAAUAUCGACCUGGGAAGUCCUGAGAUAAACUCACAUUGGAGACAAAGAGAGAGACACAUGAAGUUUGACAAUUUACACAAGGAAGACAUAGCUCAUAAGACAUGAUGCAUGGAGGGUGCCACAAACACGAUGCACGACCGCUAAGAAAGGAAAGCUUCCACAAGGUGAUACUAUACCAUCACUCUUCAAGUAAGGAAACAUCUUAUGGUACUUGACUACCGCUCUUAUAAGCUUCUCCUUGGUUCUGGCGUUCACAUAAAAUAAAGAGAAAAACAUGUAUGAUUUGUAACUCCAAAUUAACCAACCCAAUUAAUUCAACAUGUUUAGUCCUUUAAUCUUUGUUCUUAGUACUACCUUCGUGAUCCCACACUCCUAAUCAUAUAAGCUAAAAUGUGCACAUUCAAUCUUUGGAAGAUAUAAACAAAACAUAAAUAUAGAUAGAUUAUCUUUCCAUUAGGUUGAGCAAUCUGAUCUGACAAAUGUUUUAAAUGCUACACUCAUGAUCUUAUUAUCCAUCAACUUUGUCUUGCUCUCUAUGCUUAUGGUUAGAGAAGAACAAAUAUACUUUUGGUUCUGUUGGUGUUUUUCACCAACAGGGCCCAUGCACUUGAUCUCUGCCUUGUCUUUAUGAGCAGGUACACUUCAAGCAAAACCUGAAGAAGUUUUACAACUCCCAGCUUCUUCCAAGUGAAGGACCUAGAUCUACGAGCACAAACACACUGGAGAUACUGGACACUCAGGCAAUCACUGCCCUGAGAUGCUUGAGGACGUAAAGUACAUCAACAACAACAACAACUACUACAAGCGUCCUCAACAAAACUAAGGUUGGAAUCAAUAGAGGCCUAACUACUCACCUUGCAGAUCGGACACUCAGUUUCCCAAAGGAAAUAUUGAAGAACCUCUGCGUCCGAGUUGGUACCUUGUACGCUCCAGCAGACUUCAUGGUGAUAGAGACUGGUACUGAUGAGAGGGUACCCAUCAUCCUAGGGAGGCCAUUUCUGAACACCUCGAGAGCUGUCAUCUACGCUAGUGCUGCCAAGAUCAGUUUCUACAUUAAGGGGAAGAAGGAGACUUUCCUUCAAGAACAAGACUACACAAAUUUCAGAGCAAUCCCAACAUGAACUAAGGGAGAGGACCAACAGGAGGAACAGGAACAAGCAAAUGUGGACUGAGUCAGCUAAGAUGGUCACUACAGCUCAAGGAGGUCAAGAUCGUCGACUCAAGUCGCCUUUCUUGAUCAAGAAGGACGACCCUGGUGUUCCAAGCAUCGAGUACACAAUCAACGGAUACUCUUUUCAGAAGACACUCUACGACACCGGAUCUGACGUCAACAUAAUGGCCACAGACACUUAUCAGCUCUUGCAUAGAACCAUGCCCCUACAACCAACAUACAUUCAGCUCCAGAUGAUUUUCAGGUUAUUGAUAUGGGAGAAGACGAUACGAUCCGCCCAUCAUCCUUGGGAGACCGUAGCACUGAAUCAGGUAUGGAGAGAGAAGAUAGUUAUACACGAAGAGGAGGCGCCGCCGGAACCACCGACUACGCCAUCCAGCGAAUCCCAGAACGACUGAGAAAACGGAGAGUCCCGUUCGGAGGACUUAAAAACACCAAACGCCUUGCCAAGAGGUAAACUUGGUAGUUAUCUUUUUCCCUUCAAUUAUUUAAAAUAGUUUGCUUAGUUAAUCAAGUUCAUAUCAUCUCGAAAAGAAAAUAAAAAUGUUAAAAUAGUAAGCCCCAUGUGAAGUAUGCUCAUGGCAGAAAAUCCAUAAGUACAUUCACUGUGGUGGUGUAAAAAUAAAAUAAAUUUAUUCCUGUCCUAUAAAAAUAAAAAUAUAAAAAAAAUAAAUUUAUGAUCCUACUAAAGAGAGUAACAUUUAUUGAGGAGGCUCAACAUGAUAAAGGCUAGAUUUUAUGCUAACACUUAACCAGUUCCACAAAGCUUUGUUGUCUAUUUGAGCUCCAUAGAAUUUAAGGAUCAAAGAAGACUAGCAGAUGGAGGACAUCCUAAUCGCUGUCAGGGUGCUGCCGACAUUCAGAUACACCUCCGUCACCUGCUAGCUACAUCAGAAUAAAUUACGUCAAAAUCUAGCUUGGGGGAGAGCACCCCCAUUUAUCCAGCUAAGUGUUUCUACUCGCGUUUAUACUUUACUCAAAUAAUAAAAAGAUGCAUAAUCAUGAAAACCCAAAUAAAAAUUUUUGUACUUAUAUAUAUCUUUGCUUAGUUUACUAAAUAAAUAAAUAAAGUGUCUAGGCCAAACUGAAACUAAAUGAUAAGCUCUCACAUGGAAAUGAUGAAUAGUUGCUCUGCCAUGACUAGUUCUCAAAACUAAAAUCUCUCUCAAGUUUAGGCAUAACUGUUAUAAUUUAAACCUGCUCUAAACCUGAACUUGUGGAAAGAGUACUUGAUCUAAAUUCUAAGUUGUUAACGAAUAUGAUAUGGGAAGGUUGAGCUGCUGUUUAUCUGUUCCUAGAGAUGCUAGAAUUCUGGAGAAUUUUAUCUUUGAAAAUCUUUAAAAUAACACAUGAUGAGUUCCUGUAUGAUGAGAGUUUAAAUUCCUACCACAGCCAUAUAUACAUACUUGCUAGACUUUGAGCCACACAUUUACUUUUUACUGCUUAUGAGCAUUGAGUGUGGUCAAGCUGUGUAGACCCUUAGGAGCUUGUCAUGUGGUUAAAAUCAAGAUUCACUUGCACGUUCACUCAUACAUGCUACUUCUACUCCGGAAGUACGCAUCCACAUAGAUCCACUCAUUUUUAUCUCCAGAGCCACCCAAAAGUAUUCUACUCCUAAUCCGGGAGAGAAUAGCCAAAAACAUUCUCCUAUUUCUGUUUUUUCCUAUGAAAUAAAUGCUCGAGUUAUCUUGGUUACUACCACUUGCUAUAUUAUUUUAGGAGAUGAGUGCUCUAAAAAAAAGAAAGAAUACGAGGAAAUAAAAAGGGGCAAGUGCUCGAAACCUCGAAGAAAAGAAAAAGUGAGACGAGAGGUAAAAAUGGACAAGUGUCCGACAGUAGAAUUAGGGGUACAAGAUACGCACCUGAGAGAAAAGAAAAAGAAAAUAUAGAGCAUCUUAUUCUCCUCAAAAAGCUUCAAAGUGCAAGAAAGGUAUGUAUCCCCUUAAAAGUGCAAAAGUAGAAUUAGACUUUCACCAUUGUUAUCACCAUCAUCACCAUACACCAUUCACUCGCCACACAUGCACAUUUUGAUUUGACUUAUUGACUUGUUUCUCUGGAUCCAUGGUUUGACUAUGCAAUAAAUGUCUUGUAAGUAUGUAUUAUCUGUCUCCCACCUAUGAGCUCCAGAUAUCAAAACCUUAUUAGAGUAGGGUGAGAGAGAAGGCAAUAUCACUAUGCCUCAUACCAAAAAUACCAUAUACUUUCAGAGAAGGCAUAUACCAUUACUGCCUUGGAAAGGAUCCAGAAAUACCACAAAAGAGAGAUUUGAGAGAGUCAUACAAGGAAUCUCUCAGUUUUAUUUGAAAAUCUGCAAAAACUCCAGAGCUAUAGCUGAUCAAAAAUACGAGACAUGGCGCUUGACUUGACCGUUCUAUCUUUUAACUGCUCAAGACAUAAGUGACGGUUGCAAGCCCCAUGGUGAAAGGUAAAAUGAGUAAGUUUUAAGUCUUAAUAGUUUACUCUAACUCAGAGAUGAGAUCUUGCUUGAACGCACGUGUACUUUUAAGGCAUGAAACCACUGCAGAAACUCUUGAGUCCAUCCUUGCUCAGGGACGAGCAAGAGGUAAGCUUGGGGGAGUUGUUGACGGUCCUUAAGUACCAAAUAUAAUCAUCAAAUAAAUAAAGAAAAGGAUCCGAAUGCAACCAACACCCAGACUUAGGGUUUUAUCUGACAGAAUUCCAUAAGUUUUGGUGUUUGUCUAUUUCUGCAGGUGGUUAUCAGGAAAUAUGGAAGAAAGGCCCACACGUCGGGAUUACAUAGAGAUAUUAACGUCCCACGCAAUUUUCUAUCAUCUAGAAGACUCUGGAAGCCACAGGAAUGAACGGGAAGGCGAUUGGGCCCGGGGGCAGGGCGCCCGCCCUCCCCCCUUGGGCGCCUGCUCUGUUGCAGAGACCAAUCAGGUCCCAUCUUGUGGAUUACACUCCACUGACCUAAAGGAUCAAGAAUAACCGUUCAAUCAAUGUCGGUUUGAUCCGACGGCCCAGAUUCACUUGAGGGGACUAUAUAAGCAGACUCCCUGGCCCCUGGAGGAGAACAAGUUCAUUAUAGAGUUGAGAGGUGCCCUCGAAGGAUAACCUUUCCUCUACAUGGACUUAGGGCUUAGCAUCCAAUGUGAGAGUAGACUAGAUCUACUAGAUUGAGAGAGAUAGAGUGGAGGUGUAGAUCGGAGGAAGCCCGGCCUGUCGGUGUCUACUCCGAGGUUGUACCUACGGGAUCAAGUCUUCUAACCCGAGGCUUGCUCCUAGGAUUCUUCAGUAUUUCAACUUCUAAAUUCUAGUAAGUUCUUGUUUUAUUGUUCUUUAGUUUAUGAGUUUACUUUGAUCUCUUCGCGUAGAGUUUAGAGUAAUCAUCUCUAGCGUAAACGUGGUGUUUGGGCUAGGAUACUCAUAGAUAUCCCCUGACUAGCUGGACCGUGGUAGUAGCAAGGAACGUGACAUUUCUGAGUUACCUUUGCAGCCCAUAUCCCGUUAGUAGGAUCGAUAGGGUUUAUAGGUGCGGGUCAAACAUCCUCUGUGGUGUGUAGAUUCCGUGAGCCUCCCCAACAGAACAGUAGAUCAUCCUUACCAAGGUUAGAACGAGAUUAUGGUUGUAGUCUUCUCUAUACAUUGCUCACAUCGAGAAACAUUCUUUGUAGCCUAAAGGGUAGUAGCAAUAGAUUUGGUUAGUCAGAUGCACACUUUCUCCUAGUGGUAAAAAUAUAAAUACGAUACUCUGGAUAACCUCCUGGGUGAAGUGCUCAACGAUAUCCGUGCGCUUGCGGAUCAAUUCCUGAUGGCGUUACCAAAUAUCAACACUGAGCACCCUUGGGACUUACUGUCCAUGCUUGGGGAGUGCUAGGAAAGCCUCUAACUCACUUGUGCUUGCAAGAAUGCGAAUCAAUAGCGAGUGAGUGAUUCUAGUGCGUUGCAUUGAGAGAUUGCAUCGAGUGGCACUAGGCGUUCAUGUUGCAAGCCGGUGGUGCUUGUUACUCUUGGAGGUUGCCACCUCCUAGAUGGCUUGGUGGCUUGUGACUCCGUCGAAGCACGCAAGGAGAUUGUGCGGUGCUCCGGAGAAGAUAUUGUGAGGGGUACGGUGCUCACCCUGCGGGGAUCGCGAAGAGCAACUCUAGUUGAGCGAGACGUGAAGAGCGACAAGUGGUCCGGCCGGGUCAAGUGCUAGAGCUUGUGGUAAGCACUCCACGUGUGAGAGUGUGACUUGUGGGUCACCACUAGCAAGAGGACCGGCGGCAACCUUGGAGCUUGUCUCAACGGGGACGUAGCUUGGUGGCAACCAAGUGAACCUCGGGAGAAAAUCAUCGUGUCAACAUUGUUCUUCCUGUUGGUUUGCAAGUCCCCAAAACAAGCUUGUUCUUACAUUCAUAUACUUGAGCUUGUGUAGUUGCUCUUGUAAUUAGUUAGCUUGUGUAGCUUGCUAGUUACCUUCUUGCUUGUGUAGCUAGAAGUAGUUCCCUUGCGUGACUAAUUUGGUUUGUGUAACCUUGUUAGUCACAUUGCUUAGUUUGUGUAGCUAAGUAAUUUGUGCUCUCUAAUUUGGCAUUGGUUGCCUUGUUAUUGAUCAUUGCUAGUGAGUUUAGGAGCUUUGUGCUUUUGCUUACUAGUUGUGUAGGAGCUCUCCCGGUUUGCAAAGUACUAGUGGCAUAGGUUUAUGUGACCUUGCUCCUAGAAUUGGUUAGGUGAGCUCUUGCUAAGGUAGCACCUUGCUUGCUUGUUUAGGAUCUUUUCAAGGUGCUAGAGAACUUAGAUAGAGGGGUGUAGUCUUGGCUAGACCGAUAGUUUUAAUUCCGCAUUUGUUUCGGUUAGCCGACGUAAUAAGUUUUAAAAAGGACUAUUCACCCCCCUCUAGUCCGCCAUCUCGACCCUUCAGUCGGUCGUCUCUGUGUUGGAGCUACCAAGCUAGAGUUAGAUAUGUGUUUUAUUUUCGCUUGUUGCCAAACUUUGAUAUUCGUUGUUGUAAAUUUUGAGACAUAAUCCAUUUCAUUGAUAUUUAUCCUUAAAUUUGGGUGUGACAAAUUGGUAUCAAAGCAAGGCUGACUAUAGAACGCAAACCUAGGUAGAAACGGACGACCUUAGGAUUUUCUUUUUAUUUCAUUUAUUUCACAGCUUAAUUCACCUUCUUGUUAUUUUAUUAAAAUUUUAUGUUCUUAUGCAUUGUUCUAUUUAUGCAAACCUAUUGAUUCUAAUUCUUAAAUUAAAAUUUAUAGAUGCCUCGUCGCAGCACAGCCGUGUACCGUGCCCUCUUCACCGUCACUCGUGCCCCGCCAGUUGUACAUGCACCUGUACCUGCACCAGUACCUGCACCUAAGCCUGUGGUCGUCGCCUCUGCCAGCGGUGAAGAGGAGGAGCCAAUGGACCUAGAGUUUCCUAUGCCUACACCUUCAACACCCACCCUGGUGGCAGUACCGACCCCGCAGGUCGACGCUCCAGUUCCUCCUGCUGCACCUGCGCCUGCACCGAACGCGUCUACGGGUUCAGCGCCGACUCCUCAGCACCCACUAGUUGUCCCAGAGAUAGGAUGGACCUCCAGGAACAAGUUCAUGGAUGCUGACGAGGAUGCUCACUACCACACUCUGCUCACAGGUGUGUUGGCGAGCUACUACCCGGAGUUUGCUGCCACCGUUCACUACCUCUGCUCGAAGCAUAAGCAUCCCCUGGAGGACACUUACUGGAAGACCGAGGUGAUCAUCACACAGCUCGAAACAAUGUGGACAACUCAGACGAAGUGGAGUCCAUCCAUGAGAGCAAGGUUAGGCGUGCUUCCGCCUAUGAGAGCAUGGAGGAUGCAGCCCAAGCUACAUACUUUUACUACCAUGGUCGUCGUUUUGUGGCCAUGCAAGAGGAUAGGUACCGAUUCUUUCCCCACAAUGAUCCAGAUGGCAGGACAUGGCAUGUCCUGGCACCUCCUGCUGUUGAUCCUACUUUGAACACUACAGUGAGGCACGUUAGUGCCAUCCAUGAGAAGAAUGUGGCACUUAGACAGGAGCUACGUGCUUCACAGCAGGUGGGGAAGAGCCUCUAGAAGCAAGAGGAUGAGCUACGUGGCCAGCUUGGACAGCCACCUAUCUAUAAGAAGAAGCCACGCAAGUUUGUUAUGCAGGAUAGAGCUCCCUAGAUGUCCCAGUGCUUUCUACUUAAACGUUAAAACGAGUGGUUUCGGUUAUGUGUGGCGUGUGAACUUUCAGUAUGCUGCUGCUUGUGAUUAUGAACAUUUGUGAUUUGGAGUUUUGUUUGAUUGUGGGAAUAUGUGGGCCUGUCUGCAUGUUUCUAAAAUUUAAUCUUAGUAGUAGAUGUUGAUUAAUGUGAGGUUGGGUUACUUUAUCACUGUCUCAACCAUACUGAUUCUGGAGCAGUCUGUGAUGUUUAUUCUAUAUCUCGUAUUUGGUUUAGUCAAAAAUUACAAAAUUUUUAUGGAGAAGACUAGACUGACAUAUAUUUCAUCUUCAUCUGGAAUCACUUUAUUAUCUGUUCGGGUCUGUGAGAUAUGCUGGUUUUAAUCUGUUGUGUCUGCGCAGACUGAGAACCAAAGCAGAAACUGAUUAACUACAGUUUUGAUUAUGUUACUGUUGGAAUCAGUAAAUAAGGUCUGAAUAAAAUUUGUAGGGAAUUUCUUAACCUUUCCAACGAUGUAUGCCAUGUCCCUAUUGGAUCUCUAGGGUUUGAGAUGAGCACGAUUUACUGACCUGCUAAUUUUGAAACUGGUCCAGAAAACUGCUAGUCUUGUUUUUUUAUUCAUUAUAAGCGAUGAAUAAUUAUUUUGGAAGAUCACUAAAAGCCGUGAACCUUUGUUUGGAAGCAGAUGGAUGCCGAAGGAGCAAGCUGUGGUCGUGGACAUGGUCGUGGCCGUGGGCGUGGUGUACCUGAGAAUCUGCCACCACCACCGCCGCCGAUGACCAUCGAACAACUCAUGGGGGUGCAAGCCAACUUGAUGCAAGCUAUGAUGAAUCGCAUGAACAAUGAACCUGUAGCAGCACCACCACCGGUCCAGGUCCGCGACAAGCAUGGGGAGUUCUUGAAAGGACGUCCCCCGGUGUUCACCCAUGCCUCUGAUCCACUGGAGGCUGAUGACUGGUUAAAGGUGGUCGAGAAGCAGUUGAAUAUAGCCCAGUGCAGCGACCUUGAGAAAGUGUUGUAUGCCUCUGGCCAACUGCAAGGACCUGCUCAAGAGUGGUGGGAGUCCUAUUAAUAUGGACACUCAAACAAUGCCCCACCAGUUACCUAGAAGGAGUCCACUGAGGGGUUCAGGUCCCAUCAUAUUCCAGAGGGUCUAAUCGAACUGAAGGCGGAAGAGUUCUAGUCUCUCAAGCAGGGAUCGAUGAUAGUUAGUGAGUAUCAUGACAAGUUUGCACAAUUGUCAUGAUAUGCUCCAUAUGUGGUGGCCAGAGACUUAGACAAGCAACGCCUUUUCUUGAAGGGCUUAUAUAAUGUACUGCAACUGUAGUUGAUGAGCAACACCUAUCCCUGUUUCCAAGAAUUGUUGAACCGCGCUAUUGUCAUCGACAACAAGCGCAAGGAGAUGGACGCGAAGAAGAGGAAGCUCUAGGGGUAGCCGUCAGGCAGCAAUACUCGCCCAUGUGCAUAUCCUAAGCAGGGAUUCCCUCAGCGUAAUCAGGGGCCACCAAAUCAGUGGAACCGUGGACAGUUCCCUCAGCACCCUCAAUACCACCACCAGUACAGCCACCAGAACCAACAACACCCUCAGCAGCAGUUUGGCAAUCAGAACCAUUAGUGCCCCCAGCAACAAGUCAGCAAUUAGGCACCACGCCAAAGAGUGCCCAACAAUGCUCCUGGCAAAAACGUAGCAACCAGCGGCAACCCCAAUGCCUGUUACCGCUGUGGAGAGGUGGGACACUAUGCAUACCAGUGCCCCAAGAAGAAGAAUCCAUCAGCCCAGCAGAACCAGAACAACAACCAGGCCUGCUCGACCUCCGUUUUCAGGGAGAGUGAAUCAUGUGUCCUCCGACACAGCUCAGGAAACACCUAAGGUUAUGAUGAGUACGUUCAAUAUCAACUCCAUCCCUGCUACAGUACUGUUUGAUUCUGGUUCUUCACAUUCUUUCAUCUCCCAAGCAUUUGUUAGAGUGCAUAGCAUCCCUCUUUGUGCACUAAAAAAUUCCAUGCUCGUAAAUUCACCGGGAGACAACAUGCCAGCUAAUUAUUGAAGCCCCUCCACUAGUAUAUCCUUAAGGGGGUAGAUUUCAAGGUGAAACAUAUUGUAUUAAGAACCAUGGGAAUUGACCUCAUACUUGGAAUGGAUUGGAUGAAGCAGCAUGGGGCAGUAAUUCAUUGUCAGGAAAAAUCUGUGGUUGUGACAUCACCAGGUGGGGACAGAAUAAGUGUGGAUGUGGCAGUGCAACCUCAGCCAAACACAUUGUAUUAAGAACCAUGGGAAUUGACCUCAUACUUGGAAUGGAAUUGGAUGAAGCAGCAUGGGGCAGUAAUUCAUUGUCAGGAAAAAUCUGUGGUUGUGACAUCACCAGGUGGGGACAGAAUAAGUGUGGAUGUGGCAGUGCAACCUCAGCCGACUGCUACAGUGAAUUAGCUAAGUGGUGCUAAUCUCGAAGACCAGGUGGUGGAUGAAUUUCCAGACGUUUUCCCUGAUGAGUUGCCAGGUAUGCCACCUAACUGUUGACGGUCCUUACUGCUCACAUUUAACCGUCAACUAAUCAGGGAAAAGGACCUAUAUGCAACCAACACCCAGACUUAGGGUUUUAUCUGACAGAAUUCCAUGAGUUUUGGUGUUUGUCUAUUUCUGCAGGGGGUUAUCAGGAAACAUGGUGGAAAGGCCCACACGUCGGGUUUACAUAGAGAUAUUAACGUGUGCGGCAAUUUUUGAUCAUCUAGAAGACUCCAGAAGCCACGGAAACGAGAGGGAGGCCGAGCAGGCCCGGGGGCUGGGCGCCCGCCCAGGUGUCUCGGCCAAUCAGGCCCCGCCUCACGGAUCAUGCUCCACCGACCUAAGGGAUUAAGGAAAACCGUGCGAUUAAGGUCGGUUUGAUCCGACGGCCCACAUUCAUUUGGAGGGGCUAUAUAAGCAGGCCCCUUGGCCCCUGGAGGAGAUAUCUCUUCUACAGAAUUAAAUCUAGGGUUUCAAUUAUUCAUCCAAGUAGAGAGGAUCCCUCUAGUUCAUCUAGUUCUAGUACUAGUUCAUCUAGUUCUAGUUCUAGUUAGUUCUAGUUGUAAUCUAGAAAAUAGGGAGAGAAGAGGAGAGCGGAGGAGGAGCCGGAUCUGUCGGAUCUUCCUCAACAUUGUGCUUUUGCAGCAACUGGUCCGCUCUUCAUCGUUCUCCAAGUUCUUCAAUUCAUAAUUCUUGAGUUCUUUAAUUACUUUUAUUUACAUUCAAGUUAUAUAUUAGAUUCCUGCUUGCAUCAAGUGUUCUAGUCUUUGCAACGCUAGAGUAGUAAUUAAUAGAUUAGACGUGGUGUUUAGUCUUGCAAUUACCUGGAAUUGCACCCAAUCCUGUGGAUUGUUGUGGUAACCCUAGGGUAGUGAUAGCCCUAACGGUCGACGUAUUCCACCUCGUUCACAUCGGUGUUUGUAGGACCGUAGUCAGAGCUUCCUAGCCCCCUUCUCAUCUCUUUCUCUGGUUAGUGUUCUGAUGUCCCGAAAUAAAUAAUCUUUGAAGUAAUUCUUGAUUCUUAGAUCAACUAGAGAACUCUCAAGAAACUUCCUCUCUUCCCACCAAAAAUAAUUAUAUAGUUAUCCUUAGGUGAUCUUGAAUCUUAAUUAGUACACUCACGUUCCCUGUGGAAAAUCGAUACUCUGGAAUACUCCCAGGUGAAAGCUACAUCGGUAUCCGUGCGCUUGCGGAUUUUUCUAUUUGCGUUUAAAAUACUCAACAAGCUUUCUGGCGCUGUUGCUGGGAACCGGUAGCUGUGCUAGUUUCGAACCAAGUCGUCCGUGUAUCCUUUUUCUUUUCCUUUUUUUACCACACUCACCUUACCAUUUUCACCAUACCACAAGGAUUUCACUCCUAUCUAUAAAUUCUUUGCUCCAAAGGGUGAGUUAUUAGAGCCACCACCAUCAUCACAUCCAAUUCUUACAGAUGGCUACGACCUCGGCCCUGAUCUAAUAGCCAUGAUUUAGGAGCAACCCUUCUCUGGGCAAGUAGAUAAAGAUCCAUACACCCACCUUAGAGAAUUCGAGCAGUUGUGCUCUUGCCGAUCUAUUUUCGGCAUGACACAAGAAACCCUUAAAUGGAAAUUAUUUCCGUUCUCCCUUUUGGGAAGAGCAAAAAAGUGGUAUGCUCAUUCUAUAGGAGGCGUUAAUGGAAAUUGGGAUGAACUUCGGGACAACUUUUGUCUCGCUUUCUUCCCACUUUUUCGAAUCGCUGACCUUAGAAUCAAAAUUCUUACAUUCAAACAAAGAGAGAAGGAAACUUUAGGAGCAGCUUGGGCUAGGUUCACAAGCCUUACCAAUUCCGGUCCAAACCUUUCCCUGCCUGACCAAGUACUGUACUACCACUUUUAUCGUGGUCUAAACAAGGAAGCUGCUCUUCACCUCGACAUUGCUUCAGGAGGCUCGUUCGCACACAAACUCAUAGAUGAGGGGAGAGCUAUCCUAGAGAGAAUCCUUGAAAAUACCCCUUACAUAGGCAUUUAUGAUGAGUUUCCUGAAGAAGAAAAAGAAGUCGAGCCUGAUCCUAAACCAAAAGAUGAGGAACUUGCAACCGAGUUAGAAAUUCCACCUAAACCAUCUAUUAAUUUGGUUGUAGAGAAACUUCCUGAUAAGAGAAUGCAAAACCAACUAAGGGAUGAUGAACUACCACCUUUAGAGCAUCCCUUUGAAUUCGAGGAAGAUCUUUUUGAAGAUUAUGGAAACACCUCGAAUUUUCCUAUCCAAACACGACCUCUAGCAGGGACCACUCAAUCCGUUCUAAGAGUAGAAUCUGUUGACAUAGAACACAUCAAAAGCCUUUUGGCUAGUCUGAGUUAUGAAUGGCUAAUAGAAGUAGAGCUGUCUCCUGAGGUAGCUCGGAUCAUCACUCCUUCAACCAUUCUUCUGUGCCAAAUUAGAGGGUCCGCUAGGAAGGUCCACUACAAUCCAUAUGUUGAGAUAGAUGUUAUUUCCAAGGAGUUAGCUGACACUCUUUAUCCCAACGAGUCCAUAACCCCAUCUCAAAAACAUUUACAAAGUCCAUCUAGAUUAAUUCUAGAAAGCCAUGGGGUAUUAAGGGCAGUUCUUGUUAGAAUCAAGGACUCCGGAAUAUGUCUAGAUUUUCUCAUUUUUGACAUACCGGAGAUUCCUCUCUUGAUUGGCAGACUAAUCAUGAAACUUCUACAAGAACAACCACAACGAGGUCAUUUAGACUUCAAGGUUGGGAAUUCCACUAAUGUUGUUCCUCUUGCUAGAUCAAUUAACACGAUAGUGGAACCGAAACUCGAAUCAGAUCCUAUUGAGGAGAUCUUAAUGCUGACUCAAGAGGAGAUGGCCCAACCAUUCUUUAAUCAUGAACACUUUGUUCAAGAAGAAGAAGAGUUGGUAGAACCCGUUGAGCUAGACAAAAAUGAACAACCUUCACCUCCUUUGAUAGAAUUAAAACCUCUUCCUUCUAGCCUUAGAUAUGUCUUUUUGCACAACAACCCAAGAACUCCAGUAAUUAUCAGUGACAAGCUUUCCGAUUAUGAAACACAACAACUUGUCACUAUUCUUGAAAGGCAUAGAUCAACAUUUGGCUACUCUCUCGAAGAUCUCACAGGCAUUAGUCCCAUUCUCUGCACUCAUCGUAUCCCUAUUGAUCCUAAUUUUACACCUUCAAGGGAACCACAACGGAGACUUAACAAUGCUAUGCGAGAGGUUGUUAAGAAAGAGGUCCUCAAACUCUAUCAUGCUAGGAUUAUUUAUCCUGUGCCACAUAGUGAGUGGGUUAGCCCUGUCCAAGUAGUGCCAAAGAAAGGAGGAAUGACGGUCGUUAGUAAUGAGAAGAAUAAACUCAUCCCUCAACGAAUUGUCACUGGGUGGCGUAUGUGUAUUGACUAUCGAAAACUCAACAAGGCUACAAAGAAAGAUCACUUUCCGUUACCCUUCAUUGAUGAAAUGUUGGAACGGCUUGCAAACCACUCUUUCUUUUGUUUCCUUGAUGGUUAUUUUAGAUAUCACCAAAUCCCAAUCCACCCAGAUGACCAAGAAAAGACUACCUUUACAUGCCCGUAUGGAACUUAUGCAUACCGACGAAUGUCGUUCGGAUUGUGCAAUGCUCCAGCUUCUUUCCAACAGUGCAUGAUGUCUAUUUUCUCGGACAUGAUUGAGAAGAUCAUGGAGGUUUUCAUGGAUGAUUUUUACCGUCUAUGGCAAAACCUUCGAUCAUUGUUUGGAGAAUUUAGAUAGAGUCUUGCCGCGAUGUGAAGAACAGCACUUAAUCCUGAACUGGGAGAAAUGCCAUUUUAUGGUUCAGGAAGGAAUAGUGCUAGGACAUAAAGUGUCCGAACAUGGUAUAGAGGUGGACAAAGCAAAGAUUGAAGUUAUUGAAAAACUUCCACCUACCACAAAUGUGAAAGGAAUCCGUAGCUUUUUGGGACAUGCAGGGUUCUAUAGACGCUUUAUCAAGAACUUCUCUCAAACUGCUAGACCCCUAACUAGUCUCCUAGCUAAGGAUGCACCUUUCAUCUUUAGUGAUGAGUUUCAUGAAUCUUUUCAAACUCUUAAGAAAGCACUCAUCUCAGCCCCGAUUAUCCAACCACCUGAUUGGAAUCUUCCUUUUGAGAUCAUGUGUGAUGCUAGCGAUUUUGCGGUUGAUGCCGUUUUAGGACAAACCAAGGAUAAAAAGCAUUAUGCCAUAUCCUACGCUAGCAAAACCUUGUCUGGACCACAGCUCAAUUACACUACAAUUGAAAAAGAGCUUUUGGCUAUUGUCUUUGCUAUAGAAAAGUUUAGAUCUUACUUAGUGGGGGCGAAGAUAAUCAUCUAUUCAGACCAUGCUGCUCUCAAGUACCUCCUCACUAAGAAAGAUGCUAAGCCUCGUCUAAUUCGAUGGAUUCUUCUACUACAAGACUUUGACAUAGAAAUCUGAGAUAGGAAGGGAGUAGAGAAUUCCAUAGCCGACCACUUGUCUAGGCUUCAAUAUAAGGAAACACACGAUGAGCUUCCCAUAAAUGACUACCUAAGGGAUGACACCCUGCUUAAGAUAACACAUGCAGAUCCAUGGUACACAGACAUCGUAAACUUUAUAGUAAAAGGCUAUGUACCACAUGGUACAAACAAAAGGAAGUUGCUUCACGAUAGUCGUUUCCACCUUUGGGAUGAGCCAUAUCUUUUCCGAGUCUGCGCUGAUGGAUUCUUGUGAAGGUGUGUUCCUAUGGCUGAGGCUACUCAAAUUAUGGAAAGAUGCCAUGCCUCGCCAUAUGGAGGACACUAUGGAGCAUUCCGGACACUUGCUAAAAUUUGGCAAAGUGGCUUUUUCUGGCUAACGAUGUAUGAAGAUACAAAGGACUUUGUCAGGAGAUGCCGCCGAUGUCAAAAACAUGGGAAUAUCAACUCACGAAAUGAAAUGCCUCUCACAAAUAAUCUUCAAGUAGAACUUUUUGAUGUUUGGGGCAUUGAUUUCAUGGGGCCAUUCCCUAUGUCUGGGAAUUGAGAGUAUAUCUUAGUAGCUGUGGACUAUGUGUCCAAAUGGGUAGAAGCCCUACCUUGUCGAGCAGCUGAUUCAAAACAUGCCAAGAGAAUGUUCCAUGAAGUAAUCUUUCCUCGCUUUGGUAUACCCCGGAUAGUUAUAAGCGAUGGAGGUUCCCACUUCUUCGACAAAAUCUUCCGGAAGUACCUAGCCGAUCUUGGAGUUCAACACAACGUCGCAACACCAUACCAUCCUCAGACUAGCGAUCAAGCCGAAACAUCUAACUAACAAAUCAAAAAUAUUUUACAAAAGACCGUAGAUGAGAUGGGUAAGGGGUGGAAGGACAAACUUCCUGAUGCACUUUGGGCAUAUAGAACUGCAUUCAGAACACCCAUAGGCAUGUCACCUUAUCAACUUGUAUAUGGAAAAACUUGUCAUUUGCCUAUGGAAGUAGAGUUUAAGGCUCAUUGGGCACUCAAGAAAUGGAACAUGGAUCUCCACCUCUCUAGCGAGAAUCGUCUGAUGCAACUAUCUGAGCUAGAAGAAUGGAGAGAGAAAGCCUACCACAAUUCAAGGAUCUAUAAAGAGAGAACAAAACGAUGGCAUGAUAAGAGAAUCAAGCACAAGGAGUUUAAGCCUGGAGAUAAGGUUCUACUAUUCAAUUCAAGAGUUAAGCUCUUUGGGCAUGGUAAGCUACGAAGUAAGUGGGAUGGACCAUACAAGGUUAUUGACACUUCAACUCAUGGAGCCAUUACCAUCCAAGAUGACAUAGGUAACACUUUUAAGGUAAAUGGUCAACGCUUGAAAAUCUAUCUCGAGCCACAAAACAACCUGGUAGAGGAACUUGAUGUGAUUGAGUUCAUAGAAUUCUCAUAUUAAGCUCUCAUAAGCUCUAGACAAUUGCCUAACCCUUAACAUGCUCCACGAGUUUUGUUGUCUAUUUGGGUUGUGCAGGAUUUUGAGGCUUAAGAAGAGUGAGACCGAACAUGCAGGCCACAAGAGUGAACAACUAUGUCAACAUCCAGCUUGGGGGAGGCACCCCCACGUGUAUCUAGAUAAGUAUUACUUUUUUCCUUGGUUUUAUUUACUAGUAUUCGGAAAUAAAUAAAAAAAUGCAUAACCAUGAAACCAAACAAAGUUUUUCUUUUGAGUAAUAUACAAUACUUUUGUGUAAUCCUAAGUUUUAAGUAAAAUAAAAAGAAAGUUUGAUCCAAGUCUAGGUAAUUGACAAACAUGAUAUGAUAAGGUCUGAGCUACUAUUUAACUUGUUCCAAGUUUCGCUAGAGUUCUGGAGAUUUUAUCUUUUGAAAAUCUAAAAAUUCAAAAAAGGAGAGAUCCUGUUUGACAUAAUACCUAGAGUCUUAUAAGAUAUAAAUAUUUAAACUAUGGGCACUUGCUUUGUUCAAGCCAUUGUUAAUUCUUGUAGUUUUGGUUGAAAGAAUUAUCAUGCUCCAAAGAUCAAAGAUCUUUUUGUUUUAAAAAUAUAAAAGAUUCACUCUUCCGAAGUAUAUGCAAAAAUUUGAUUCGAAAAAAAGAAGAGUGAGACAAGAGGUAAAAAUGGACAAGUGUCUGAAGUAGAAUUAGGGGUACUUGGUGCCCACUUGAAAAAAAGAAGAAAAGAAAAAGAAAAAAAAGAGAGAGACUGAAAAAAAGAAAAAAAUGAUAGCCCAUGGUCCCUCUAAUAAGCAAUAUGCCAGUAAGAGAUGACAAACUUUUCAAAAAGGUCAAAGGUCUUGAUCUAGGAGUAUGACAUUCCUCUCCCUUGCUCUAAGCAUUGACAUAGCAAAAUGCAAAGUAAGUAUGCUAAAACUUUUAAAGCUCUACUUAUAUAUCUUUCGAGAAGAAGGCAAAUGCCUCAGUUUUAUUUUGGAAACAUACAAAAAAAACUCCAGAACAAAGGUAAGACAGAAGAACUUGACACAUAGUGCUUGACUUGAUCGUUCUGUUUUUCAAUCACUUAAGACCUUAGUGAUAACUUAAAAAAAAACCCUGUAGUAAGAGGCAUAAAAGUAACCCCUGUUUUCUUGCUGAUUUUAGUUUUGCUCAGGGAUGAGCAAAGGUUAAGCUUGGGGAAGCUUGUUGACGGUCCUUAAUGCUCACAUUUAACCGUCAACUAAUCAGGGAAAAGGACCUAUAUGCAACCAACACCCAGACUUAGGGUUUUAUCUGACAGAAUUCCACGAGUUUUGAUGUUUGUCUAUUUCUGCAGGGGGUUAUGAGGAAACAUGGAGGAAAGGCCCACACGUCGGGUUUACAUAGAGAUAUUAACGUGUGCGGCAAUUUUCGAUCAUCUAGAAGACUCCGGAAGCCACGGGAACGAGCGGGAGGCCGAGCGGGCCCGGGGACUAGGCGCCCGCCCAUGUGUCUCGACCAAUUAGGCUCCGCCUCGCGCAUCAUGCUCCACCGACCUAAGGGAUUAAGGAAAACCAUGCGAUUAAGAUCGGUUUGAUCUGACGGCCCACAUUCAUUUGGAGGGGCUAUAUAAACAGGCCCCCUGGCCCCUAGAGGAGAUAUCUCUUCUACAGAAUUAAAUCUAGGGUUUCAAUUAUUCAUCCAAGUAGAGAGGAUCCCUCUAGUUCAUCUAGUUCUAGUACUAGUUCAUCUAGUUCUAGUUCUAGUUAGUUCUAGUUGUAAUCUAGAAAAUAGGGAGAGAGAAGAGGAGAGAUUAGGAGGAGCCGGAUCUGUCGGAUCUUCCUCAACAUUGUGCUUUUGCAACAACUGGUUCGUUCUUCAUCGUUCUCCAAGUUCUUCAAUUCAUAAUUCCUGAGUUCUUUAAUUACUUUUAUUUACAUUCAAGUUAUUUAUUGGAUUCUCGCUUGCAUGAAGUGCUCUAGUCUUUGCAACGCUAGAGUAGUAAUUAAUUGAUUAGACGCGGUGUUUAGUCUUGCAAUUACGUGGAAUUGCACCCAAUCCUGCGGAUUACUGUGGUAACCCUAGGGUAGUGACAGCCCUAAUAGUCGACGUAUUCCACCUCGUUCGGAUCGGUGUUUGUAGGACCGUAGUCAGAGCUUCCUAGCCCCCUUGUCAUCUCUUUCUAUGGUUAGUGUUCUGAUGUCCCAAAAUAAAUAAUCUUUGAAGUAAUUUUUGAUUCUUAGAUCAACUAGAGAACUCUUAGGAAACUUCCUCUCUUCCCACCAAAAAUAAUUAUAUAGUUAUCCUUGGGCGAUCUUGAAUCUUAAUUAGUACACUCACGUUCCCUGUGGAAAAUUGAUACUCUAGAUACUCCCAGGUGAAAGGUACAUCUGAUCCGUGCGCUUGUGGAUUUUUCUGUUUGCGUUUAAAAUACCCAACACUAACCAUGACAUUAAAUUUCUUAUCGAGCUUUUACCUGGAACUGCACCCAUAGCAAAAAUACCAUAUAGAAUGGGGGUAAAUGAAUUAGAGGAACUUAAGAAAUAGCUUAAGGAAUUGCAAGAAAAAGGUUUCAUUCGUCCUAGCUCUUCACCCUAGGGUGCACCGGUAAUCUUUAUUGAUAAGAAAGAUGGCACUAGGAGGAUGUGUGUGGAUUACCGGUCAUUAAAUGAAGUCACCAUUAAAACAAGUACCCACUGCCUAGAAUAGAUGACUUAUUUGACCAACUGAAAGAAGCAUGUGUGUUGUCAAAAAUUGACCUCCGAUCUGGCUACCACCAAUUGAAAAUCCGUGCAACUGACAUACCUAACACAGCUUUUACCACAAUGUAUGACUUGUAUGAGUAUACAGUCAUUUGGGUUGACAAUACACCCGCAUACUUCAUGUAUAUGAUGAACAAGGUGUUCAUGGAGUAUUUAGAUAAGUUUGUGGUAGCAUUCAUUGAUGAUAUAUUAAUCUUCUCCAAAACAAAAGAAGAACAUACUGAACAUCUAAGACUGGUCUUGCAAAAGCAUAGAGAGAAUAAAUUGUAUGCCAAGAAAAGCAAGUGUGAGUUCUGGUUGGAUGAGGUCUCAUUUUAGGGCAUGUGGUCUCUAACGAUGGAAUAGCCGUAGACCCCAGUAAAGUGCAAGAUGUGUUGAAUUGGAAACCUCCAACCAAUGCUAGUGAAAUCCGUAGCUUUCUAGGACUAGCUGGAUAUUAUAGGAGAUUUAUUGAAGGAUUCUAUAAGUUAACAAAGCCCAUGACAGCCCUACUAGAGAAAAAUGCUAAAUUUAUUUGGUUAGAUAAGUGACAAGAAAAUUUUGAGGAGCUAAAGAAAAGGUUGACAACAGCUCCAGUGUUGACCUUACCAGAUUUGAGUAAAACCUUCUCUAUUUAUUACGAUGCAUCUCGCUUAGGCCUUGGAUGUGUGCUUAUGCAAGAUGGAAGAGUAGUGGCCUAUGCAUCGAGGAAGUUGAGAAAACAUGAGUUGAACUAUCCUACUCAUGAUCUGGAGCUAGCUACUAUGGUUCAUGCUCUAAAGAUUUGGAGACAUUAUUUAAUUGGACACAAGUGUGAUAUUUAUACUAACCACAAAAGUUUGAAGUAUAUUUUCACACAGUUAGAUCUGAACCUAAGGCAACACCGUUGGUCAAAAUUAAUAAAGGAUUAUGACCUGGAAGUGCAUUACCAUCCUGGAAAGGCAAACGUUGUUGCCGAUGCACUUAGUCGAAAGAGCUAUGCCAAUGGGCUACAACUGACCUUCAUUCCCACAGAGUUGCUAGCUAAAAUAGAAUAUCUCAAUUUGAGUCUAGUCAACAACAUGUUGAAUUGGAGUUAGAGCCCACCUUAGAGCAAGAAAUUCGCAAAGGUCAGCUGGAGGAUGAGAAAUUAAAAGAAAUCACAGUGAAUUGGAAAAGCACAGGGUUUCAGGUUGGAUGGAAAUGGUACGGUUUGGUUUGGGAAAAGAAUAUGUGUGCUUGAAGUGAAAUCCAUCCGAGAUGCAAUCCUACGAGAAGCACAUGACUCUACAUAUUCAAUUCACCCUGGAAGCACCAAGAUGUAUCUAGAUCUCAAGGAAAAAUAUUGGUGGUAUGGGUUAAAAAGAGAUGUGGCAGAGUAUGUAGCCAUAUGUGAUACUUGUUAGAGGGUGAAAGUCGAGCACCAAAGACCUGCAGGGUUGUUGCAACCAAUGCAAGUACCUGAGUGGAAAUGGGAAGAAAUAGGUAUAGAUUUUAUCACUGGAUUGCCCCGCACUCAGCGUGGGUAUGAUUCGAUUUGGGUAAUAGUGGACAGACUCACUAAGGUUGCUCACUUUCUACCCGUUAAGACCAACUAUGAUGGUGCAAAGUUAGCAAAAUUAUAUAUUGAUAGAAGCGUGAGACUGCACAGAGUUCCAAAGAAGAUCGUGUCUGAUCAGGGUACACAAUUCACAUCAUAGUUUUGGCACAAAGUACAUGAUUCAUUGGGAACAAAGUUGAACUUUAGUUCCGCUUAUCAUCCCCAAACCGAUGGACAGACCGAAAGGGUGAAUCAGAUUUUAGAGGACAUGUUGAGAGCAUGUGCUUUACAGUAUGGUACCAGUUGGGACAUGAGUUUGCCAUAUGCUAAAUUUUCAUAUAAUAAUAGUCACCAGAAAAGUCUCAAGAUGGCACUGUUUGAAGCAUUGUAUGGGCGGAAAUGUAGAACACCUUUAUUUUGGAAUCAAACUAGAGAGAGUCAGGUAUUUGGACCCGAUGUUCUUAGAGAUACAGAAGAACAAGUGUGAAAAUACAGGACAACCUGAGAGUAGCCUAGUCUCAGCAAAAGAGUUAUGCUGACACUAAAAGAAGAGAUUUGGCAUUCGAGGUAGGCGACUAUGUAUACUUGAAAGUGUCACCUAUGAGAAAUGUCAAGAGAUUUAAUAUGAAGGGUAAAUUGGCACCAAGGUACAUUGGAUCAUUCAGAAUUCUUAAGAGACGUGGAGAAGUGGCCUAUCAAUUGGAAUUGCCUACAAGUAUGUUGGGAAUUCACGAUGUGUUCCAUGUGUCACUAAUGAAGAAAUGUUUGCGAGUGCGCGAGGAAGAAAUUCCAUUGGAAGAGCUCACUGUUGAAGGAGAUCUAACUUAUGAGAAAUAUCCUAUUAAGAUCUUAGAAACAACGGAAAGAGUUACCCAGAGUCGAGUUAUAAAGAUGUGCAAAGUACAGUGGCACCGAUGUAAAGAAGAAGAAGCCACUUGGGAAAGAGAAGACGAACUGAGACAAUCUUAUCUGUAUCUCUUUGAGUAAGCAUCAUCCCAAUCUCGAGGAUGAGAUUAAUUUUAAGGGGGUAGAAUUGUAACACCUAAAAAGUUAUCUUCUUUAAAAAAGAUGAAUUUGAAUUAAUUAAAUAAUUUUGGUGGAGCCUUGCAAUAUAGGAAAAUAAUAAAUUUUGGGAAAUUAAAAUUUAAUCUAAGUUUAGGAAACAUUUUUUAUGCAUACAUGCUGGUGCAUUUUUAUUGUGAUGAUUAUUUCAAAAACAAAAUGACAAUUUAAUCAAAAAUUCAAUUGAAAAGUGUAUUGAAAAAAUUAUUUGAAAAAGAAAAUGGCAAAACCCUUUCCCUCCCCUCUCUCUUUCUCUUGGCCUGCUCGGCCUAAUUCCCCACUCCCUCCCCUUCUCACUUUGGGCCUGGCCCAGCCGGCCACCCCACCUCCCUCUCCCUCUCUCUCUCGCCGACAGAUGGGGCCCAUCCGUAAGCUCCAUCCCCCACCUCUCCAACCGCACCCUCCCACUCUCUUCGCUCACAGCAGAACCGCCGGCCGAGCCCCCGCUCCCACGUUCUCCAUCUCCCCCGCACCUCGGCUGUUUGGAAGAGCGCCCGAGCCCGUGCCCCAUCCUCUCCCCAUUCCACUCUCUCCUCGCCUCAGCCCUCGCCUUCGUGCUCACAGCAACUGCAGCGAAGAACGCCGCUGGCGACCUCCGCGCUCAACUCGAAGAACCGAGCCGUCCUCGCCAUUUCCGUCGCGCUAGUGAGCCCUCCUACCUUCCCUGCAUUCUUCUUGGCCAAGUCCUAGGCCUUCACGUGCCCCCUAGCCCCCUGGCCAUGAGCUCCAUGGCCGCCAGCCAUGGAGCGUGCCGCUCGGGCCUCUCCCCGGCCACGCCGAGGCCUUGAGCGAACUCGCGCUGGUCUUCUCUCUCUUCCUGUGCUCUUGGACUUAAAAACCACAUGCCGUAGCCCCGUAUUGAAUUGCGCCGGCGAGCUUCACACCGGAAUCCAUGGCCAUCACCGCCUCCUUCCUCCCCUCUGGCCGGCGCGCCACCCUCUCCCUCUCUUAAUUCCUUCUUCUAAUCCGUGCCAUCCGUUCGCGAUUUAACGGUCGAUAUCGGCUGAUACCCCUUUGGAGGUAGAUUUCCUAAGAGCCCCCCUUGAACUUCUAAAUUCCGCCCGCAGUCCUCGCCCAACUUCAAUUUCAGAUUAAAAAUUGAUUUAAAUUUUAUUUUCGACUUCAACUUAAUUACAGUUUUGCCACUACAUUAAUUUGUCCAUAGAAUCAUCGUUUUAGCUCCGAUUUGACCCAUUCAAAUUGCGUUAGAUUCGUAUUUAAAUUUUCUACGUGUUAGUACCACUGUUACUGCAGUUUGAAACUUUUUAUUUUUAGGCUUAGGUUUAAUUAAUUAAAUUGCUAUAGAAAUCGCAGUAAAUUCGUAACUUGGUCGUUUUAGCUCUUAUUUUUGUGAUCUUCGUAUCCAUGUGAUCAUAGUAAAACGUAGGUUCUGUUUUUAAAUAUUUCAUUUUGUUUUUGAUCUAUUGGUAUACUGUUCUAAUUGAAGGAUUAUUUGCUUGUAUGUUUGAACCUGGAUGUGUGUUGUUGUGUGGUGCCGAUCGAGCGCAGAUAGUGACGUGACCGUGGGUGAUCUGUUUUACUCUGAGGAGCAGCAGGACCAGCAGUAGCUUCCCUUCACCGAAGGCAAGUAUAACAUGGGUUUCUUUUGUAAACCUACUCACUUAAUUAAUUACGCAUCUGCAUGUGUCUAGUUUUGAUAGCCCUAAGGAUAUGCUAGCUACCUGACUAUAUAUUUAUGACACCUAUGGGUAGAUUGCAUGUGGGUAUCUUUGCUAGUGCUCUAACUAAUUGAGACUCCACUAUCAUUAUGACUUUACUAAAUAUAAUGAUACAUGAUAGGAAAAGGGCUAUGGUGCAAAUGACUUUGGUCAGGUUGUCCUAGAUCCUCCAUAAGGACUUCUCUGUAAGCAACUAUCCGAGACAUACAGUGCAACUGUGAUGGUUAUAUGGCUCUAACUUUAGCUCAGUAGUAGGAUCUCAUCUAGCUGGUUAGAAGUUACCCAAAAGGGCAUCAGAGGGGCUUGCCACUUUUGGUAUAGAACUGCUUCUGUUCCUAUGUGUAUAGCCGUGAUGGAAAUGAGCCAUAGAAAAGGGGAGUUCUCUAUAUCUGCCUGUCGAGGAAACCUCGUGGCCCUAACUGGUUAGACAAGGCCUAUGGAAGGCUUCAUAGUGUUCCCUGUCUGCUCACCUUGGUAGUGUUAGUGGGUCUUGCAAACCUCGGGCAUUUGGGUAACACGACUUGCGGGAAAAGUGCACACCUCUACGUAGAGUUUGAUCAAACUGGUAUACUAGCCGUGCUUUUGGACAUAAGCGGCCUUGGACCCUUACGGAAUAGUUGGGUGUGGAUGGUUAUGGUGGAUGACUUAAGAAAUUGUGACGUAUUAAUCGUGAUGAUUAAUGUGGUUUAACCGUUAAGGUUAACGGUGUUGUUAUCACGUAAUCAUGUGGAUUAAUCGAGAUCUUAAGCAUAACUUAUGACUAUUUAGGGUUAAAACAUUGACCAACUAAAAUGCUAACUAUAGUAGCCAGUGUCUGACCUUUUUGAGCCACAUAAAAUCCUGUGUUAUGCUUGCGUAGUAUGAGAUGUACUCAUGCUUGUUUCUGUAUUUCUUUUUGGAUAAAAAUCUCAGAUGGGUAACACAUGACAGCUUCUAUGAGGAAUUUCCGGAGGACUUCUAGGUUGGCGGUCCACCAGUCGGUCGUCCCUGUGUUGGAGCUACCAAGCUAGAGUUAGAUAUGUGUUUUAUUUCUGCUUGUUGCAGACUUUGAUAUUCGUUGUUGUAAUAACCGCGUUGUAAGACUCUUGUGAUGAUAGUUCUGUAAUUUGUCGAUUUGUGUGCGCGACUAUUCCUGGGGCGCACAUGAGGUUUAUUGUACUCAAAUUUAUUCUUAAAUUUGGGUGUGACAAAUUAGUAUCAAAGCAAGGUGACUGUAGGACGCAAACCUAGGUAGAAACGAACGAUCUUAGGAUUUUUUUUAUUUCAUUUAUUUCACAACUUACUUCACCUUCUUGUUAUUUUAUUAAAAUUUUUUGUUCUUAUCCACUGUUCUAUUUAUGCAAACCUAUUGAUUCUAAUUCUUAAAUUAAAUUUUAUAGAUGCCUCGUCGCAGCACAGCCAUGUAUCGUGCCCUCUUCACCGUCGCUCGUGCCCCGCCAGUUGUACCUGCACCUAUACGUGAAUGGCAGUUUUCUUAAAACUUCCUUCAUGACUCCAUCACUCUUAUGAUCCACUCUUACUAGUAGUUUGGAGAGGUGGGAAAUAGCAAGAGUAAGCACAUGUCGUACUCAACAAGUAUAACCAGGGGUUCAUGAGGCUCAAUUAGCUGACACUAGUUUGACUGCAUUUAGCUUUUACAUGUAUGUAGCAUGUUCAUCUUUAGAUAGCAAAUGUCAAGGUAGCAUAGUAAAUCUCAUAACCACAUGAUCAAAUGUAAACACAAUUAAUACUAAACAUAAAUGAUAAAUAAAUGAUCAUAAUAACAUAAUAAGCGGCAUUAUCUUAGUGUAGAUGUCCCAGGCCGCUCCUGACCGUGAGCUCGACUAGUAUACUAGUUUUUAACACUCUGCAGAGGUUGUACGUCUUUACCCAUGAGUCAUGAUUUACCCUUUCACCCGAGGCCCAAUGACCUCUUAACCCACUACCAAGAAAGGUCGGCAAGGAUCACUAUGAAGCCUUUCAAAAGUUUGUCUAACAUGUUAGGGCCGCAAGCUUUCCUAGGCGCGUAGAUGUAGAGCCUCCCUUUCAAAUGGCACAAUGACACACAACCUAUACACAUAAGAACAGAGGCCGCACUAUACCCAAAACGGCAAGCCCCUCUAGUGCCCUUACGGGUAACCUCUAACAAGCUAGAAAAGGUCUUCAUACUGAGCUAAAACCAGAGCCAUUAUAGCCCUCAUGGUUGCACUGUUAUCCCAGGUGAUCACGUACAAACAAGAUCUCAUAUAGUUAUAUGUCAUCUUUUAACGUUCAUAGCAUAGUCAUUAACUAACUUACAAGAUCAUGGAUUAAAAUCAAGCACUAGCAAAUACUACCCUAAAUGCAUAUCAAAUAGGUAACAAGGAAUUCAAGAUAACAAUUAGCUAUGAUUUUUCUAAGGUUGUCAAGGACAUGGAUUACGUCAAGCACUAGCAAAACUACCCCAAAUGCAUAUGUUGAUAUUUGGUAACGCAAUCAGGAAUUAAUCCGCAUGCGCACGGAUAUCGAUGAGCACUUCACCCGGGAUGUUAACCUUGGUCUACUAUUCUGCUACAACUACUAUGACUCGAUGUGAGUGAUGUAUAGAGAAGACUUCAACUGCACCCUCAUUCUAACCUUGGUCUACUAUUCUGUUGGCACUACUAGGGAUGUGCUUUUCAAUGACGAUUUCAUAGUGACGUUUCUGAAUUCGUCAUGUAUCUGGAGGUUUUUAAUGACGAAAUGGUUUGUUUUGUCAUUGGUCACGGAGACACAGCUAGGCCUGGUGGGAUUCGUACCCUAGACCACAAGGAUUGAAGGCUUGUUGCCUUACCACUACAGCACACGACCUUUUGUGUUAAAGUGUUGUAUGUUUGUUAUUUGUAGUUUUAAAAUAGGAUAAUUUGAUUGCGUUACGUAAUUGACUCGAUCUCCUGUGUCCGACGUAUACCUGAUCGCAUCUAUUCUAUUUGCAAGAGUAGGGCGCUCGUUACGACAUAUAGUAGGGCACUCGUUCAUCUCGUCGCCGUGGUGGUCGUCGCGCGCCGGCCUCGGUGCGCCCUCACCGGAACGUGCUGAUCGAUCGUGGUGGUCGUCGCGCGCUGGCAUCGGUUGGCUAGGCGCACGAGGUGCUGACGAUCUUCUCGGCUUGGCGCACUUGUUGGGCGCACGUUCCUGUGUGCUUGGCGUGGUGCAUCGGCAGAUCCCCGGUCGUCGUUGGCGUGCUCGGCGUGCCCUCGCCGAAACGUGCUGAUUGUGGUGGUCGUCGCGCGCCGGCAUCGGUCAGCUAGGCGCAGGUGGUGGUGACGAUCAUCGCGGCUUGCCGCACUUGGUGGGCGCACGUUCCUGUGCUUUGUGCGGUGCAUCGGUAGUUCCCCAGAGGUGCUCGUCGCCGGCGUGCAUCGGGUGGUUGCACGUCGUGGUGGUGAUCGUUCUCAGCUUGGCGCACGUGGUGGUGAUUGUUGUCGGAUUCAAAAGAGGUCAUUGCUUUAAUUUAAAUUUAAAAAUCAAUUGUACUGUCUUUAUUUUUUUAUCAGUGUUGCUUAGAAGUAAAUUAAUUUGUUUAGAAGUAGAAGGAUUUGUUAGUAUUAUUUAUUAGUUCAAUGUUUCUAUUUACUUGAAUUAUUGUUUUUAUUUCAUUUAUUGGUUCUUCACAAACUUUGGUGUUGAUAGUUGUCGGAUUCAAUAGAGGUCGUUGCUUUAAUUUUAAAUUUAAAAAUCAAUUGUACUGUGUAUAUUUUUUAUCAGUGUUGCUUAGAAGUAAAUUAAUUUUUUUAGAAAUAGAAGGAUUUGUUAGUGUUAUUUAUUAGUUCAAUGUUUCUAUUUACUUGAAUUAUUUAAUCUGUAAUAAUUUUUUUGUCAAAACAGAUGGAUAGAAGUUGGAUUAAUGGGAGACAAUUCACACCUGCAUAUAUUGCUGGAGUUGAGCGGUUCAUGGAAUUUGUUCGUGAAAGAUACCCCAUUGACAGCCACAUACUUUGCCCAUGCCGCAAUUGUCUUAAUCAAAGUUUACGGCCUCAGCAAGAGGUCGAUGACCACAUUCACAUUUUUGGAAUGUCAGUGACAUACACCAAGUGUAUUCAUCAUGGAGAGUCGGCAGAUACUAACGUAGUUGACUAUUUGGAAGACGAGGUGGAUGGUUUUUUUUAUCAUGAUGAAGGGAUACAAGUGGAUGUGUCAUAUGAUAAUCAUGAUGAGGAUGAUGGAGUACCAGAGUUGAUAGGGGAUCUUUACGCUUCUGCGGAGGCAGAUGGACAAGAGCCAAGGUUUGCAAAAGUCCUUGCAAAUGCGAAGCAGUCACUUAGCCCGGGGUCUAGUCACUCGAAGUUUUCUUUUCUGGUGAGGUUGCUGUAUAUCAAGUCUCGUUAUCGAAUCAGCAAUACAGCAUUUACUGUAAUGAUGAAGUUGUUGUCGUCAUCAUUCCCUCAGUGCGAAUUUCCAAAAUCAUAUGAUGAGGCGAAGAAAUAUCUUCAUGAAUUGGGCCUUGGGUAUGAAAACAUCCAUGUGUGCAAGAACAAUUGUUUCGGAAGGAACAUGCAAAUGUGGAUGUGUGCCCAGAAUGCAAGGAAUCUAGAUGGCAAGAUGGUUCUGGGCAAAAGAAGAUUCCGCACAAGGUUUUGAGGCACUUUCCACUAAUACCAAGGUUGAAGAGGAUUUUUGCUUCAAAACGAACCUCUAAGGAAACACAAUGGCACAAGAAAAUGAGGAAGCCAACGGACAAUGUAAUGAGUCAUCCGGCUGAUAGGGAAGCAUGGAAGGACUUUGAUAGGAAAUUUGUAGAUUUUGCACGAGACCCGAGGAACUUAAGGCUUGCCAUAGCUACCGAUGGAUUUAAUCCAUUUGGCAACAUGAAUACCCAAUAUAGCAUGUGGCCAGUGCUUUUGACACCAUUAAAUCUCCCACCCUGGGAAUGCGUGAAUGCAUCAAAUUGGUUCAUGGCUUUACUUAUCCCAGGUCCAAAAUCUCCAGGAAAGGAUUUUGAUUUGUUCCUAGAGCCCCUAAUAGAAGAACUGCUUGAUCUUUGGACAGGUGUCAAUACCCUUGAUGCAUGUACUGGUAGGAAGUUCAACCUUCAUGCCGCCGUUUUGUGGUGUAUACAUGAUUAUCCAGCACUGAGCACCUUAUCAGGGCGAACAAUAAAAGGUUAUUAUGCAUGUAUUCACUGCGACAAGAAUCCUUUGUCUCGGGCAAUAAGGAAUAAAAUAUGUUACCUUGGACAUCGUCGCUACUUGCCAACGUCACAUGCUUGGCGGAGAAGUUUGGCUUUUGAUGGACACCGUGAAAACAAAGUUGAGCCAGGUAAGUUCACCAUGGAGGAGGUCCUAGAAGAGCUAGAGAAGGUGAAAUAUGUGAGGCCAGGGAAGCAUACUGGAACCAAGAAAAGAAAGCACGACGAAGGUCCAGUGAUUUAUAGUCGGAAAGCUGGUUUUUGGAGAUUGCCAUAUUGGCAACAUUUGUUACUUCCUUAUAACCUUGAUGUGAUGCACAUAGAGAAAAACAUAUGCGACAACCUUCUUGGCACAUUACUGAAAAUAGAGGGCAAGACCAAGGACACAGUUAAUGCUAGACUAGAUCUACUUGAUAUGGGCAUAAGACCUGAGUUGCACUUACAACGGAAUGGCAACUCAAUAACUAUUCCUCAUGCUUCUUAUGUCUUGGAGAAGGAUCAGAGAAUUCAGUUUUGCAAGUUUCUCAAAGGCAUCAAGUUUCCUGAUGGAUAUGCGGCCAACCUAGCAAGAUACAUAAGUGACGAUGGUUCGAAGGUGCAGGGAAAGCUGAAAACACAUUCUUGCCAUAUACUCCUGCAAAGAAUCAUACCUGCUGCCCUAAGAGGACUAGUGAGAAAGGAUAUUUAUGAAGCCGUUGCAGAGCUCGGUAACUUCUUUAGGGAAUUGUGCAGUAAAAAUUUAAGGGUGGAUGUUGUGAAGCGACUGAAAACAGAAAUUCCUUUGAUCCUAUGCAAGCUUGAAAAAUUUUUUCCACCGGCCUUUUUUGAUGUCAUGGUUCACUUGGUUGUGCAUCUUCCUGAUGAGGCAUUGCUUAGAGGUCCUGUUCAGUAUGGAUGGAUGUACCCAGUAGAAAGGCAACUAGGCACAUUGAAGAAUUUUGUAAGGAAUAGGGCUAGGCCAGAAGGUUCAAUUGUUGAGGCUUAUGUUGCAAACGACACGUUGACAUUUUGUUCUAGGUACAUGGAGGACGUUGAGACCAAAUUUAACCAAAAUGAUGAUAGUGGAGGAGAGGGGGAGGUCGUUGGUGACCUCUCUAUUUUUAUGCAUGGUGUUACUCUAAUUGGUUCAAAUAGGAUACAAUACAUUGAAGAUAGUGUCCUUAACAAGUUAAUUUGGUAUGUGUUAAAUAUCAGUGAAGAAGUUGAGCCAUAUUUGGAGUAAGUUUCAUUUACAAUUUUAGGAAACUCAUGUUUUUUAAAUAAUUUAGUCAAUUAUCCUAAUGAUUUAAUUUUACCAUGCAGCAUGUACAGAGAAGAGUUAGCAAAGGAAAGUGCACAUGAUGUUGAUAAAAGGCUGGAACAAGGUUUUUCAAAAUGGUUUAGGAGCCAUGUAAGUCACUGCAUCUUGUAUUUUUUUUUUCUAUUUCCUUCACUGUCAUAUGAUUAAUUCAUUUGCACCCCAGAUCGUGAAGCUAAGCAAGGAGAAGCCGGAAGAGGUUAGUGAAGGAUUGUAUGCUCUUUCAUGUGGCCCAGAUCUCAGAGUCAAGACCUGUGCAGCUUGCAUUGUUAAUGGAGUGCGAUAUAGUACUGUGGACCGUGAGAAGUACCUACUGACGCAAAAUAGUGGUGUGAUGACCGAAGGUACCCAUGAGGGUGAGAACGUGGAUUUCUAUGGUGUCCUGAAGGAGUUAAUUGAGUUGGAAUACAAUUCCAAUCUGCAAUUUCGUCGUUCGGUAGUUCUAUUUCGAUGUGACUGGUACAAUCUAGGUGGUAAGUCAAGUGGUAUGCGAGAUGACAGAUAUUUCAAGUCCAUGAACGUGCAAUCAUUAUGGUACAAGUCAGACCCUUUUAUACUGGCUACUCAAUCAACAAAGGUAUUUUACAUGGAAGACACAUCUUUAGGCAAAGAUUGGCGAGUUGUGCAAAAAUUUGAACACAGGCAUAUUUAUGAUGUGGCUGAAAAUGAUGAUCCCAGUCAUCAUGAUGUACAUCAGGAUGAUCAUUGUUCUGAUAGUGAGCAUGUUGUAGAAGAAGGGAAUGCUCAUGAGGUCAUUCACCAUGUCUUGGGUGGAGAAGGUACUAUAGUUGAAGGUAAUUUAGUAGAGAUGAUAAGAAACAAGAAGCAACCUUCAAUUCCUAACGACAGUGACGAUGACGAUGAAGACGAUACUGUCAUGCAAUAUUGUAGUGAUGGUGACAACGGCAACAACGCAGAUGACAUGUGCCUACACGAUACUGAUGAAGAUGAUGAUUUAGAGAACUAGAUUUCUGGUGUACUAGUAUGCUACCAUUAUUGAUGUACUACAUAUUAUACAACAUUUAUUUGCUAUGAGAGAUGCAAUAUUUAGUAUUAGUUCUAAACCAUCAGUGCUAAUACAAAUUUACUAAAAAUGCAGCAUACUAUUGUUAAUGCCAUGGCAAAAGAACACUCAUGAGAGUAAGUGACAACAUGGGACAGCUAUUCAUUACUGAUUAAGUUCAGUUAAGUUAGGAUCACACUUGUAGGUCCUGCCAGACCAUACCAUUAACAUCCAAAAGACUAUGUGCUGGGCAUUCCAACAGCCAAGCCCUAAAGACCAAAAUACGAGCUAAGAACAAAAUGCUAGCCAUUCCAGGUCCCAAACUCUGUCAUGCUGGCCAUUCAGUGCUUUGCAUUCUUCAUCCCAUCCAGUUCGGCCUUCAUCUCCUUGAUGGUCUGGUCCUUCUCUGCUAUGGUAUUCUUCAAUGCACAGAUCUUGAUGCCAUUUUCAAAAAUCUUCAUGCCCAGCUUCUUCUCUAGCUCUUUCAGUUUUGCACCCAUCAUCUUGUCCACCUCCUUCACCUUCUUGCAGCAUACACAAGUCUAAAUUUAUAGCCAAGUUUAGCUACAUGACAGUAAGUUUAGGAGCAUGUACAGGCAAGGAAAAAAAGAUGGGAACCAUAUAGUACCUUUAAUUUGAUACUUUGCAUUCAAAAGUGUUUAUUUAUUUCUUGCCUACAGUCAUUGAGAAUGUGGUUCUACAACUAUGAUAGAGGUUUCAUUCCAAACAAGGAAUCAUCCGAAGGUGCAAAUGAAUUACCAUAUUUUAUCCAAAAAAACAGAAACAUGUUGAACUGCCUACAGUCAUUCAGUAUUUGCAAAAGAAUCAGCAUAACUAAUUGAGAAAACCCUCGUCGCUGUUCAGAAAAAUACAGAGAUGGGAUGUGGGGAAAUCACCUUGUCGAUGUUCUGUUUCGGGCAUGUCAGCUGGCGUUCGACCCGAACCUAUAAACCCUAUCGAUCCUGCUAAUGGGAUUAUGGGCUACAAAGGUAACUCAGAAAUAUCACGUUCCUCGCUACUACCACGGUCCGGCUAGACAGGGGAUAUCUAUGAGUAUCCUAGCCCAAACACCACGUUUACGCUAGAGAUGAUUACUCUAAACUCUACGCGAAGAGAUCAAAGUAAACUCAUAAACCAAAGAAUAAUAAAACAAAGAACUUACUAGAAUUUAGAAGUCGAAAUACUGAAGAAUCCUAGAAGCAAGCCUCGGGUUAGGAGACUUGAUCCCGCAGGUACAACCUUGGAGUAGACACGAACAGGCCGGGCUUCCUCCGAUCUACACCUUCACUCUAUCUCUCUCAAUCUAGUAGAACUAAUUCUACUCUCACAUUGGAUGCUAAGCCCUAUGAGGUUGGGAACCCUAAAGGAACCUCUCUCUCUGAAUCCUCUCUGGAAAAUAUGCUAAUGAAUAAUGGGGAUUGAUUUCUCUAGGGGCCAGGGGCCUUGCUUAUAUAGUCCUCUCAAAUGAAUCUGGGCCGUCGGAUCAAAUCGACCUUGAUUGAACGGUUCUCCUUGAUCCUCAAAGGUGGUGGAGCAUAAUCCGCGUGAUGCACCCUGAUUGGCCACCAUAGGUGGGCGGGCGCCUAGGGGGGCUAGGCGGGCGCCCUGCCUGUGGGCCCACUCGGCCUCCCGCUCAUUCGUGUGGCUUCUGGAACCUUCUAGACCGAGGAAAAUUGGCGCACAAGUUAAUAUCUCUAUGUAAACCCGACGUGUGGGCCUUUCUUCCAUAUUUCCUGAUAAACCCCUGCAGAAAUAGAUAAACAGCAAAACUCGUGGAAUUCUGUCAGAUCAAACCCUAAUUCUAGGUGUUGCUUGUAUAUUAGUCCUUUUCCUUAUUUAUUUCAUGAUUACAAUUGAUGCUUAAGAACCAUCAACAAACACCCCCAUACUUAGGCUUUUACUCGUCCUCGAGAAAAGGAUGAUUUAGAAAAAAUAUCCGGGGUUAAAAAAUUGUAAAGUAUUCUCUUCAUACCUGCAGGGUGUCGUAAAAAUCCACUGCGUACCGUAGUCAGGGAAAUAUAUGGUCAAGAGUAGAGAUCCUUUCUUCUUCUCAACCCUGUUACUUGGAGUUUUUGUAUAUAUAUAUAUAUUUUUUGAAAAAGAAAUUUAGCAUACCUUUAUCCUCAUAGGUUCUCUCAGAUCGCUCAUUUAUCUUUUGUAUAUCUCACUGAGGCUGUUUUAAUUUGCAGAAAUUUUCAAGCAUACUUACCUUGCAUUUAUUGCCUGAUCAAAACGGGAUCUGAGGAGAGGAAUGACAUACUCUUAGAUCAAAGACUUUGAAAUUAAAAACUUGUCAAUCUUACUGACAUAUCGCUUAUUAGAGGGAUCAUAGGUUAUCAUUUUCUCUUUUUUCUUUUUUUAGGUGGAUACCAAGGUACCCCUAAUUCUACUGCCGGACACUUGUCCAUUUUUUCUGCGAGGUUGUCGAGCACUUGCUCCUUUUUAUUUCCUCGAAAUAUUCAUAUUUUUGCAUAGCCCAUGCCUCUAACGCAAUAAUACUUCGGAAGAGUGAAUCUUUCUGAAUAAAUGUCUUGAUCUUAGGAGCAUGAUAAAUCUCUCAACAAGGGUCUAACUCAUUUUGAACAAACUCAAUACAGAGCAGAUAUCUUUUAUAAUUAUCAUAAUUAAUAUUUUCAGGUUUAGCAGGCAUAUAAAACACUGAGGAUGGUAGCUAGAAUUUUUAAAGAUUUUUAGACAAAUUCUCCAAGCAACAACGAUAUCAAGAAUGAGGUACUCAUACUCUACAUUCCACAGUGACUUAAGUAACACAAGGUUUUUAAAUAAUUUUUAAUAAUUGCAAGUUUUCAGAAAAUAUCACAGAGUGAGAUUGAUCAUGAUUAGAAACAUUUUAAUCUUGUUAAUUUAUCCUGUCGGAGACAAUAUUCUGCACGAACCAAGAUAUUUGUGUAUGUGUAAAGUGUGCAGAGUAUGUACCUGAAUCGUGGAGUGGUGUAGUCGGCAUGUCGGGGGAUCUCCCCCAUACUUGUUUUUUGCUUACUUGCAUAAAAAAUAAAGUAGAGACACACAGGACAUAAUAAUAAUCUUUAUUAAUCUUGAGGCAUUUAUUACAACUGACUAAUAAUGAACUGAAACUAAUAAUAGAUCUAAGCCGAAUCUAAAGAUGAAUAACUAAGAUACACUGCCCCAAGAUCUAAUCUAGAUAACUUAGUGGUGCUUUAACUCCCUAAUCUUCUUAUUAGCACUAGCAAGAUCAUGCUUAAGACCUAGUAUAACGGUGUUCUGGUUAGAGAGCUGCCUAUUGAUAGAGUUAACCGAGGACUGGAGCUCUAUGAUGACCUUGUCUAGCCUACGAACGUCCGCAUCUACAUCUGCUAUAGUCUUGUGGCGCUUAGGAGGUAUCUCAAGAGCGUUGAGGGCGUGCUUCGGUGCUGUCUUUGGAGGGAUGAAGCGGACUUUGGCUGCUCUAAUCCCCUCGAAGUAAGACCUCUCCUCCUCCGUGGUGUAGCGGACGCUGCUGAUCUCGCUGCUCCAGUUGGUCUUGACUCCGACGACCCGCUCAUUAAGUCUGGGUGGUAGGAUCCUCAUGCCGGCUGGCACCUUGACGGUGGCCUCCUUCUUGGCUGACGGCCCCUUGAGAAGUAAGGGCUGCGGCGGCGCGGUGAGAACUGGUUGGGCAUAGUAGGAUUGGGCGGAGCUGCGCUGACGUGAUGGCAUGGCUGCUAGCUGUCGCUCUGUGUUGGCCGAGACGAGAGAGUGGUCGUCGGGGUCUUCCUUGGGCUUCUUGUUGAGGUCGUAGGGGACGACCUCCCAAUCGUCGUGGAACUCGUCGGCCAUUGGAGCAGCAAGGGACCAAGCAAGCUCUAAUUGAGGAAGGAGAGAGGUUUUGAAUGAAUUGGUGUUGAAAGCUGACGUCAGAGGUCUGUUUAUAUAGGGGUCAAAAAGUGCCUCUAGGGUUUGCUCGGGUUACUCCCGCCGCCAUGCGUGCGUAACAAACCAUCUGCGUGAUUAUUGGGAUUACCAUAGAUGAGUUUAUUGCGACGGAGGAAACCGAGACCGAGGGGAGACAGGGGCUGGGCGCCCGCCCUCAUCAUCAGGGCGCCCGCCCUAUGCCUGGCUCCUCUGUGGGCUGUUGACGGUCCUUAAGUAUCAAAUUUAAUUAUCAAAUAAACAAAGAAAAGGAUCCAAAUGCAACCAACAUCCAGACUUAGAGUUUUAUGUGACAGAAUUCCAUGAGUUUUGGUGUUUGUCUAUUUCUGCAGGGGGUUAUCAGGAAAUACAGAAGAAAGGCCCACACGUCGGGAUUACAUAGAGAUAUUAACGUGCCGCACAAUUUUCUAUCGUCUAGAAGACUCCAGAAGCCACGGAAACGAAGCGGAGGCAGAACGGGGCCUGGCCCAGGGCACCCGCCCUAGAGACCAGGGCGCCCGCCCCCCUUUGGUGCCCAAUCAGAGUCCUCUUCGGGGAUCAUGCCCCACUGACCUAAAGGAUCAAGGAUAACCGUUCAAUCAAUGUUGGUUUGAUCCAACGGCCCAUAUUCACUUGGAAGGACUAUAUAACCAGACCCCCUGGCCCCUGGAGGAGAGCACCUCUCAACCCUAAUUCAUUAUUCAUGAGGGAGAAGAAGCCUCUGAUCAAGCCCUAGAGCCACCACAUCAAUUAGAUCUCUAGAUUAGCAUAGCUACAUAGGAUUAGAACUAGAAGGAGUCAAUCUUCGAUUGGUUUCCGGAUCUGUCAAGAGGAUUCUCGGUAAUUCUCUAUUGUUCUUCAAUUGUUCGUCUUUGUUCUUUGAUAUUAUAAAUAUGACUUUGUUCUACUUCAAUAUAUUGAUUAUGACUUUGCUCUACUUGUUUAUAUUCGCAAUUAUAUUGUUCUUAGUUUAUCAUAGUUAUAUACUUGGCUUAGUUAGAUUGGAAUUAUAUACAUGUUUAGGAUCGUAUAGCGUUUAUCCAUCGGAUCCAUGGGUAAAUGAUAUAUAUUGUGUAGGCGUGGUUCCUAUACCGUAUUUAUCUGCGAUUGUACCCUAUAUGCCAGAUCGCGGGGUAGUUCGUGGUAGUGACAGCUCCAUUGAUUCUUAUAUAGUCCCCCUCUCGUGUAUUGGGCUGGCAGAGCAACAUUAUUACAGGGAGUGAUUGCGAUGUUUCUCAUAUUCCUUGGUAAUAUCACUAUGCAUGGGCGUAGUCCUGUCUCACAAUGAUUGCUAAGUAUAAUUGCACUAACUACGAUAUGCUAGACUGUAUAGUUAAGAAUAACAUAGGAAAUAUUCUUGUAGAUCGUCCUAAUUCCACGAUAAUGACUUGCUAGAAUAUCUAAUUGAGGUGCUUAUCAUAUUUAUAUGUGGCUAAGUUAUGCUGAUCAGAUUAAUUAUCUUUGUCACCAUUCAUUACUUUAUAUAUCCUUUAUGUGACACUUAUUCCUGUAUGAAAGAGAUAGAUAAAUGUUCUUAGUUAUACAUGCAAUGAUAGAUACUCAAUUCUAUAUUCCAUUCUAUAAUCAACAUUGAUGUUUAGCAAUCCCUUCCUAGUGGUAAAAAUAUAAAUAACGAUAGCAAGAAUACUUCUCGGUUAAAAUGCUACAUCAGUAUUAAUCUGUGCGCUUGCAGAUCCCAUUUAUUAUUUAUUUAGAAGAGCAAUUGCAUAUUUCAAUACCGCGUCUUUCAUGUCAUGCUGGGGAUGACAACUUGGGUUAAGUGGCAUGAGGGAUAGGUUUGGCAUUUUUGGCGCCGUUAUCAGAAUUAGAAAACUAAGUCUACUUUUGGUAGUGACGUUAAGAAUGCCCAACAUGGGCCUGCGUCCUCGAGCAUGCUUCUAGAUGCAAUUUUCAUUCCGAAAAAUAUAUACGUGGUCCAAAAACGUCAGAUUAAAAAGGUCGGGCUCUAAUUCUCCAUGGGAAGGUAAAAAUGGAUCACGUCUGUUUCUUCUAAUUCUUUAUUGGGCUCUAAAAAUAAUUUAAGAUGUUGACCAUUUACCUUGAAUAACGUACCUUUGUUAUUUUGAAGUGUGAUAGCUCCGUGAGAUGAUGAAUUGAUUACCUUGAAUGGUCCUUCCCAUUUACUCCGGAGUUUUCCAUGCCCGAAAAGCUUCACCCUGGAAUUAAAAAGUAAUACCUUAUCUCCGGGUGCGAACUCCUUCUUGAUCCUCUUGUCAUGCCACCUUUUAACUCUCUCCUUGUAGAUCUUCGAAUUGUGAUAUGCUUUCUCUCGCCAUUCUUCCAAUUCUGAUAGUUGCAUUCUUCUAUGAUCUCCAGCGAUAUGUAGGUCCAUAUUCCAUCUCCUUAUAGCCCAGUGUGCUUUGAAUUCUAGUUCAACAGGUAGGUGGCAAGUCUUCCCGUACACCAAUUGGUAUGGGGACUUUCCAAUUGGGGUCUUGUAUGCUAUCCGGUAUGCCCAGAGUGCAUCAGGUAACUUGUCCUUCCAUGCUGUUCCCAUCUCAUUGACUGUUUUCUGAAGAAUAUUCUUCAUUUGCUUGUUGGAAGUCUCUGCUCAGCCACUUGUCUGAGGAUGGUAGGGGGUAGCGACGUUGUGACGGAUUCCAUGUUUUGAUAGAUAGUGCUUGAAGCGUUUGUCGAUGAAUUGUGCUCCUCCAUCACUUGUCACUACUCUGGGGACUCCAAAUCUUGGAAAUAUAACUUCUUCAAACAUCCUCUUUGAACUGAUGUUGUCGGCGUGCUUGCAAGGUAGUGCCUCUACCCACUUGGAGACGUAGUCAACUGCCACCAAGAUGAACUCUCACUUCUUUGAUGGGGGAAAUGGACCCAUGUAGUCUAUUCCCCAGACAUCAAAGAGCUCAAUCUGAAGGUUGUUGGUGAGUGGCAUGGCAUCUCUUGUGUUUAUAUUUUUGUGUCUUUGACAUGGCCCACAUCUUUUGAUAUAUUGCUUCGUGUCUUCAUACAUUGUAGGCUAGUAGAAUCCACACGCCAGAUCUUUGAAUGUGUAUGAAAUUCUCCAUAAUGACCUCAAUAUGGUGAUGAAUGACAUCUGUCGAUGAUCUUCCAUCCUUCCUCGGUGGUUGAAAGCCCUAGUUUGGUUUUGGAUAAUUAAUGAAGCCCUAGUACUAACCUCUAUACUAAGUGUGUGUAGACUUAAUGAGGUUGGUACAUGCCAAGUGAUGGAGCAAGUGAUGAUCAUGGUGAUGAUGGUGAUGACCACAAGAUGAUCAAGUGCUCAACUUGGAAAAGAAGAAAGAGAAAAACAAAACCCUAUGGAGAUCAAGGCAAAGGUAUUGCUUAGGGUUUUGGUUUUGGUGAUCAAGACACCAUAGAGGGUGUGAUGACAUUUAGGAUAGAUAGCCGUACUAUAAAGGGGGGAAUUCUUUGGCUAAGCGGUUAUCAAGUGCCACUAGGUGUCAUUAUUCAUGUGCAUGCAUUUAGAACCUAGUGAGCUAACUUAACUCCUUCAAAGAAAAUGAUUGUAAAAAUACUAACACACGUGCACAUGUUGGUUUACACAUUGUAGUGUUGGCACAUGUUGGUUUACACAUUCGGCGCUUUUUGAGAAAAUGAAGUGCAUAUCUUCUAUUGCGCCGGUGGGAAACUUUGGAGAAGUCGCGGGAGUGUUUCUUGCUAAGAAACACUCACCGGACGUUGGCCACUGAGGCACCGAACGCAGAGGCUGUGCGUCCAGUGUGCUGUGGUGCUAGGGUUAAGCACCGGACGGUGAACACCAGACGCAGGGGAGCUCCUGUUCAUGCGUCCGGUGUUUUCUGACUUUGGCCGGUGUGUUUGACUGGAAGCACCGGACGCUCAGGGAGCGUCCGGUGGUGUGCGUUCGGUGCCCUGAGUGUUUUGCAGAGCUCUCUGAGUCUAAGUCCGGUGAGCACCGGACCGUCCAGUGCUCAGCGUGCGGUGACCCUGCGCGUUUGUAGACCUCUCUGAGUUUAGGACCGGUGUGCACCGGACGCGUCCGGUGGUAACUUGCUCAGCGUCUGGUGCUCGGUAGGUUACCGUUAGACUCUGACACGUGGCUGACUUUGGAGCAUCGGACGCAGGUGUUGAGCGUCUGGUGCCCCUUUAAGAGCGUCCGGUGACCCCGAGUUUUGCCCAAUGAAAGAGCCAACGGCUCUUUUUGUUUGAGGGGCUUAUAAAUAGUUGUUGGCCGGCUUAGGGCUUACUCUCUUGGCAUUCUAGCAUACUUGACAUCCUUGUGAGCCUAAGCAAACACCUCCCACUCAUCUCCUUCAUAGAUUAAACAUCUUUAUGAGAUUGGGAGUGUUUCCAAGUGCAUAUGCUUGAGUGAUUGCAUCUAGUGGCACUUGGGGAUCGUUCUAGCUGUGAUUUUCUUGUUACUCUUGGUGGUUGCCGCCACCUAGACGACUUGGAGCAGCGGAGGAGGAUUGGCACGUGUUGGUGAUUGUUCGUGGCCAUUUUCGGUGAUUGUGAGGGGUCUUAUACCUUCCCCGACGGAGAGCCGAAAGGUAACUCUAGUGGAUUGCUUGUGUCAUUGAGUUACCUCACUUGUGAGUCGGUUCUUGUGGUGUCCUAGUGAGGACGAGGUUCGUGCAACACCUCUUAGCUACCGAACCACCAAGUGUUGGUCGACACAACGGGGACGUAGCGUGCCGGCAAGCACGUGAACCUCGGGAGAAAAUUGUGUGUCUCUAUUGUGAUUGUUCAUUGGAUUUCUCUCGGUGAUUGGACUUCAUAUUAUUGAUUGGUUCAUCCCCUCUACGCGGCGGUAUAAAGAUCAAACCAUCUCUUUUUACAUUCCCGCAAACUAGAGUAGCUUACUUACUUGUAUAGAAACUUUAGGUAGCUCUCUAGUGUAAGUAGUGACAUAGCUCUUGUGUGCCUAGAGAUUAUAUCAACUAGAAUUGUUGGAUAGCUGGCUUGCAAACACCCCUUUUAGAGCUAGAGCAAAAAGCUUCGCUUUAUUAUUUACUAACCUCAUGCUCUAGUGAGUUUGUAGAAUUUUUAAAUAGGCUAUUCACCCCCCUCUAACCAUAUUAGGACCUUUCAGUGGUCACACAUCUCCUGAGUAAGCCAUCAGAGCAUACUCGGAAGAGAUAUGGCUCAUCCCAUAUAUGUGAACGACUUUCUUGAAUAAGCUUCUUCUUGUUCGCUCCUGGUGGUACAUACCCUGAAACCAUAAAAUUAACAAUAUUUGCAUACCAGAGGUCAGACCUGUUAAUCCCGUAGAGCAUGUCGUCCUGGAGUGAAUCAUUGAUGGAGGUUUCCUGUGGAUUCUUAAAAUACAUUCUAGACAAGUGAUCAGCAACAGAAUUUUCUACUCCUUUUUUAUCUUUUAUUUCCAAGUAAAAUUCUUGAAGUAAUAAGAUCCAUCUAAUCAGGCGAGGUUUAGCAUCUUUUUUAGUGAGCAGAUAUUUUAGUGCAACAUGAUCAGUGUAAACAAUUAUUUUAGCUCCAACUAAAUAAGAUCUAAAUUUAUCAAUGGCAAAGACAACGGCCAGAAGCUCUUUUUCAGUGGUUGCAUAAUUAAGUUGAGCUCAUGUCAAAGUUUUACUGGCAUAAGCAAUUGCAUGAUGCUUCUUAUUUUUAGUUUGUCCCAAAACUGCCCGCACAGCAUAAUCACUAGCAUCACACAUAAUUUCAAAAGGCAACGACCAAUUAGGGGGUUGAAUGAUUGGUGCAGAGAUGAGUGCAUUCUUCAAUAAAUUGAAAGAUGUUAGGCAUGCAUCAUCAAAUUUGAAAGGAGCAUCCUUGGCUAGCAAAAGAGUAAGUAGUCUAGCAAUAAAUUAAAAAUCUUUUAUAAAUCUGUGAUAAAAACCAGCAUGGCCAAGAAAGCUUCAAAUUCCUUUUAUAUUGACAGGUGGAGGUAGUUGUUCAAUUACUUCAAUUUUUGCUUUGUCUACCUCAAUGCCUCUUUCAGACACUAGGUGUCCCAGCACUAUUCCUUCCCUAACCAUAAAAUGACAUUUUUCCCAAUUAAGGACUAAGUGCUUUUCUUCACAUCUUUGCAAAACCUUGUCUAAGUUUUCAAGACAACUAUCGAAAGUUUUUCCAUAUACAGAGAAAUCAUCCAUGAAAACUUCCAUAAUGUCUUCAAUCAUAUCAGAAAAUAUAGACAUCAUGCAUCUUUGAAAAGAAGCUGGUGCAUUACAUAACCCAAAAGACAUUCUAUGGUAAGCAUAAGUUCCGUAUGGGCAUGUAAAAGUAGUUUUGCUUUGAUCAUCGGGAUGGAUCGGGAUCAGGUGAUACCCUGAAUAUCCAUCUAAGAAACAGAAGAACGAAUGGUUCGCUAAUUGCUCUAGCAUCUCAUCUAUGAAAGGUAAAGGAAAAUGAUCCUUUUUCAUGCCUUUGUUCAGUUUUCUAUAGUCUAUGCACAUCUGCCACCCUAUGACGGUGCGUUGCGGAAUUAGCUUGUUCUUUUCAUUCAUAACGACAGUCAUGCCUCCCUUUUUAGGCACAACUUGAACUGGGCUCACCUACUCGCUGUUCGGCACAGGAUAUAUAAUCCCUGCAUGCAGCAACUUUAUAACUUCCUUUUUAACUACCUCUCUCAUCGCGUUGUUAAGUCUACAUUGGGGCUCUCGAGAAGGUGAAACAGAAGGAUCUGUCGGAAUACGAUGGGUACAAAUCAUAGGACUGAUUCCUGUAAGAUCUUAGAGUAACUAGCCGAAAACGGAGUGAUGUUUCUCAAGAAUGGUCAUCAAUCGCAGAGUUUGCUCCUGAGUGAGUUUAUCACUAAUGAUCACAGGAAACUCUGGAUUAUUGUUUAGGAAAGCAUAGGUAAGACCGGGUGGUAAAGUUUUAAGCUCUAGGUGUUUCUGCAAACUCAUCUAAGGGUUCAAGUUCAGAAGGUUUAGCUUCUUCUUCUGUGAAGAAAGGAGCUUCUUCUUCUAAGUCUGGUUCAUCUAAAAGCUCUAGAGAUACAGCCUUUACCUCCUCCAUAGGAUCGGGCAAAAGAUAUGACUCGGUCUUAUUAUUUAAGGAGUGAGAAAUCGUUAUUGGAAAUUUAAAAUCUUUUCCAAAAGAAAUGUGUAGCUUCCCAGUUUGAUCUUCAUAAAGGAGUCUUCUAAAAGGUUGUCCUAUCAACAGGUCAAAGUCCCAUGUAUCAAAGAUAUAAAAGUUCAAAUGAACCAUGGAGCCUUCUACCAUAAAGGGUAGGACAUUAAUAAUUCCAAGACUGGGGACUAAUCGUCCCGAAGAUUCCUUUAUGACCUUUGUUGUGUGGGUUAAAACCAAUUUUUUAAAUAAUUUAAGUGCAAAAUAUUCAGACAUGAUGUUGAUCCCCACAACAGGAUUAUAGAGAGCAUCAAAUUGAUCAGAAUCAUAAGCACAACGUAUAGUUAUAGGAGGUGUGUCCAAACGGAUCACAUCAGAGGAAAGCUCUGACUCCUCCAACCAUUCACUACUCAUGACUGAGAUAAGCUCUCUCAAUUGAUGUUCACUUGGCAAACAAAUGCUAAAAUGGCCUUUUUGGGGUCUGUCUAUAGAAUGGUAGUUUGAAAUGUUUCCAAAAUCGGUAAAAAGAUCAGAUUCUAUAUCCAGCAUGAAAUCAGGUGGUGGAAUUUGUUCCUUUUGUGGCUCAGAACUUGGGAUAGCUAAAGUAGAUGGAGAAUUUGGCAAAGUGUCUACUUCGGCUUCAUGGCUUUCAUCAUGAAGGGUAUUAUCCAUCUCAGCUUCUAGGAUUCUAUCUAGGAUUGCUCUAGCGUCAUCAGUAGGGAUGCGAAAGAAAGAACCUCUAGACAUUGUAUGUAGCAUUUGUUUAUGAUCUUUCUAAAGACCUCGAAAAAAGUGAAAUAAAAGAACAAGGUCUUCAAGAUUAAGUUUUGGACCAGAUUCUAAAAGAUCAGAAAAACAUUUCCAGGAUUUUCCCAAAGUUUCAUUAUCUUUUUGUUGAAAAGAUAGGACUUCGAGUCUAAGGUCGCCGAUACGGUCGAGGGAAUAAAAAUCUAGACAAAAGUUGGCUCGUAAGACUCCCGAUUCACCUUGUUGUUGACUUACCUUCUGACUAUACAUUGUCUAGCUUCUCCCCUUAAAGAAAAAGGAAAAAGCUUCCAAUGUAAAGUUUUAUCAGAAAUGCCUUCAAUGCGAAGAAAAUCACAUGUUUGCUCAAAAUCCCUAAUAUGAAGGUAAGGGUUUUCGUCUUCCUUUCCUGAAAAAGAUCGGUUUUGAAUCAUGGCAAUCAACCUGGAACUUAACCUAUACUAGGAUGUUUGGAUAGGGUGUGAUGACUCCCAUGGUAAAAGGUCAGUUUUCGAAGGUGUUGCAAAUUGAUAGAUCGAUUUAGAAUCUUGGUUUUCCAUAAGGUAAGGGUAAGAAAAAUAAAGAAUAUAAAAAGAUAAGAAAAGAUAAAAGUAUGAAUACAAGCUAGUAGUAAGACUCAAGGUUUCUCAGUAAACCGUCUUUCUCCCCGGCAACGGCGCCAGAAAUGCUUGUUGAUAUUUGGUAAUGCAAUCAGGAAUUAAUCCACAAGCACACGGAUAUCGGUGAGCACUUCACCCGGGAUGUUAUCUAGAGUAUCGUAUUUAUAUUUUUACCACUAGGAGAAAGUGUGCAUCUGACUAACCAGGUCUAUUACUACUAACCUUUAGGCUACAACCACUAUGACUCGAUGUGAGUGAUGUAUAGAGAAGACUUCAACUGCACCCUCGUUCUAACCUUGGUAAGGAUGAUCUACUGUUCUGUUGGGGAGGCUCACGGAAUCUAGACACCACAGAGGAUGUUUGACCCGCACCUAUAAACCCUAUCGAUCCAGCUAACGGGAUUAUGGGCUACAAAGGUAACUCAGAAAUAUCACGUUCCUCGCUACUACCACGGUCCGGCUAGACAGGGGAUAUCUAUGAGUAUCCUAGCCCAAACACCACGUUUACGCUAGAGAUGAUUACUCUAAACUCUAUGCGAAGAGAUCAAAGUAAACUCAUAAACCAAAGAACAAUAAGACAAAGAACUUACUAGAAUUUAGAAGUCGAAAUACUGAAGAAUCCUAGGAGCAAGCCUCGGGUUAGGAGACUUGAUCCCGCAGGUACAACCUCGGAGUAGACACCGACAGGCCGGGCUUCCUCCGAUCUACACCUCCACUCUAUCUCUCUCAAUCUAGUAGAACUAAUUCUACUCACAUUGGAUGCUAAGCCCUAUGAGGUUGGGAACCCUAAAGGAACCUAUCUCUCUGAAUCCUCUCUAGAAAAUAUGCUAAUGAAUAAUGGGGAUUGAUUUCUCUAGGGGCCAGGGCCUUGCUUAUAUAGUCCUCUCAAAUGAAUCUGGGCCGUCGGAUCAAACCGACCUUGAUUGAACGGUUCUCCUUGAUCCUCAAAGGUGGUGGAGCAUAAUCCGCGUGAUGCACCCUGAUUGGCCACCAUAGGUGGACGGGCGCCCACGGGGGCAGGGCGGGCGCCCUGCCUGUGGGCCCGCUUGGCCUCCCGCUCAUUCGUGUGGCUUCUGGAACCUUCUAGACCGAGGAAAAUUGGCGCACAAGUUAAUAUCUCUAUGUAAACCCGACGCGUGGGCCUUUCUUCUAUAUUUCCUGAUAACCCCCUGCAGAAAUAGAUAAACAGCAACACUCAUGGAAUUCUGUCAGAUCAAACCCUAAUUCUAGGUAUUGCUUGUAUAUUAGUCCUUUUCCUUAUUUAUUUCAUGAUUAAAAUUGAUACUUAAGAACCGUCAACAGCAUAAUCAAGUAGGUAUCAAGGAAUUCAAGGUAACAAUCAUCUAUGAUUUUACUAAGGUUGUCAAGGUGGACACAUGCAUAUGAUAUAUGUAUUAAAUGUAAAUAGGUAACAAGGAUAGUCCUAAAUUAUACUUGCCUUAAACACUUACACAAUUCUCAGACCAUCAGCUUUUGGUCAUCAGCUUCUGAUCUUUAGCGCCCACAAACAGUUCUCGUCUACUCGUAGCAAGCACCACACAUAGACAGGCAUACAAGCAAAAUAGAAACAACUAAGAACAACACAUCAAUCAAAAGAAAAGUUUUAAAAGAGAGCGCACUAAAAGGCAUGACUCGAUGCUAAGGUCACGAGAGCAGAAAAACGACCGAGAAUGAAGCUAUCGUUAAAAAGGAUGUGAUUAAUAGGCAAAAGACUAUGGAGUGUAUUUAUUUUAUUUUAGUAAAACAUGGUGAUGGAUAUUUUAAAGAAAUAUCCUAAAGUGAAAUUAAUCAAAUUAGAUUGAUCGCAAAGCCAGAAAUAAAACUUAGUUAUAUUUUAACUACAAAUAAUUAUAUAUCAUUUAGGCCAUUUAAACAUUUAUAAUUUAGAAAGCAUAAAGCAAGUAAGAGUAACUAAAUGAAUCAUCAUGUUUCGAGGUUUACGUAAGCAGUUCAUAUUUCAAAAGGCAUUAAUGUUGCUAUUAUUCAUAUUAACACUCUUUAUUAAGUCCAAGCUUAUAUACCUAAAUUACUUUUAAUUGAAAGACAAUGAAUAAAUAUUUAUUAUAUUACAACUAGAUCGACUUUAUAUGAAUCAUGCUUCAAUUAGUCAAACUAUAAUUUAAUAAAUAUGUAUAUGAAAAGGUCGAAGAUAAACCUAAACUAUUUUUAAUCAAUUAAAAGGGCACUCAAUACACAUUAAUCAAAAUAAUUAUAUUUAUAAACAUGGAAAAUAAUGUUGAUAACAUGUCGCUAAAGUCGCCCUAAUCGCAAAGUAAUAAAUAUGGAAUUAUAACUCUAUGUCGCUUUUAAUUAUAUAGUUAGAUGCGUAUGUUAAUUAAUUUAAUAAUCAACUAUAUAUAGAAAAAUAUGUAAUAUGAAAAGCAUUGGCACUACCGUGUAGAGUACGACGUCAUGAAUCUAACGCAACUGGAACCAAUGAAUCUACGCAACUGGAACCACUCGAAUCGGAUAUAAAACAAAUAAACUAUUGCUAUUUUCGUCUGGUGGCAAAAUCGUAAUUAAUAUCAUCUUCUACCUUGGAUCUUCAUCUUCACGAACGCAACAACUUGCUGCUGCUUCAUGCAGGGAAGGGAAGGGACUCCGGCCAGGGCUCUGUCGGCCGAGAUAGACGGCAGCCGCGGAGGUUCACGCACAAGGCUGAGGUGGGCUGGUUGCCCCAUACGGCAUGGAGGAUGGCCGCACGACCUCCUGCCUGCUCUGCUGACCUGGCGGGCAGGGGUAGGGCGUGUGCGGAGCAGCGCAGGGCUAUGGACUUGGGUGCCUCGGCUGCGGUGUGGGCGCAGGUCACCGGUGACGCCAUACGGAGUCACCGUGGCCGGAAACGAAGGAGAAGAUUGCGUUGUUCAUGGAGAUACGUCACCGGAAAAGAAAAAGAGAUUAGGGAAAUGAUCAAACAAAAUAGAUUGGUGAAAAGUAUGACGUGACGGUGUAGUGAACAACGAGACGAACUGGUGACGGUUUUUGUAGGGGAUGUCGGAGAUGGCAGAAAAAGCUUGCCGUCGCCAAAAAUUCGUCGAAGCUAUAGGUUUCGAAACUUCGGCUUUAGAUCCAAGACGAUAAUAGUGGUGGCUCAGAAAAGUGGUUAUACUUUUGGAAUCAGCGCGUCAAGGGCUACACCGGCAUAUAUAUAGUGUUAGGGUUUGACGUCAUGCAAAAUAUUGGAUAUUUUAUUAUUUUCGGAUUUAAUUAAUUUCGUAAUUAAAAUAAUUUCAGAAAAGUUCAGAAUUGAUUUUUAAGCUGUGAAAAAUACUCUGAAUGAUCCAAAAAUUUGGGGAAAAUUUCUAGAGAUACUUUAGAACACAAGGAAUCUAAAUAAAGUAUUUAGAGCUCAUGAAAAGAUAUCUAGAAGCAUCUAAAAAUUAAAUUUUACUCGUAGAAAGGUGGGAAAAUUCCAAAAAAGGUGGAAAAUUUUUCGAGAAGUUUUAAUAGGUCGGUUGAUGAAGAUAAAGUCAAAAGAAUGAUUUAGAGUAGAAGAAUAGCAUCGGGGGCAACUCUAUGAAAAGAUUAAGACUCAGGAAAAAGAGAGUUGGUUAAUGAUAGACACGUCGGAGAAAGAUAAACGACUUACUAAAUAUGCUCUAAAACUUUAUCCACUCACAACACAAGUUCAAUCAAUAAACAAGCAUCACCACACAUCAAGCAAAAGCCCGUCAAGUUAAUUCAGAACAAUUUAGAAAUUCAUAUUUUUUCUAUAACUAAUUUGCCCUAACUCAAACUAAAUUUGGCAAAUCUUAUACAAAUAUUAAAUUCAUUUAUAUUGGUUUAGUGUUUUCUAUGCACAACCUAAAAUUGAAAAUUUUGGGGGUGUGACACAGGUUGUCAUCUCUAGCAUGAUGUAGAAGUGCUAGUAUUAAAUCUAUAUGCUUUUCUUAGAAUAAAUAAUAAAUAAAGGAUCCGCAAGCGCACAGAUAAUACCGAUGUAGCAUUUUAACCGGGAGUAACCCAGGUAUCGUUAUUUAUAUUUUUACUAGACUUGCAAUGGAUAAUGAGCAAUGAGCACUGCAUAUAACCAUGAAGAACUUAACCAUGUCUUUUAUCUAUCUCUCAUGCAGGGUAAGUGUCACAUAAGAUAAAUAUAUGAAUAUGAAUAAUAAGUGACAGAUAAUAAAUAAGAAUUCAUAGCCAUGAUCAAGAUUCACUUGCACCCACAUAUAUAUGCACUCUCUUACAUUGGGAGUAGACACAAAACAUGCCUUCCAUUUAGAUCCACCCAAAAUGUUUCUCUCCUACACUGGGAGUGAACACUAAAAAGAUCCCUGAUAGGUUUUUCAUCCACCAAAUAAAUGCUCCAAUUCUUGAUGCUAUCUCUCAAAAGUCUUUGUUGUCAAAAAGAGUCAUGAGCUAUGCAAAAGUUAUAAAGAAAAAAUAUAUAUAUAUAGGGAGUUAAAAAAGGGACUAGUGUCCUAGAGAUGAAAACAAUGAGUACUCAGAUACUUGCCUCCCUAAAAGUAAAAAAGAGAGAGAAAAAAAAGAAAAGAAAUAAUAAUAAUAAGAUAGCUCAUGUUCUCUGGCCAAGUUUUUAAAUUCAAAAGAGAGAUAUAUUCAAGGAGUAUAGUAGAAUUAGGUUUCUUCAACUCUACCAUAUAUCCAUUAAAUAUCCACACACAUGCACAUCUUGAUCUAAGAGUAUGAUAUUUCGCUCCUCGGGUUCAGGAUUUGACUUUAUAAUAUAUGCAACACAAGUAUGCCACAACAUCUAUCUCUACCUGAGCUCCACAUAAACUAUUAGUUGUAGGAAGAGAAGAGCAUAAUAAGAUACACCAUUGAGCGAUCGAGAGUACCAUUUGAGGAGUAAUAGUGAUCUAUGCUUUCCUUUUGUAAAAACUUUAAAAACUUUAAGUUGUUAAGAUGUGAAUCUGGGAAGAUGACUUUGCUUCGAGAACUGUUCCACUUUUCAACCACCCAAGGACAUAUGUUAGCUAAUGCCACAUAUCCCACUUGUGUGAGUAAUGUUUUGGAAUAAUUUUUAUGUUAGCUAUAUAUUUUUCGAUGUCAUGAUCAUGAUUACUUUUAUCUUUAACCUUUACUCGAGGACGAGUGAAAGCCCUAGUUUGGUUUUGGAUAAUUGAUGAAACCCUAGUACUAACCUCUAUGCUAAGUAUGUGUAGACUUAAUGUGGUUGGUACAUGCCAAGUGAUGGAGCAAGAGAUGAUCAUGGUGAUGAUGGUGAUGACCACAAGAUGAUCAAGUGCUCAACUUGGAAAAGAAGAAAGAGAAAAACAAAACCCUAUGGAGUUCAUGGCAAAGGUAUUGCUUAGGGUUUUCGUUUUGGUGAUCAAGACACCAUAGAGGGUGUGAUCACAUUUAGGAUAGAUAGCCGUACUAUAAAGAGGGGAAUUCUUUGGCUAAGCGGUUAUCAAGUGCCACUAGGUGUCAUUGUUUAUGUGCAUGCAUUCAGAACCUAGUGAGCUAACUUAACUCUUUCGAAGAAAAUAAUUGUGAAAAUGCUAACACAUGUGCACAUGUUGGUUUACACAUUGUGGUGUUGGCACACUUUGAGAAGGAGGUUGAGGUUGAAGGGAAGAGAGAGGAUGGGUUCCUCUCUCCCUCCCGCUGAGCUUGCGAGGCGAGAUUCGGCGCUUCUUGAGAAAAUGAAGUGCAUAUUUUCUAUUGCGCCCGUGGGAAGUUUGGAGAACCGGACGCUGGCUGCAGAAGCACCGAAUGCUGAGCCUACACGUCCGGCGUGCUGUGGUGCUUGUCUUGGCUAGGGUUAAGCACCGGACGGUGAGCACCGGACGCAGGGUGACUCCUGUUCAUGCGUCCGGUGCUAUCUGACUACUGAGGGUAAACCUAACUGAGAGCACCGGACGCUCAGGGUGCGUCCGGUGGCUCGCAUCCGGUGACCCUGUGAGUUUGCGAACUGCCCUACAUUUAAGACCGGUGACCACCGGACGGUCCGGUGCUCAGCGUCCGGUGACCUCGCGCGUUUGCAGACCUCUCUGUGUUUUAGACCGUUGUGCACCGGAUGCGUCCGGUGGUCUGCAGGUUACCGUUAGACUUCGACGCGUGAGAUUCAAAGAGCUGACAUGUGGCUACUUUUGGAGCACCGGACGCUCUGUUCCAGCGUUCGGUGCCUCCUGCUUGAGCAUCCGGUGACCUCGUGUUUUGCCCAAUGAAAGAGCCAACGGCUCUAUUUCUUUGAGAGGCUUAUAAAUACGUGUUUGGCCAGCUUGGGGCUCACCUUUUGGCAUUCUAACAUACUUGACAUCCUUGUGAGCCUAAGCAAACACCUCUCACUCAUCUCCUUCAUAGAUUAUUUAUCUUUCUGAGAUUGGGAGUGAUUCCAAGUGCAUUUGCUUGAGUGAUUGCAUCUAGUGGCACUUGGGGAUCGAUUUGGCUGCGGUUUUCUUGUUACUCUUGGUGGUUGUCGCCACCUAGACGGCUUGGAGCAGCGGAGGAGCUUUGGCACGAGUUGGUGAUUGUUCGUGGCCAUCUCCCGGUGUUUGUGAGGGGUCUUGUACCUUCCCCGGCGGAGAGCCGAAAGGUAACUCUAGUAUAGUGCUCAUGUCAUUGAGUUACCUCACUUGUGGGUAGGUUCUUGUGGUGUCCUAGUGAGGAUGAGGUUUGUGCUACACCUCUUAGCCACCGAACCACCAAGUAUUGGUCGACACAACGGGGACGUAGCGUGCCAGCAAGCACGUGAACCUCGGGAGAAAAAUUGGUGUCUCAAUUGUGUUUGAUUGGCAUUCUCCCGGUGCUUGAUUGUUUAUAUUGGUGAUUGGUUCAUCCCCUACACGGUGGUAUAAAUAUCUCAUCCUAUCUUUACUUACCGCAAACUAGUGUAAUUAGUUUAGUUGCUUACUUUGCCUUGUGUAGCAUAGUUCACUAGUGUAACUUGUAGAGACUUAGUUCUUGUGUGCAUAGUGAUUGUAGCAACUAGAAUUGUUGGAUAGGUGGCUUGCAAACACCUCUUUAGAGCUAGAGCAAAAGCUUUGCUUUGUUUUUUACUAACCUCUUGCUCUAGUGAGUUGUAGAAUUUUUAAAUAGGCUAUUCACCCCCCCUCUAGCCAUAUCAACGAGCAAAGAGCAAAUGUGGGGGAACUUGUUGACGGUGGAUAACGUCAACUUUUAUUAGAACUUUAGACAUGAAAGGAUACAUGAAUACCCACUAGUCUAGAGUUUAAAUUGACAAUUUCCACAAGUUUUGCAUGUUUCAUAUUUCCUAGGGAUUAUACCAAAAAAGCAUAAAAGAAGGAUUACAGUGCAUAAUUACCAUGAAACUUAUCCGCGAUGGAAAAUAUCAUCAUCAGGCUCAGGAAGGGUCUAGAAGACACCCGAAGGAGGGAGAGAAGAGGAGAGAGCGAAGGAGGAGCCGGAUCUGUCGGAUCUUCCUUGACAUUGUACUUUUGCAGUAUCUGGUUCAUCAUUCACAAUCUUCAGGUGCCUUAAUUACUAUUCUAAGUUCUUUAUUUACUUAAUUUCAGUACUUUAAGUUCAUUUAUUAGUUUCUCGCUUGCAUCAAGUGCUCUAGUCUUUGCAACGCUAGAGUAGUAAUUAAUAGGUUUGGCGUGGUGCUUAGUCUAUAUAUUACCUAGAAUUACACCUAGUUCUACGUAUAGUUGUGGUAGCCCUAGGUUGAGACAGCCCUGACGGCCGACGUAUUCCACCAUGUUUGGAUUGGUGUUGUAGGACCGUAGUCGGAGCUUCCUAGUCCCCUUUCUCAUCUGUUUGUGGCUAGUGUUCUGAUGUCCCAAAAUAAGUAGACUUUAAAGUCAAUUCGAUUUAUAGAUCCAUUAGAGAACCCUUAUAAACAUCCUCUCUACCCACUAAUAAUACUUUGACCUUUACCGUUGGACGAUCUUGAACCUUAAUUAGUACACUUCGUGUUCCUUGUGAAAAAUCGAUACUCUGGAAUACUCUCGGGUGAAAGCUACAUCGGUAUCCAUGCGCUUGCGGAUUUCUCUGUUUGCGUUUCAAAUACCCAACAAUCCUCUGUAGUUCACCCUCCGUACGUAGGACAAGCAUGGGCGCAGUCACGAAGGAGGUGACCCUUGUGUCUUAAUACCCUCAUUAGUUGAUGCCCCUUUACAUGUAAUUAUGAUAUAGGGUUGACUUAACGAUGAUUUCUAGAUGUAAUUCCACUAAUUAGAGUUAUUCAUUAGCGUAGUUAUAGAAUUUCCUUAGAUCCAACUCCCUAAUUUAUCCAUUGGCUAACUAUGAUUAUGACUAGUAGAUGCUCUAAUGAUUAUCUUUAGUUAUGAUACUUGAUGAUUAUGCUAUCACUAUUAUUUAUCCAUAUUUAUCUUGUGACCUCUGCCUGUUAUAACUAGAUUAUAUGAUUUGGGUAAUAUCGUUUAUUCAUCCUAUAUAGUUUCUUAUCAAUAUAAUAGAUUAUAGUUUAACACUUAGACUUCCCAGUAGUAUAAAUAUAAAUCGACAACCUAGAUACUUUCCUAUGUAAAAUGCUACAACGGUAUAAUUAUCUGUCCGCUUGCAGAACCUAUUUAGUUUAUAAUUAUAUUCAUAUCUUUGAUUCUUUGUCUAGUUGUAGUAGAACAUGUGAAUCUAUAUUAAAUUCCUAGCAAUAUAAUUAGGGAUGACAACCGACUUCAUGCUUAGGAAUGUUAGAGUGGUUAGUUGUUAUUUGAUAAGUUAAUUAUAUGCCGUGCAUUUCUGGUGUUGUUGCUAGGAGUAGGGUUUAUCUCAAUUUUUAGUGAUGAUGGUAGUAAAUGUCAACAAUCAACAAAGAACUAGCCGUUCUCAAUGAAGAAAGAACACAGCUGUUAGCUAGACUAAAGAUUGUUGAUGACAUAAUCAGACAAAAAGAAGAAGCUCUAUCCAAGAUCCCUGCAUCCUUAACUGACCAGAAAAGAAAAUCAUGGCAAGUUUGAAGAUCAAACUAGAUAAAAUUAAGCAUGAAAAGAAAGUUAAGAUUCCUAGAUCAGCCGAAGAAGAUCGUCAACAAAUAGCCAAAAUAGAUAGCAUUAGGCUUUCGGCUUUAAAUUCUAUUAAGUCUGCAUUAAACAUGUAAUAUAAAGAAGUGUCUGUUGGUAUAAAUUAACUGCACUCCUUUAAAUAAGAUUUAAGUAAGAUUAUCCAUAAGCGCACAGAUAUCAUACCAAUGCCACAUUUUACCAGGGGGUUUUAAAUAUAAUACCCACAUGAAAGGUCUAUAUGUAGAACUUAUAACUAUAACUUAUACUAUUGGUGUAAAUGAUAAACCAUAACUAGAAUCCUACUCAUAACAGCGAUAAGUCACUUGAUAAAAGAUAUAAGAUAAAUAAUGAUCAGUCAUCAUAAAUAGAUAAAUAUCAGAGCUCUUCUAGUCAUAGUAAUAACUACCCAUUGGAUAAACUCAGGAACCAACACAGCUGUCACCUACGUGGACUACCACACAACCCGGCACAUUGUUGACGGUCCUUAAGUAUCAAAUUUAAUUAUCAAAUAAACAAAGAAAAGGAUCCAAAUGCAACCGACACCCAGACUUAGGGUUUUAUCUGACAGAAUUCCACGAGUUUUGGUGUUUGUCUAUUUCUACAGGAGGGUUAUUAGGAAAUACGGAAGAAAGGCUCACACGUCGGGAUUACAUAGAGAUAUUAACGUGCUGCGCAAUUUUCUAUCAUCUAGAAGACUCCAGAAGCCACGGGAACGAAGCGGAGGCAGAACGGGGCCUGGCCUAGGGCGCCCGCCCCCCUUUGGUGCCCAAUCAGAGUCCUCUUCGGGGAUCAUGCUCCACCGACCUAAAGGAUCAAGGAUAACCGUUCAAUAAAUGUCGGUUUGAUCCGACGGCCCAUAUUCACUUGGAAGGACUAUAUAACCAGACCCCCUGGCCCCUGGAGGAGAGCACCUCUCAACCCUAAUUCAUUAUUCAUCAGGGAGAAGAAGCCUCUGAUCAAGCCCUAGAGCCACCACAUCAAUUAGAUCUCUAGAUUAGCAUAGCUACAUAGGAUUAGAACUAGAAGGACUCAAUCUUCGAUUGGUUUCCGGAUCUAUCAAGAGGAUUCUUGGUAAUUCUCUAUUGUUCUUCAAUUGUUCAUCUUUGUUCUUUGAUAUUAUGAAUAUGACUUUGUUCUACUUCAAUAUAUUGGUUAUGACUUUGCUCUACUUGUUUAUAUUUGCAAUUAUAUUGUUCUUAGUUUAUCAUAGUUAUAUACUUGGCUUAGCUAGAUUGGCAUUAUAUACAUGUUUAGGAUCGUAUAGCGUUUAUCCAUCAGAUCCAUGAGUAAAUGAUAGAUAUUGUGUAUGUGUGGUGCCUAUACCGUAUUUAUCUGUGAUUGUACCCUAUAUGCCAGAUCGCGGGGUAGUUCGUGGUAGUGACAGCUCCAUUGAUUCUUAUAUAGUCCCCCUCUCGUGUAUUGGGCUAGCAGAGCAACAUUAUUAUAGGGGAGUGAUUGCGAUGUUUCUCAUAUUCCUUGAUAAUAUCACUAUGCAUGGGUGUAGUCCUGUCUCACAAUGAUUGCUAAGUAUAAUUGCACUAACUAUGAUAUGCUAGACUGUAUAGUUAAGAAUAACUUAGGAAAUAUUCUUGUAGAUUGUCCUAAUUCCAUGCUAAUGACUUGCUAGAAUAUCUAAUUGAGGUGCUUAUCAUAUUUAUAUGUGUCUAAGUUAUGCUGAUCAGAUUAAUUAUCUUUGUCACCAUUCAUUAUUUUAUAUAUCCUUUAUGUGACACUUAUCCCUGUAUGAAGGAGAUAGAUAAAUGUUCUCAAUUAUACAUGCAAUGAUAGAUACUCAAUAUUAUAUUCCAUUAUAUAAUCAACAUUGAUGUUUAGCAAUCCCUUCUCAGUGGUAAAAAUAUAAAUAACGAUACCUGGAAUACUUCCCGGUUAAAAUGCUACAUCGGUAUUAAUCUGUGCGCUUGCAGAUCUCAUUUGUUAUUUAUUUAGAAGAGCAAUUGCAUAUUUCAAUACCGCGUCUUUCAUGUCAUGCUGGGGAUGACAACUUGGCUUAAGUGGCAUGAGGUAUAGGUUUGGCAUUUUUGGCGACGUUAUCAGAAUUAGAAAACUAAGUCUACUUUUGGUAGUGACGUUAAGAAUGCCCAACAAGCAUUUUUGGCGCCGUUGCCGGGGAAGGUUGAUUACUAAUCAGGAAUGAAUAUAGAAUUUCGAGUCAUCAUUCGCAUCACUAAUAUGAUUGAGCUUAUCAAUUCUCUCAUACAGUUUUACCCUGAUAUUUUUCUAUUUUAUCUUAUGCAGGGUAAUGUAUGAAUAGAAGACAUCUUCCAGGAAAUUUUGUUGACAAUCCCGAAGCGUUAUUCAGAAAAACAAGAGCCAAGCUCAAGAAGAGAUCAUCAACACUUCAGCAUGAAGCUUCAUCCAAUCAAGAAGAUCACUAGAACUUGUCUUCAGAGUUCGAAUUCAUGGCGAACAAAUCGAUCCUCGAGUUCUCAGCUCCCACUACGGACAACAUCCAUACUGGACCUGCUAUAGAGAUCGAUGGCAACUUUGAGCUCAAGCCUGGACUUAUCAACAUGGUGCAAUCCAACCAGUUCUAUGGGAAGGCACAUGAAGAUGCUAGUGCUCAUCUCCAACACUUUCUGGAGAUUUGCAGCACAUUCACCAUAUCAGGAGUCCCCAGAGAUGCUAUAUUACUUCGCCUCUUCCCAUUCUCACUGUUAGGGAGAGUGAAGCAGUGGUUCUACGCUACAAAGGAGAAGAAUACUAUGUGGGCACUCUGCUCCACGAACUUCCUAGCUAAGUUCUUUCCCAUGGGCAAGACCAAUGCUCUCCGUGGGAAAAUUACAAGUUUUCAGCAACAACAUGAUGAAUCCGUUCCAGAAGCAUGGGAGCGCUUCCAAGACUACAUCCUAGAAUGUCCCCAUCAUGGAAUGGAGAGCUGACUACUAAUGCAGACGUUUUAUCAUGGGCUCAGCAAUAGUGCCCGAGAAACCAUGGAUGCUGCAGCUGGAGGAGCAUUCCUAUCACUCACCAUAUCACAAGCCAUAGCUCUUGUGGAGAAGAUGGCGUCCAACCAAAGCUGGAAUGAAGAGAGGACCCAGACACGCAAGAAAGGUGGAGGUAUGCAUCAGCUCAAGGAGGUAGACAUGCUGUCUGCAAAGCUAGACCUGCUCAUGAAGAAGCUCGAUGAUAGAGCUGGAGAUAAGAAAGAAGUUAUGCACAUCUACGACUCUCACAUGACUUGUGAGGAGUGUGGAGAUACUGGACACUCAGGCAAUCACUGCCCUAAGAUGCUUGAGGAUGUGAACUACAUCAACAACAACAACAAUAACUACUACAACCGUCCUCAACAAAAUCAAGGUUGGAAUCAACAAAGACCUAACUACUCAGGUAAUUAUCAAGGUAACAAUUCUUACAAUAAUACUAAUAAUUUUCCACCUCUGAGAGAGUUAGUGUCUAAUCAAGGAAAGCUAAAGGAUAACCUAUCUAAGAAAUUGGCAUCUAAUGAUAAAAUGCUAGAAAAUAUAAAUAAUAGAAUGGAUAAUUUCUCUACUGCCAUCAAGAAUCAAAUUAGCUUUAAUAAAAUGAUUGAAUCUUAGUUAAAUCAAAUAGCUGUUGCUGUUCCUACUACUAACCCCGGUAUACCAUCACAACCGGAAGAAUUAGAAUCUGCAAAUCUUGUAGACAUAUUCGAUGCAGGUAACUACUGGAGUAACCCCAUCACUGAAGUUACUACUGACCUUCUGCUGGUCAAGAGAGGCGAUCCAGGACGCCUCGUCAUCCCGAUCUCCAUCAGCAUGGUGGACUUCCCAGAAGCACUUUGCGACUUUGGCUCUAGUGUCAACAUUAUGCCCAGGGUACUCUAUGAAAAAUUCUUUACAUAUCCUUUAUUAGAAACAACCAUGUGUUUGCAGUUUGCAGAUCAGACGAUAAGUUUUCCAAAAGGAAUAUUGAAGAACCUCUGUGUCCGAGUUGGUACCUUAUACGCCCUAGCAGACUUUGUGGUGAUAGAGACUAGUAAUGAUGAGAGGGCACCCAUCAUCUUAGGCAGGCCAUUCUUAAAUACCUCGGGAGCUGUCAUCUAUGCUAGUGCUGCCAAGAUCAGUUUCUACAUCAAAGGGAGGAAGGAGACGUUUUGCUUCAAGAACAAGACUACACAAAUCCCAGAGCAAUCUCGACAUGAAUCAAGGAAGAGGACCAACAGGAGGAACAGGAACAAGCAAGUGUGGACUGAGUCAGUUAAGAUGGUCACUGCAGUUCAUGAAGGACAAGAUCAUCGACUUAAGUCACCGUUUCUGACCAAGAAGGACGACCCAGGAAUGCCAAGCAUCUAUUGCUCCAUAAAUGGGUACAACUUCUACAAGACAUUUUGUGACAUCGGAUCGGGCGUCAACAUAAUGGCCACAGUCACCUAUCGGCUCUUGUUCGGAACCAAGCCCUUAAAACCAACAUACAUUCAGCUCCAGAUGGCAGAUCAGACAUUUCAAGAGGUUGAAGGUAUAGUAACUGAUGUCCCUGUCAAAAUAGACGAUCAUUUUGUCUACACAGACUUUCAAGUUAUUGACAUGGGAGAAGACAAAUACGAUCCACCCAUCAUCCUUGGAAGACCGUUCCUCAGCACCGUUAAAGCAAUCAUCUACAUUGGAACUGGAGAAGUCCAUAUGCACUUCCCCUUAGAGAAGGUACGCCGCUAUUUUACUGACCCUAACUAUAUCAUUGAAGACUCUAAACAGGUAGGAAGAAGACGACGCAACCGCAACCAGAAGAGACAAAUCAUCAAGGAUGGAUGGGCAGACUACGAAGGAGAAGUUGUAAGGUCUGAAGACAUACAGCUUGAAUAGAACUAUCCUGACGAGACCGUAGCACCAAGUCAGGUGUGGAGAGAGAAGAUAACUAUACAUAAAGAAGAGGCGCCGCCGGAAGCACCGACUCCGCCAUCCAACGAAUCCCAGGACGACUGAGAAAACAGAGAGUCUCGUUCGGAGGACUUAAAAACACCGAACGCCUUGCCAAGAGGUAAACUUGGUAGUUAUCCUUUUCCUUUUAAUUAUUUCAAAUAGUUCGCUUAGUUAAUCAUGUUCGUACUAUCCUAAAAAAAUAUGUUAAAACCAGUAAGUCCCAUGUGAGUAUACAAGUGGCAUAAAACCCAUAAGUACAUUCACUGUGGUGGCAUAAAAAUAAAAAUAAAUAAUUUUUCUGCUCUAUAAAAUGAAAAAAUAAAAAUAGAGAGUAAUAUUUAUUGAGGAGGCUCAACAUGAUAAAGGCUAGAUAUUUAUGCUAACACUUAAUCAGUUCCACAAAGCUUUGUUGUCUAUUUGAGCUCCACAGAAUUUAAGGAUCAAAGAAGACUAGCAGACGGAGGACAUCCUAAUUGCUGUCACGAUACUGCCGACUUUCAAAUACACCUCUGCCACCUGCUAGCUACAUUAGAAGAAAUUACGUCAAAAUUCAGCUUGGGGGAGAGCACCCCCAUUUAUCCCGCUAAGUAUUUCUAUCUAUCUUUAUACUUAUACUAUAUUAAAAUAUAAAUAUAUAUAACUAUGGAAAACUAAAUAAAGAUUUUAUGCUUAUAUAUAUAUCUUUUGCUUAGUGUGUUUAAUAAAUAAAUAAAGUGGCUAUGCUAAACUAAAUCUUAAUAAUAAAACUCUAGCAUGGAUAUGAUGAAUAGUGGCUCUGCCUAAUUUUAAAAUUUGAGUUCUCUCUCUAGUUUAGACAUAACUGUUAUAAUUUAAAGCUUGCUCUAAACCUAAACUUGUGGGAAGAAAACUUGAUCUGAAGUCUAGGUUGUUAACGGAUAUGAUAUGGGAAGGUUGAGCUGCUGUUUAUCUGUUUCUAGAGAUGCUAGAAUUCUAGAGAAUUUUAUCUUCAAAAAUCUUUAAAAAUUGCAUGAUGAGUUCCUGUAUGAUGAGAGUUUAAAUUCCUACCACAGUCAUAUAUACAUGCUUGCUAGAUUUUAAGCCACACAUUUACUUUUUACUGCUUAUGAGCAUUGAGUGUGGUCAAGCUAUGUAGACCCUUAGGAGCUUGUCAUGUGGUUAAAUCAAGAUUCACUUGCACGUUCACUCACACAUGCUACUUCUACCUCAGAACUACGCAUCCACAUAUAUCCACUCAUUUCCAUCUCCAGAACCAUCCAAAAAUAUUCUACUCCUAAUCCGGGAGAGAAUAGCCAAAAAUAUUUCUAUUUCCCCUAUGAAAUAAAUGCUCAACUUAUCUUGGUUACUACCACUUGCUAUAUUAUUUCAUGAGAUGAGUGCUCUAAAAAAAGAAAAAAAGUGAGACAAGGGGUAAAAAUGGACAAGUGUCCGACAGUAGAAUUAGGGGUACAAAAUACCCACCUAAGAGGAAAGAAAAAGAAGAGCAUCUCAUUCUCCUCAAAAGUUUCAAAGAGCAAGAAAGGUAUGUAUCCCCUCAAAAGAGCAAAAGUAGAAUUAGACUUUCACCAUUGUUAUCACCAUCAUCACCAUACACCAUUCGCCACACAUGCACAUCUUGAUUUGAAUUAUUGACUUAUUUCUUUGGAUCCAUGGUUUGACUAUACAAUAAAUGUCUUGUGAGUAUGUAUACUUUAUCUCCCACCUAUGAGCUCCAGAUAUUAAUGCCUUAUUAGAGUAGGAUGAGAGAGAAGGUAAUGUCACUAUGCCUUAUACCACAAAUACCACAUAUAUUGAGAGAAGGCGUAUACCAUCACUGCCUUGGUAAGGAUCCAAAAAUACCACAAAAGAGAGAUCUGAGAGAGUUAUACAAGGAAUCUCUGAGUUUUAUUUGAAAUCUGCAAAAAAACUCCAGAGCUAUAGCUGAUCAAGAAUAAGAGACAUGGCGCUUGACUAGACUGUUCUAUCUUUUAACUACUCAAGACGGAAGUGACGGUUACAAGUCCCAUGGUGAAAGGUAAAAUGAAUAAGUUUUAAGUCUUGACAGUUUACUCUAACUCAGAGAUGAGAUCUUAUUUAAAAGCAUGUGUACCGUCAACUUUUAAAGGCAUUACAACAACUUCUGAUCCAUCGCUGAGAUUAUCCUUGCUCAGGGACGAGCAAGAGGUAAGCUUGGGGGAGUUUGUUGACGGUCCUUAAGUAUCAAAUUUAAUUAUCAAAUAAACAAAGAAAAGGAUCCAAAUGCAACCGACACCCAGACUUAGGGUUUUAUCUCACAGAAUUCCACGAGUUUUGGUGUUUGUCUAUUUCUGCAGGGGGUUAUAAGGAAAUACGGAAGAAAGGUCCACACGUCGGGAUUACAUAGAGAUAUUAACAUGCCGCACAAUUUUCUAUCGUCUAGAAGACUCGAGAAGCCACGGGAACGAAACGGAGGCAGAACGGGGCCUGGCCCAGGGCGCCCGCCCCCCUUUGGUGCCCAAUCAGAGUCCUCUUCGGGGAUCAUGCCCCACCGACCUAAAGGAUCAAGGAUAACCGUUCAAUCAAUGUCGGUUUGAUCAGACGGCCCACAUUCACUCAGGACUAUAUAACCAGACCCCCUGGCCCAUGGAGGAGAGCACAUCUCAACCCUAAUUCAUUUUUCAUCAGGGAGAAGAAGCCUCUGAUCAAACCCUAGAGCCACCACAUCAAUUAGAUCUCUAGAUUAGCAUAGCUACAUAGGAUUAGAACUAGAAGGAGUCAAUCUUCGAUUGGUUUCCGGAUCUGUCAAGAGGAUUAUUGGUAAUUCUCUAUUGUUCUUCAAUUGUUCAUCUUUGUUCUUCGAUAUUAUGAAUAUGACUUUGUUCUACUUCAAUAUAUUAGUUAUGACUUUGCUCUACUUGUUUAUAUUCGCAAUUAUAUUGUUCUUAGUUUAUCAUAGUUAUAUACUUCGCUUAGUUAGAUUGGAAUUAUAUAGAUGUUUAGGAUCGUAUAGCGUUUAUCCAUUGGAUCCAUGGAUAAAUGAUAGAUAUUGUGUACGCGUGGUGCCUAUACCAUAUUUAUUUGCGAUUGUACCCUAUAUGCCAAAUCGCGGGGUAGUUCAUGGUAGUGACAGCUCCAUUGAUUCUUAUAUAGUCCCCCUCUCGUGUAUUGGGCUGGAAGAGCAACAUUAUUACAGGGGAGUGAUUGCGAUGUUUAUCAUAUUCCUUGAUAAUAUCACUAUGCAUGGGUGUAGUCCUGUCUCACAAUGAUUGCUAAGUAUAAUUGCACUAACUAUGAUAUGCUAGACUGUAUAGUUAAGAAUAACUUAGGAAAUAUUCUUGUAGAUCGUCCUAAUUCCAUGCUAAUGACUUGCUAGAAUAUUUAAUUGAGGUGCUUAUCAUAUUUAUAUGUGGCUAAGUUAUGCUGAUCAGAUUAAUUAUCUUUGUCACCAUUCAUUACUUUAUAUAUCCUUUAUGUGAUACUUAUCCCUGUAUGAAAGAGAUAGAUAAAUGUUCUCAAUUAUACAUGCAAUGAUAGAUACUCAAUCUUAUAUUCCAUUCUAUAAUCAACAUUGAUGUUUAGCAAUCCCUUCCCAGUGGUAAAAAUAUAAAUAAUGAUACCUGGAAUACUUCCCGGUUAAAAUGCUACAUCGGUAUUAAUCUGUGCGCUUGCAGAUCUCAUUUGUUAUUUAUUUAGAAGAGCAAUUGCAUAUUUCAAUACCGCGUCUUUCAUGUCAUGCUGGGGAUGACAACUUGGCUUAAGUGGCAUGAGGGAUAGGUUUGGCAUUUUUGGCACCGUUAUCAGAAUUAGAAAACUAAGUCUACUUUUGGAAGUGACGUUAAGAAUGCCCAACACACAUCAAGGUACCCUCGUAGAUAAACAAGAUAUCUAGACACACCGCAUCUACAUAUUGUCUACCAUCUACCCACCAAUUGAUUGGGUAAACGCUAUACGAGCAAUUACAUGAAUUCAAUAAGAUCAAACCAACUAUCCUAGAUAUAAAAUCAAAGUAGACAAUGACUAUUGCAAUUAAGAAUAUAUAAGAGAUUAAGAACAAUGUUGCCUAAAUCAUAAUAUUGAAUACAAUAAGAGAAAGGUACUAGAGCUAUACUGAACUCCGCGCUCCAGACAGACGACAGGGGUUUGGAUCCCGCUGAAGAACUAGAACUCUUCUACUUCUAAUCUGACUAGGCUAAAACUAUGAACUAGAGAGGCUCUAAUGAACUAGAGAAGGCUCUUGAUGGAUUGAUCUCCAAAUGACUUGAUGCCUCUAGGGAGGGGGGUCUGCCCCUUUAUUUAUAGCCCCGUGGGAUCGACGUGCGCCGCAAGAUCAAACCGACUUAACCAAGGGCGAAAAUGACUCCUCGGAGGCGGUGGAGGAAGCUUCCAGAAGGGGGACCGGCCACCGGCCGACGCCAUGGUGGGGCCGACCGGCCCCACCUGGUGGCCUGUGGCCCCCGAUUUCUUCCGGUCUCCUAGAGUCUUCCACGUCUCAUUCGUGAUCUUUUUCGUGGCGGAUAAGUUUUGUGGUAAAUAUGCACUUGAAUCCCUCUUUUCAGCUUUUCUAGAAAUAGACCCUGGAAAAUACAGAAUAUGCAAAACUCAUUGAAAUUGUCAAUUUAAACCCUAGACUAGUGUGUUUUCAUGUUCUCCUUCGGGUUUAAAGUUCUAAUAAAAGUUGACGUUAUCGACCGUCAACAAUUCCCCCAAGCUUACCUAUUGCCAGUCCCUUGGCAAACCAAGCCUAAGCAGUAUAUGUAUUUAGAUCAAGAGUUGCUACAACAUUUUCAUUCUUUCCAAGUACACAUGCUCCCAAACAAAGAUUCUCUUUCGGAUUAGUCAAUAAAUGCUCUAAUCUUCAAACUUACCCAUUUUACCCUUAACGAUGGGGCUUUAUAACUUCUGCAUGAGUCUUGAGCAAUCAGAAGACAGAACAAUGAGGUUAAGCACUAUGUCUCAAAUUCUUUGCAGAACCAUUAUUUUAGAGUUUUUUAUAAGUUUUCAGAAUAAAACUCAGAGCUUAAUUGUAUGACACCCUCAAGUCUCUCAAUGUAUGUGAUAUUUAUAGUUCUCUCUUGAGGCAUUAAUGAUGCUAUGCCUCCUAUAGCUAAAGGUAUAUAUGGUAGAUCUUACAGGAGUGCCAAUAACAAGGAUAGGCAAACUUGCAAUGCAUGUAUUGUAAAGUCAACUAAUGGAUCCAUAGAGAAUCAAGGCAUACAAUCAAACCAAGGUGUGCAUGUGUAUGGAAUAUGGUGGAUGGGUGCAUUUGUGGUAUUUGUCGCUAAUUUCUAUUUCUUUGGGAAUAACUCUCUAUUGAAACUUUUCAGGAAAGACAUGGGCUAUCAUUGUUUUUUUCAGGGAGGUGGGCAUCUAGUACCCAUUGUUUAAAUUACUGGGACACUUGUCCAUCUUUAACUCCCUUUUCUUCUCUCUUUUUUAAUAACUUUCCUUUUGCAUAGCCACAUGCAUCCUUUGAAUACAAUAUGGUAAUUGGAGAGAUAGCAAUAAGUACCUAGAGCCAUUAAACAAAGGUUGUCCUAUGGGUUUUGUUUAUGUUAGUGUUUACUCCUAGUGUAGGAGAAUAAUGCAUAUGUGAACUAGCGUGUGUACGUGAUCUUAGUUUUAAAAGCAUGACAAGACUCUCAUAAGGUAUACGACAAAGGUUGACUGAACUCAAUGCAAAGCAAGCAGCAUAAAUGUGCAAAAGUUUUCCUAACUCUAAAUGUAUAUUAUAUAUGGCUUUGGUAGGAAUUCAAACUUGUCAUACAAGAGCUCAUCAUGUAAAUUUUAAAUUUUUGAAAUAAAUCUCCAUAACUUAAUAAUGCUAGGAAUAAGAUAUAUAGCAGCUCAGACUUUCAAUGAUCAUAUCAACCAACUACCUAGACUUAGUUCAAACUUAUGCCUCCACAAGUUGCAAGUUCAGAGUAAACCUUCAAAUUAAAACAAUCAUGUCCAAAACUCGUGAGAAUCUACCGUUGGAAUCUAGGUACUUGUAAAGAAUUAUAACAGAGCAACUAUUCAUCAUCUCCAAAACAAAAUUUUAAUGUUCAUCCAUUUUUGUUUAGCUCUAGUUUAGACAGACUCUAAACAGACUCUUACACUUAACUUAUUAUAAACUCACAAAAAGACUCUAACUUGUGGACCUUCAUGUGCCCACAUAUUUUUGGUAUUUAUAUGACUAUAUAGACUCAAAAUCACUUAGGUAUAAUUACCUGAUAACUAGGGGAUGCUCCUCCCCCAAGCUAGAUGGUUGCAAUACUUGGUGUAGACGUCCUUUAGAAUGAGCUAACCAGUAGCAGACCUGGUGAGUGCCACUGAUAGACUCUCUCCUUGCUAUGAUGUUAUUCCUGCAUAAAUACUCUCCACAAAGAGAAACCAAAACUUGAGGCUCAAAUUUGUUAAUGGGUUAGCGGUCAGCCAAAGAGUAAUUGAUCACCUUUAUGAGCUAGCUUUAUUGUUGUCUAAUUUAAACAUGAUUUCAAUUUUCUCUUAUUUUUGAAUUUUCUAUUUAUGAUGCAAGAAUUUAAAUAUGAAUGCUAUAUUUUUUAAGCCACCACAAUAAAUAUUCCUAAGGGGUUACCAUAAGUUUAUUCACAUGGGGCUUGGUAUUUAUGAUGUAGUAAUUAAAGCAGUAAAUAUUUGUUUGUAAUUUGUAUUAAUAUGCUAAGAGAAAUAAAUAUGCUACUAGGUGUAUUAAAGCAAAAUUACUAAUGCAUGCUAACUUAACUAGAUAACUAUCAUUCUUACCUUAUGGCUAGGGUAUGGAAUUUAAAGUCUACCGAUAGGACUUAGAUAGAGAACACUUACUCAGUGGGUUCAUCGUCUGAGGUAACCUCAGUCAACUCCCUGUUUCGUGGUGAUGCGUCACGUGCCUUCUUCCAUCUCAUUUCUAUCUCUUUUGCUUCUUUCUUUUUUGGCUCCAGUUCUUCAACUUUAUUCUCUUUCUCCCACGCUUCUAACUGUGUUGAUAGUUAGGGGAUGUUCUCCCCCAAGCUAGAUGUUUGCUUAUGGUUGAUCGUUGAAGCUGAGUGGUCCUCAUGGAGGAGCUCAUGCUUAUAAGAGCAAGUAUUGCCUGGAAUACUUCAAUCUCAUCACCCAAAAAGUUACUUCAUUCAUACAGGUGUUAGUUGUAUGUUAGAAAGGUGUACUUCAAGUGAUGAAGAUGAAGAUUCCUUGGUAAGCUGGCUUUUGGAGUCAUCCUAUAGAAAGCUCUCACAAAACACCAAAACUCAUGGAACGGUAUUAGGAUAAAAUGUUAAUGAUUAUCGUUUUUGGAGGAUUGGGUGUUGUGAUGGUUUCAAAGUAUUUUUAAGACAACAGUAUUGCAGCAGGAUACUCAGUUAAUAUUUUUGGAUUUUAUGGGUUUAUAUGCAUAAAGUGCAAAUGCAUGAUAUAUAUUUUUAUUCUAUAGGCCACCACAGUAAGAACUCCUACAGCUUUUACACUACAAGGGUUCCACAUGGAGCUUAAUAUAUAUAUAUAUAUAUAUAAUGCAAGACUAUUUAUUUUUGUUAUUUCUAUGCAUUGCCAAUAUAGAAAAGUAAACAUACUAAAGGGAAAUUAACUCAUACAAUGUAAGGAAGUAGAUAUAGAUAACUAUCAAUGUUACCUUACGGUGAGGGUUCGAUGUUUUUAGUCCUUCAAACUGGACUUCUCCUUGCAGUGGUUUAUUGAGUACUUUGAGUUGCUCUUGACGGUAAGGAUUGAGGUGGUGCCUCUACUAGUGGCUCCCAAUAGCGGUGCCACCUUAGUUCUUUCUGUUGUAGGCGUCUCAAAGCCAAUCUUAUGUGCAUCAUUAUAACUAGUUGAAAACCUUCAUAAAGAUAAGGUAGAGAUCAAGUGCAUGGGCUCUAUUGGUGGGAAACACCAACAGAACUAGAAAUUUAUUUAUCCUCUAACCUUGGGCACAAUAAGAUUGAUAUUUUUCAUAUUGUUCAUUCCUAUCAUGGGUGAGAGGACCAGAAGUAUAAAUAUGAUAUUUAAACUUGUGAGAUAAAGAGUAAAGUUACUUAACCAUUAGAAAGGUUAUUCAUCUUUAUAAUAUAUCAAGAAUAAUAGACGAAGUAUUUCUAGCUUACUCGGUUAAGACUGAGAUUACAAGAAUAGCGCUAUGAACAAACUUAGAGAACAAAUCAUGUUGAGUUUAAUCACGUUGAUCAAUUUCAGUUGUAACUCUAAUAUGGUUAUAUUUUCAUUUAUUGCAUACCAAGAUCAAGAAGAAAUUAAUGACCACUUAUCUUAAGGUGCUACCUUCAUUAGUGUGAUGAAGGGUAAAUGAAUUUCAAUGGUCUCUCUCUUUUCUCCUUGCAUCACGGGUUAUUCAUUAGCAUCUUGUCUCGUAUGUUGUACUCCUUUCUCAUUCUUCAAACCUUCUGCUUCUCUCAUUAUGUCUUCUCUGCAAGGGGUUAGUAGAGAACACAUACCCGAAGGAAUAUACUAUUUAUCAAAGUAUGGAUAGUGUUUGCCUAAGAGUUAAAGAUAAAUUUGUAGCUCAUAUUUUCAAUGAUUCACUAAUUUAAUUAAUAUAUUAUAUAUAUAUCAAGAUUAAAGCAAGGAUAUUAUUUUGAAGCAUAUUCUUAACUUGAAUUGAUUCUAUGAAUAGUCUCCUAAUAUGAUUUAAACAUUUUUUAAGUAGGAGGGGUUAGUCUAUAUGUAUAAAUAAAUUCUUAUAUAAGUAUGCUUGAUUUUCAUAAUCUUUAAGUAAUAUUCUAAAGCAUACUUAUAAUAGAAUAAGGAAGUUUGCAAGACUAAAGGUAUUUAUUCACAUAGAACCAAGAAUAUGUAUGGUGAACCACAGGAGCAUUUUAUUAUAUAUUUUAGCAAGUUAUGUUUGAGCAUAGCAUAGGGUAGAAAUGACCAAGACAAAUUAGCAACAUGGUAUGAGAUGUUAUUGUAGUUACAUGUUGCAUGAGGCUUGGACAAACGUACCUCAUAUCUUCAUCUUUCUAAGUAAGUGAUGAUGAACUUACUUGGAAGAGGAGGGUUUGGGUUCAUCUGUUGGUGAGAGCUCCUCGUCUUGCUGAGCAAGGCCUUCCUUUUAUUCUUCGCCUUUCACCAUUCAAUGAAACUAUAGAAGAUUGCAUGCUCUUCACUCAUCAACCUUUUUCUGACUUCUUUGAUUAAUUUGCGGUUGAUGAGCUAGGGUCUUUCGGAGAUGCAAUAAUGUUCACUUGAAAACUUCUUCUCCAAUAGAUUAAGGUUGUUCUUUCCUGCAAAACGUUAAUGGACACAUACCCGAGGGAAUAACAAGAUUGAAAUACGGGUUUUGUUGUCCAUACUUUUUUUGUGAUUUUCUUCUAUGCUAAUUAAGAUGAUAUAUGGUUUAAGAUUAUUUAGCAUAAAUUGUGUCUAUUGUGUUUUAUGUUGUUGUUGCAAUCUACCAUGGUUCAAGGAAAAGAUAACUUGUAACAAAAGAUAAAUGGAUAAAUAUUACUACUCACAAGUUGAACUUUUUGUGCAAAGUUAUCAUCUGCCUUGAUUCAUCCUUGAUGUGAACUUAUAUCUUGACUUUCCCAGAUUUAAUUCAAAAUUUUCUUGUAGGGAUUAGUCCAACAAAAUAUUCAGUAUACACUACAACAUACUAUCGGCUCAAAAAUCAACCUAGAGACCACAUCUAAUUUGACUUAGGAAGGUAUUUUAAUCUGAGCUCAGUUUAAAAGCCUUUUAAAAGUAAAACCACUUCUCCAAAACUAAGCACCAUGCUUCAUUUAAGAGAUUUAUGAAAGUACUUCAAAGCCUAAACAUAUAUCAUAGCAAAUAAAGGUAACAUGAAAAUAUAGUAGAGAUUUAUUCAGAUAGAGAUAAAAGAGCAUGAUCAUGGUGAGUUUUUUAUAAUGCAUGUGAGAUGAAUAUAUGAAAUGGAACAAGUUAUGAGGAAAUUUAAAUUAAAUAGUCUGAAUAUAUGGAUUAAUGUAAACAUGCAGUGGAAUAUAAAAAUAACUACUCAUAAUUGUUGAAGUCCAUGAGCAAGACUUUCUCACCUUUAUUUGAUCAUACUUACCAUGACUCACAUUCUGGAAUUUGUGAGUGAUGCAACAUCUUUGUUCCCAUCACUUGAGAUAUGAAUUAAAGUCCUAUGACAUCGACCUCUUUCUCCAACAUUGGAUUUCUUCUUAUUUUGUGGGGGCAUGCUGGAAGGUCAUAAACCGGUUGUUUAUUACCCUGCAUAAGAUUAUAAAGUAGACAAACAAGGGUAAUCCUGCUUGAGCAGGGGUUAAUGGUUAUCUCAAUCACAUAAUUGAGUAUAAGUCUAUCAAUGUUCGCCUAGCUACCUUCCUCAGCAACGGUGCCAAAAAUGCUUGUUGGUAUAAAUUAACUGCACUCCUUUAAAUAAUAUUUAAGUAAGAUUAUCCGCAAGUGCACAGAUAUCGUACCAAUUUCACAUUUUACCCGGGGGUUUUAAAUAUCGUAUCCACAGGGAAGGUCUAUAUGUAGGACUUAUAACUAUAACUUCUACUAUUGGUGUGAACGAUAAACCAUAACUAAAAUUUUGCUCAUAAUAGGGAUAAGUCACUUGAUAAAAGAUAUAAGAUAAAUAAUGAUCAAUCAUCAUAAAUAGAUAAAUAUCAGAGUUCUUCUAGUCAUAGUAAUAACUAGCCAUUGGAUAAACUCAGGAAUAAAUACUAAGGUAAUUCUAUAACUACAUCAAUGAAUAACUCUAAUUAGUGCAAUUAUAUUUAGAAAUCAUUGUUAAGUCAACCCAUAAUUACAUGUAAAGAGACAUCAACUAAUGAGGGUUUUAAGACGCAACCGUCACCUCCUUCACGACCGCGCCCAAGCUUGCCCAACAUACGGGGGGUGGACUACAGAAGAACCAACGCAGCUGUCACCUACGCAGACUACAACAUGACCCGACACAUCAAGGUGCCCUCGUAGAUAAACAAGAUAUCUAGACACCACGUCUACAUAUUGUCUACCAUCUACCCACCAAUUGAUUGGGUAAACGCUAUACGAGCAAUUACAUGAAUUCAAUAAGAUCAAACCAACUAUUCUAGACAUAUAAUCAAAGUAGACAAUGACUAUUGCAAUUAAGAAUAUAUUAGAGAUUAAGAACAAUGUUGCCUAAAUCAUAAUAUUGAAUACAAUAAGAGAAAGGUACUACAACUAUACCGAACUCUGCGCUCUAGACAGACGCUAGGGGCUCCAGAUCCCGCUGAAGAACUAGAACUCUUCUACUUCUAAUCUAACUAGGCUAAAACUAUGAACUAGAGAGGUUCUGAUGAACUAGAGAAGGCUCUUGAUGGAUUGAUCUCCAAAUGACUUGAUGCCUCCAGGGAGGGGGUCUGCCCCUUUAUUUAUAGCCCGGUGGGAUUGACGUGCGCCGCAGGAUCAAACCGACUGAACCAAGGGCCAAGAUGACUCCUCGGAGGCGGUGGAGGAAGCUUCCAGAAGGGGGCCAAAACCCUAAUAGGGGGGCACCGACCGGUGCCAUGGUGGGGCCAGCCGGCCCCACCUGGUGGCCUCUGGCCCUCGGUUUCUUCUGGUGUCUUCCAGAGUCUUCCACGUCCCGUUCAUCAUCUUUUUUGUGGCGGAUAAGUUUUGUGGUAAAUAUGCACUUGAAUUCCUCUUUUCAGCUUUUCUGGAAAUAGACCCUAGAAAAUACAGAAUAUGCAAAAUUCGUGGAAAUUGUCAGUUCAAACCCUAGACUAGUGUGUUUUCAUGUUCUUCUUCGGGUUUAAAGUUCUAAUAAAAGUUGACGUUAUCGAACGUCAACAGUGUCCCUCUAUACUUCCUUCACACUUUGUAAUUUGCCAGACUUAAUUUCUAGUUGCUUUAAUUUUACUUUUUCAGCAGUCUCUUUAAAUAGACAUAAUUCUAAGUAAACAAAAUUCUUUCAGCAAAGUCAAUCGAUUCUGGAUAGGUCAAAACCUUAUCAGCAAAAACAACCGAUCCAUCACUUAGAUCUAUCACAACUACAGUUAAACAGAUUGGCUAUUUUAGUCAACCCAUGUUCCUCAUAUAACAGAGACAUUUUUGACUUAGCUGAUCCAUUUACCCCAAAUAGUGGAAAUGUCCUCAAUUUAGCUGAUCCACUCCUUCUAAGGAAUUAACUACAUGUUGUUCUGCCUUCUACUUAUCCCUUUAUAAAUAACACUGAUGCCCCCGAGGGGAAAAUCACUCAGCCCUUGGUCUUUCAUCUUCAUCCUCUCAACCUUCAAAUCAUCCAUCUUCCAUCAAACCCUAACUUAACCCAAUGGCGGAUAGUAGGAGCAAGCAUCCAGCAUCACCCUCCUCCGAGGAGGAGGUGAACUCCAUGCAGCGCCGGUGGUUGAACAGGUAUCCUAAAUAUUUCACCUUCUUCUUUCUUGAAUCAUUACCUAUUCUUUUACUCUUUUGUAGCCCUACCCCCCGAGCUAAUUUUGGGGCAGGCCCUAGUCAUUUGGCAAGGACAACAUCAGCAUUUUCUUUGCCUCAAGUAGCAGUAGCCUUUGAGGAGGCUGCUACAAACUAGGCAGCCAAAGCAAGCUAGGAGGUUUCAGAACCGCUUGGCCACGAAGACGCUCUGGGGCAUCUUUGACAAUGAGGACGCUUAGGAUUUCCUCCAAUGUCUUCACGAAGCCCAGAACCUCUACUCCGAGGAAUGCAAGAGGUCCCACUGUCUCCAAGAGAAGCUCUGAAAGGUCCUAUGGCUAGAGGGGGGGUGAAUAGCCUAUUUAAAAAAUCUACAAACUCACUAGAGCAAGAGGUUAGUAAAUAACAAAGCGUAGCUUUUUGCUCUAGAUCUAAAAGGGGUGUUUGCAAGCCACCUAUCCAAUAAUUCUAGUAGCUAUGAUCACUAUGCACACAAGCUCUAGGUCUUCUACAAGUUACACUAGUGAGCUUAACUACACAAGUCAAAACUAGCAACUAAAACAAGUUACACUACUUUGCGGUAAGUAAAAGGAGAGGAAAAGAUAUUUAUACUGCCGUGUAGGGGAUGAACCAAUCACCAAUAUAUCAACAAUCAAGCACCGGGAGAAUGCCAAUCAAUCACAAUUGAGACACCAAUUUUUCUCUCGAGGUUCACGUGCUUACCGGCACGCUACGUCCCCAUUGUGUCGACCAACACUUGGUGGUUCGGUGGCUAAGAGGUGUAGCACGAACCUCGUCCUCACUAGGACACCACAAGAACCUACCCACAAGUGAGGUAGCUCAAUGACACGAGCAAUCCACUAAUGUUGCCUUUGGCUCUCCGCCGAGGUAGGCACAAACCUCUCACAAUCACCGAGAGAUGGCCACGAACAAUCACCAACUCGUGCCAAAGCUCCUCCGCAGCUCCAAGCCGUCUAGGUGGUGGCAACCACCAAGAGUAACAAGCAAACCCGCUGCUCAACGAUCACUAGUGCCACUAGAUGCUCAAACUCUAAGCAAAUGCAACUAGGAUCUCUCCCAAUCUCACUUUGGAUGAACAAAUCUUGAACAAGGUGAGUGGGAAGUGUGGGAGUAUGCUCACAAGGUGUAUCAACAAGUUAGAGAGUCAAGAGGGUGAGCAAGAACCGGCCAAGGCUUAUUUAUAGAAGUCCCAACCUUCAACUAGCCGUUGACAGUUUAUCCCACAGUCUGCGUUCACACCGGACGCGUCCUAGUUCACACCGGAUGCGUCCGGUGCUCCUGACUGUUAAAAAAGGAGCCGUUGCCUCUGACACCGACAAGGCACCGGACGCUUGCUUUUGAAAUACCGGACGCGUCCGGUGUCACACCGGACCCAAACUCAGGGAGCGUCGCAAACUUGAGCCAACACCGGUCGCCACACCGGACGCACACACCGGACGCGUCCGGUGUGCACCGGACUCACACCCAGAGAGCUCUGCAGGAGGAGUUUGCACCGGACGCUAACUCGGACGCGUCCUAGUUCACACCGGACGCAUUCGGUGUGCACCGGACGCAAACUCUGAGAGUUUCACUGAGAAACGAACUCACCGGACGAGGCACACCGGACUCUACGCGAAAACUGUUUCCGCGUUCGGUGCCUCAACUCGCACGCGUCCGACCUCAUACCGGACGCGUCCAGCCUGAAAGCACUGCGCGAAAAGUUUCUCAACUUCUACCCUUGCUUCCAUGUGCCAACACCAAAGUGUCUCCACACUUGUGCACGUGUGUUAGCAUAUUUCAAAAACAUUUUUCAAGGGUUACUUAGUUAGCUCACUAGGUCCUAAUGCACAUGCAAGGAAUCCAAUCACCUAGUGUCACUUAGACAACCGUUUUCACAACGAGAUUACCCCUCUUAAUAGUACGGCUAUCUAUCCUAAAUGUGAUCACACCCUCUAUGGUGUCUUGAUCACCAAAACCAAAACCCUAAGCAAUACCUUUGUCUUGAUCUCCAUAGGGUUUUGUUUUUCUCUUUCUUCUUUUCCAAGUUUAGCACUUUAUCAUCUUGUGGUCAUCACCAUCAUCACCAUGAUCAUUACUUGCUCCAUCACUUGGCAUGUACCAACCUCAUUAAGUCUACACACACUUAGUAUAGAGGUUAGUGCUAGGGUUUCAUCAAUUAUCCAAAACCCAACUAGGGCUUUCAAUCUCCCCCUUUUUGGUAAUUGAUGACAACCCUUUUUCCAAAGAUUUUCAAUAAAAUUUUCUUGGAUUCAUGUUGCUUGCCCAAGCAUUUACCAUGUGCAAAGGUUAUGGACAAGUUUCAUAAGCCCAAAUUAGUAGCAAUUGCUCCCCCUACAUAUGUGCUAAGAGUUUGGAUUUGAAAGCUUGCACAUAUGCUUGAAUAGGAAAAAAUAGGAGUCAAUUUCUACCAAAUGAUGCUAAGGUGUAAAGAAUAGACCUUUGAAGCGUGAUACCAAUCGGAGUUGCCAAUGUAUGCCAUCCUUAGCACCAUUAGUAACUAGACAUUCACAAAACUAGAACACCUCGUGAGAUCAACAUUAUAAACAAGAUUCUAGUACCACUUGUGAAACAACGAAAAGUCUAGUUACACUAUCUAUGCAUGCUAGUUCUUCAUUUCAUCAAUCAAGCCUACAACUAGCAUACACCACACAAGCAAAGUAUCGGAGAGAAAGCUUCUAAAGCUAAAUGCAAAUGCAAGCAACCAUAUGUGAUGCACCUACAAAUGCAACAUACAAGUUUAUGAGCUUGCUCCCCCUACUUGUGUGCUUCAAAAUUUUAAUUGAUCCCCUUCCUUUAUCAUGUUACCUUCUUUUAUCAUGUUACUCCCCUAUCUUUAAUCUUUGGGAAAUUCUCUCCCCCUUUGUCAUCAAAGACCACAAAAGUUGAGCUCAAAUUUUAGAAAGGUUAGUGUGAAACCAUGUGGAGUGAGAUCAUUUCCCCAAAUUGGUCCAAUCUAGAUUACUUGCCUAAGAUAUUUAACUCGGUUUGAUCCAAGGACAAGCUUCUUCACACCUCCAAAUAAGGGUUAUCUUGUACCAUGUUGAGUUAAACACUUAUAGCUCAUAUUCUAGAUCAAACACUAGGAUUGCAAGCCCACAAACAUGUCAUAUGCUACCACUAGAUCAAGUCAAGCAUAAAAGCAAUAGUGGUACCAUACAAGCAUCAAAUUCAUUUGAUUUUCAUGAAUGAUCCUAAGAUAUGUAAGGAAUGACUAGAUGCACUAAGCAAGUCCUUAGCAUAGGAUGAAUGACAUGUCAAUCAAUUUUACCUUGCUUUGCUCGAAGGAGAGGUAUGUCAUAUAGUGGGGGUGCAUCAACACAUAUUUGAGAAGUCAAGUAUGUUCAAUUCAUUCCUUAGCUUGCAAAAUCUCUUCUCAUCAAGUGGCUUGGUGAAUAUAUCGACAAGUUGAUCAUCAGUGCCUAUACUCUUAAUGCAAAUGUCCUCUUUUUGUUGGUGAUCUCUUAUGAAAUGAUGGCGGACAUCUAUGUGCUUUGUUCUUGAGUGUUGAACCGGACUGUUGGUGAGUUUUACGGCACUUUCAUUGUCACAUAGCAAUGGCACUUCUUUGAAACUGAUUCCAAAGUCCUUCAAUGUUGCCUUCAUCCAUAGAAUUUGUGCACAACAACUAUCGGCCGCAAUGUACUCCACUUCGGCGGUUGAUAAUGCAACACUAUUUUGCUUCUUGGAUGACCAUGAGACAAGUGAUCUUCCCAAUAGUUGACAUGUGCCCGAUGUGCUUCUUCUCUCAACUUUGCAUCCCGCAUAGUCCGAAUCGGAAUAUCCAACAAGUUCAAACUUUGCACCUUUGGGAUACCAUAAACCAACAUUUUGUGUAUGCUUCAAGUACCUCAAUAUUCUCUUUGUUGCUUUCAAAUGACUUUCUCUUGGUGAGGCUUGGAAUCUUGCACACAUGCAUACACUAAACAUGACAUCCGGUCUUGAUGCGGUCACAUAGAGUAGGCUUCCAAUCAUAGACCGAUACAACUUUUGAUCCACCAUAUUUCCACUUGUAUCACUAUCUAGGCUUCCAUUUGUUCCCAUUAGAGUGCUAAUUGAUUUUGCAUCAUCCAUACCAAACUUCUUGAGCAUGUCUUUUAUGUACUUGCCUUGACUCACAAAUGUGCCAUUCUUCAAUUGCUUAAUUUGAAGACCAAGGAAGUAACUAAGCUCUCCAAUUAUUGACAUCUCAAAUUCAUUAGCCAUCAUGUUGCCAAACUCUUCACAAAAUUCUUGAUUGGUUGAUCCAAAUAUGAUAUCAUCAACAUAUAUUUGCAACACAAACAAGACCUUGCCAAUCUUCUUGGUGAAGAGAGUGGUGUCAACCUUGCCCAUAUUGAAACCUUUAGAGAGUAAGAAGUCUCUCAAUCUCUCAUACCAUGCUCUUGGUGCUUGCUUCAAACCAUACAAUGUCUUUCUAAGCUUGUAAACAUGGUUGGGUUUCUUGUCAUCUUCAAAACUGGGAGGUUGCUCAACAUAAACUUCUUCAUUGAUAUAGCCAUUGAGAAAAGCACUCUUGACAUCCAUUUGGUAUAGCUUGAUAUUAUAAGCACAAGCAUAGGCCAACAAGAUCCUAAUUGCUUCCAAUCUUGCAACCGGGGCAUAUGUUUCACCAAAGUCAAGACCUUCAACUUGAGUAUAGCCUUGUGCUACCAAUCUUGCUUUGUUCCUUACAACUAUCCCAUCUUGAUCUUGUUUGUUGCGAAAGACCCAUCUGACAUUAUGAUCACUAGGCCUCUCAACUAAUUCCCAUACUUGAUUUCUCUUGAAGUUAUUAAGCUCUUCAUGCAUAGCAUUAACCCAAUCAACAUCUCUCAAUGCUUCAUCAAUCUUCUUUGGCUCAAUGUGAGACACAAAGGAGAAAUGCUCACAAAAUGAUGCUAGUCUUGAUCUAGUUUGCACUCCUCUUUGAAUGUCACCUAUGAUAUGAUCCAAUGGAUGAUCUCUUGCAAUGUUUGUUGGUUGGAGUAUUUGCACUUGAUUGCUUGAACUUGGUUGAUCAUGAGAUGAUGUACUAGCUUGUUGAUCUUGCACUUGAGUACCACUUGUACUAGCUUGAUUUUGAUCACUAGUUUGCACAUUAGAGGUAGGGAGCACUUGAUCUUUGUCAUCUUCAACAUCAAUCACCUCUCUAGGCCUUAAAUCACCAAUAUCCAUAUUUUUCAUUGCAUCGGCCAAUUGAGUGCCUCUCACAUCAUCUAGAUUCUCAUCUUCCUCUUGAGAGCCAUUUGUUUCAUCAAACUCAACAUCAUGCACCUCCUCAAGAGUACCACUAGCCAAAUUCCAAACUCUAUAAGCUUUGCUAGUAGUGGAGUAACCAAGCAAGAAACCUUCAUCACAUUUCUUUUCAAAUUUACUCAAUCUAGUGCCUUUCUUCAAUAUGUAGCAUUUGCAACCAAAAACCCGAAAGUAUGCAAUAUUGGGCUUUCUUCCAUUCAAGAGCUCAUAUGGUGUCUUUUCCAUCAUUGGGUGACAAUAGAGUCGGUUGCUAUAGUAGCAAGCCGUGUUGAUUGCUUCGGCCCAAAAAGAAUGACUCACAUUGUAUUCACUCAACAUUGAUCUUGCCAUGUCAAUCAAUGUUCUAUUCUUCCUCUCAACAAGACCAUUUGAUUGUGGAGUGUACUUGGCCGAGAAUUGAUGCCUAAUACCAAAUUCAUCACAAAGCUCAUCAACUCUUGUAUUCUUGAAUUCACUUCCAUUGUCACUUCUCACUUUCUUGAUGGUUGUUUCAAACUCAUUGUGUACUCUCUUGACAAAUGAUUUGAAGGUUGCAAAGGCAUCACUCUUGUCACUAAGAAAGAAUACCCAUGUGUAUCUUGUGAAAUCAUCCACUAUCACAAAUCCAUAUUUGUUUCCACCAAUGCUUGUGUAUGUGGUUGGUCCAAAUAAGUCCAUGUGCAACAACUCAAAUGCCUUGCAUGUACUCAUGAUGCUCUUCUUUGGCUGAGUGUUGCCAACUUGUUUUCCGGCUUGACAUGCACUACAAAGCUUGUCUUUCUCAAAUGUGACAUCUUUCAAGCCUCUAACAAGAUCAUGCUUGACUAACUUGUUUAAUUGUUUCAUUCCAACAUGACCAAGCCUUCUAUGCCAUAACCAACCCAUGCUAGAUUUAGUGAGCAAGCAUGUUGACAAUUGAGCUUCACUAGCAUUGAAAUCAACCAAGUAUAGAUUCUCAUAUCUAAAGCCUUUGAAUAUCAAGUUUGAGCCAUCUACACUUAUGAUCUCUACAUCAUCAACUCCAAAGAUGCAUUUGAAACCAAGAUCACAAAGUUGAGCUACGGAUAGCAAGUUGAGUUCAAGCUCUCUACUAGUAGCACAUUGGAAAUGCUCAAAUCAUUGGAUAUAGCAAUUUUACCAAGCCCUUUGACCUUGCCUUUGCCAUUAUCACCAAAUGUGAUACUAUCAACUCCAUUGUCAUCAUUUGGAUUGAUUGAAUUGAACAUUCUUGAAUCACCGGUCAUGUGUUGUGUGCACCCACUAUCAAGCACCCAAUGCCUUCCUCCGUCUUUAUAGUUUACCUACAAAACAAAUCAAUGUUUCUUAGGUACCCAUACUUGUUUGGGUCCUUGGAGGUUAGUGACUAAGCUUUUUGGUACCCAAAUGGCCUUCUUCUUUGGACCCACAAUUGGUGUACCAACAAACUUAGCAUGCACACCCUUCUCACCCUUGGUAAGCACAUAACAAGAAUCAAAAGGAAUGUAAGGUACAUUAGCAUUUUUCUUGUUCUUGUUCAUUUUAUUGCAAUUAAGCUCUAGGUGCCCAACUUGCUUGCAUUUGUAGCAAUACCGACCAUUGCUCUUCACAAAGCUAGGCUUGUGAGUUGCAAAGGCUUUCUUGCCCUUCUUGGGGGUAUAGCCUAAUCCCUCUUUGUUGAGAGAAAACCUUUGGCUACCCAAGCACUUUAGCAAGCGGGCCUCACCACCAUAGGCCUUGCCUAGGGCAUGAGUGAGCUCAUCCACCUCUCUCUUGAGAGUCUCAUUCUCAACCUUUAGUGAAGCAUCACAAGUGACACUAACACUAGAAGUGGAGGUAGAGUUGGUGGUGGUGGAUGAAGACCUACAAGAAGUGUUAGUGCCAACAGCAAUAGGUAGGUUGAGUGAUUCUUUAAUUAAGUCACAUGUUGUUCCCACAUCACAUGAUACAACAACCUUUUCCUUGUUCUCUUCUAACAACAAGGAGUGAGCUUUCUCAAGCUUGGUGUGAGCCUUACCAAGCUUCUCAUGGGCUUCCACUAGCCUCUCAUGAUUAGCAUUGAGCUCAUCAAAGGAUUGCUCAAGAGCUUUUAACUUCUUGGCCAAUUCUUUGCACUUCUUGUUUUUAGAUUGAAUGAGAGAAUCGGCUUGUUCUAACAUGUCCAUGAGUUGUUCAUUAGUGAAUUCAUUUUCAUCAUCACUAUCACUAUCAUGUUCACGUUCAGUUUCACUUUCACUCUCAUCAUGUUCUACCUUGUGGCCCUUGGCCAUGAAGCAUGAAGGAGUGUCGAAGAGUGAUGGCUUGUUGUUGAUAGCAAUGCUAGCAAGUGCCUUCUUCUUGGAUGCUUUGUCAUCAUCACUUGAAUCAUCAUCCGAAGAGGCAUCACUAUCCCAUGUCACAACAUAGGAUCCACCCUUCUACUUUUUCUUGAAGACCAUCUUCUUCUCUUUCUUUUCUUUCUUCUCCUUCUUGUUCUUCUUCUCAUGCUCAUCAUGAUCACUAUUGUAUGGACAAUCCGCCACAAUAUGAUCGGGGCUUUUGCACUUGUAGCAUAGCCUCACAUGCUCCUUGUUCUUGAAGUGAUCUCUUCUCUUUCUUGUGUGAUACCCCUUCUUCUUCAUCAUCUUGCCAAACAUGCGGACAAAGAGUGCUAGUGCUUCAUCAUCACUAUCAUCAUUGCAGCACUCCUCAUCACUUGAUUCUUCCUUCUUGGCCUUUCCCUUGUUCUUGCUCUUGGAAGAAGAGCUAGUUUUGAAUGCUACACUCUUCUUCUUCUUGUCAUCAUCAUCCUUUUUCAUGACCUCAUCAUCAUCAUUGUCAUUGUAUUGAUCUUCGGUCAUGACAUCUCCAAGUACCUCAUUGGGAGAUACACCGGUCAAUCCAAGUCUAAAGAUGAUUGUUCUCAAUGUCUUGAAUCUCUUGGGCAAGCACAUUAAGAACUUGUGAAUGAAAUCCUCAUCCUUCACUUUCUCACCAAGGCCCUUGAGAUCAUUGAUGAUGACUUGGAGCCUAUAGAACAUCUCCGGAAUUGACUCAUCAUCCUUCAUCUUGAAGUUUGAAAGCUUGUCCUUGAGCAUGUAUAACUUGGCACUUUUUACCGUUGUAGUGCCCUCAUAUGUUUCUUCUAGUCUUGUCCACACUUCACUUGCCUUCUUAAGAUCUUUGACUUGUUCAAAUACUUUUGAAUCAAUGCCAUUGUAUAUUGCGUUGAGAGCCAUAGUAUUGCAUUGCUUGUUUGCUCUCUCAUUGUCGGUGGGGUUAGCUGGAUCAAGAAUCACAAAGUCAUUUUCGGUGACUUCCCACACUCUAUCAUUUAUUGAUCCAAGAUACAUUUUCAUCUUUCUCUUCCAAUAGUCAAAAGAACUUGUGCCAUCAAAGAACGGUGGUUUGCCCCCAACAUGGUUGAACACUAUUUGAGCCAUAAUUUGAGCACCGAGGUUGUUAAGCCUUCACAAAUGGUGACCACGGCUCCGAUACCACUUGAAAGGUCCUAAUAUGGCUAGAGGGCGGGUGAAUAACCUAUUUAAAAAACCUACAAACUCACUAGAGCAAGAGGUUAGUAAAUAACAAAGCGUAGCUUUUUGCUCUAGCUCUAAAAGGGGUGUUUGCAAGCCACCUAUCCAAUAAUUCUAGUUGCUAUGAUCACUAUGCACACAAGCUCUAGGUCUUCUACAGGUUACACUAGUGAGCUUAACUACACAAGUCAAAACUAGCAACUAAAACAAGUUACACUACUUUGCGGUAAGUAAAAGGAGAGGAAAAGAUAUUUAUACCGCCGUGUAGGGGAUGAACCAAUCACCAAUAUAUCAAAAUCAAGCACCGGGAGAAUGCCAAUCAAUCACAAUUGAGACACCGAUUUUUCUCCCGAGGUUCACGUGCUUGCCGGCACGCUACGUCCCCGUUGUGUCGACCAACACUUGGUGGUUCGGUGGCUAAGAGGUGUAGCACGAACCUCGUCCUCACUAGGACACCACAAGAACCUACCCACAAGUGAGGUAGCUCAAUGACACGAGCAAUCCACUAAUGUUGCCUUUGGCUCUCCACCGAGGUAGGAACAAACCUCUCACAAUCACCGGGAGAUGGCCACGAACAAUCACCAACUCGUGCCAAAGCUCCUCCGCAGCUCCAAGCCGUCUAGGUGGCGGUAACCACCAAGAGUAACAAGCAAACCCGCUGCUCAACGAUCACUAGUGCCACUAGAUGCUCAAACUCUAAGCAAAUGCAACUAGGAUCUCUCCCAAUCUAACUUUGGAUGAACAAAUCUUGAACAAGGUGAGUGGGAAGUGUGGGAGUAUGCUCACAAGGUGUAUCAACAAGUUAGAGAGUCAAGAGGGUGAGCAAGAACCGGCCAAGGCUUAUUUAUAGAAGUCCCAACCUUCAACUAGCCGUUGAUAGUUUAUCCCACAGUCUGCGUUCACACCGGACGCGUCCUAGUUCACACCGGACGCGUCCGGUAUGAGCCAGACCAGCGUCCGGUGCUCCUGGCCGUUAAAAAAGGAGUCGUUGCCUCUGACACUGACAAGGCACCGGACGCUCGCUUUUAAAAUACCAGACGCGUCCGGUAUGCACCGGACCCAAACUCAGGGAGCGUCGCAAACUUGAGCCAACACCGGUCGCCACACCAAACGCACACACCGGACGCGUCCGGUGUGCACCGGACUCACACCCAGAGAGCUCUGCAGGAGGAGUUUGCACCGGACGCUAACUCGGACGCGUCCUAGUUCACAUCGGACGCGUCUGGUGUGCACCGAACGCAAACUCCGAGAGUUUCACGGAGAAACGAACUCACCGGACGAGGCACACCGGACUCUACGUGAAAACUCUUUCCGCGUCCGGUGCCUCAACUCGGACGCGCCCGCCCACCCCCCUUGGGCGCCCGCCCAGGUGUUUCCACCAAUCACAGAAUGGAGUACACCAUUGCAAUGAUCUCGUCGAGCUGAUCGAAAUGCAUAUAUUACUUGCUAUAUUUGGAGUUCGGAAUCAAAAGAUAUUAAUAAAAGAAGGACUCCACAUAAAAGAGCUGCGGGAUUAAUUGGGCCCAAAUCAGAUUUUGGUCCAUUAAGGCCUAUGUGCAUUUUAAUGAGAUAUGGUGGAAAGUUUAGUACCACAUCGCCUGCUGAACCAAAAACGCACAGAGGAGGAGGACUAUAUAAGCAAGGCCCCUGGCCCCUGGAGAAGACAAGAAAUUAUCAUAGAGAUUGAGGGGUGCCCUCGAAGGAAAACCUCUUCUCUAAAUAAUAUUUCUUUUUAGGCUUAGCAACCAAUGUAAAGUAGAAAUAGGUCUUCUAGUUUCUACUAGAUUGAGAGAGAUAGAGUGGAGGUGUGGAUCGGAGGAAGGCCGGCCUGUCGGUGUCUACUCCGAGUUGUACCUGCGGGAUCAAGUCUCCUAACCCGAGGCUUGCUUCUAAGAUUCUUCAGUAAUUCGACUUCUAAUACUAGUAAGUUCUUGUUUUAUUGUUCUUUGGUUUAUGAGUUUACUUUAAUCCUAUUCCGGUUGAGUAUUAGAGUAAUCACUUGCUAGCGUAAACGUGGUGUUUAGGCUAGGGUACUCAUAGAUAUCCCCUAACUAGCUAGACCGUGGUAGUAGCGAGGAACGUGACAUUUCCGAGUUACCUUUGCAGAUCACAUCUCGUUAGCAGGACGGGUAGGUUUAUAGGUGCGGGUCGAACAUCCUUUGUGUUGUCUAGAUUCCGUGAGCCUCCUCAAUAGAACAGUAGAUCAUCCUUACCAAGGUUGGAACGAGACUACGGUUGCAGUCUUCUCUAUACAUCACUCACAUCGAGAGACAUUCUUUGUAGCCUAAAGGGAUAGUAGCAAUAGAUUUGGUUAGUCAGAUGCACCCUUUCUCCCAGUGGUAAAAAUAUAAAUACGAUAACUCUAGAUAACCUCCCGGGUGAAAUGCUCACCGAUAUCCGUGCGCUUGCGGAUCAUUUUCUUAUUGCGUUACCAAAUAUCAACAAGCAUUUCUGGCGCCGUUGCCGGGGAGAAAGACGGUUUGCUGAGAUAACUUUGAGUCUUGCUAUUAUCUUGUAUUAUACUUUUAUUCUUUUAUCUUUUUAUUUUUAUCUUUAUGGAUAACUUAAAUUCCAUACCUAUUAUUGAAUUUUUGCACCUUCGGAGACCAGCCAUAGACCAUGGGAGUCAACAAGUCCUGCCCCUAAUUAUGAUCUAUGUCCGGAGUUGAUUGCAAUAGGUCAAAACCAACCCUUUUCUAUAGCCGAGGUCCUAUCUUUUAAUCAAGAAGAUAAUGCACUUUUAGCUACACCUAGGGAAUCUUUUAAUCUUUCUAUAAAUUCUGGUUUAAACCUAGCCCUACAAGACCAUGUUUUUUCUAGAUAUUUUCACAUUGGUCUUAAUCAAUAACCUUUGGUAGAGUCCUUCUUUCUUUAUCUAUUAGUAAAGGAAGGUAUGUCUUCAUUCGUGAACAUCCUUCUUGUACUAGUCUUUAUAGAAAAAUCUUAGAGAUAGAGAAGGAAUCAUCUCCCAUACAAGAAGAGGAAGUUUCAAUAACCGAUUUCCAAACAUUUCAAUCCCAUAAUUCGGCUAUCCAACCCAUCCUAGAGUUUAAUAAAUUCUACUAUGCUCUUUCUCUUGAACCUCCCGAUAAUCCUGUGAAUCUCUCUAGACAUCCCAUGCAUAAGGAGGAUCGAGAAGAGCAACAUCGAUGGCUGGAGGGCAUUAAAAAUCCAUGUGCUGUCACCAUUGAAUGGAUAGAUAAAACAAACUUGAGAGACAAUCCUAGAGGAAUUUUAAACAUUCAUGAAGAAUCAUCCUUGGAGUUUGAGAAUGAGAGAAAUAACAGUGAGCAUGGAAGUUAUUUCAUAAAUACCUUACCAAGUCCUUGCUCAUAUAAAACAUCUCCCCAAUCAAUCGGUCUCUCCAUCAUCACCACAUUUGAGAUCUCCAACCCCCUCUUCCUUUUUAUUUAUAAAAACUUUAAAAGGGCGGUUGUCGAUGCAUAUGUCUAUAAUAAAUAUUGCAGAUCUCGUUGAGUUGAUCUUGAUAUAGGUAGGUGUUGGAGGGGAAACCACUUUACCAACAUAACUUGAUGGUUUUCCAAGGAUAAGCUUAGCGUCCUUAAACGAGCACUUAUCAGAUCGUAACAUGAACUUCUAAUUAUUUGCAACAUUGCCUUGUGUAUUGAGCAUAUUGAGAUAAUUAUAGAAAUAUUCCUUCGGGUAUUCUUGCCACUAACCUUUCCAGGAUUGGAGCAAGAAGAUCGGAUGAAUGACAAGCGCAAGGUAUGCCCAACCAAUCAUCAUGUAACAUUAAAUUAAAUUCAUCCAAUCUUGAAUUUUGCAAAAUUCAAGCUUGGGGGAGUACUUUACAUAAAACAUCCUUUGCCAUGCUGCUAUAUUGGUUGUCCUUACCUUUGAGACAUGCUCAAUUUGUUAAAUACUAAUCACACUACUUCAUCUCCACUUGAGUAGAUCUCUAUAAAAGCCAUCAUGCUACCUUUGUUUAUCCUAGUAAGUGUUAGUUUGGAAGUACUGGACACACUUCCAAUGGCAUUUAACUUAAGCGUGGUGCUUAGGUUAAACAGCCUUCCUUAAUCUGAUUAGACAUGGAGUCUAGUUUGGUUACUGAACUAAAAACUGCUUGAGUAGAUAUUGGUAUAUUUUGUGGGACUAACCCCUGCAGGAGAACUUUCAAUAUCAACCUGGGAAGUCCUGAGAUAAACUCACAUUGGAGAUGAAGAAAGUGACACAUGAAGUUUAACAAUUUGCACAAGAAAGACGUAGCUCAUAAGACAUGAUUCAUGGAGGGUGCCACAAACACGAUGCACAACCACUAAGAAAGGAAAGCUUCCACAAGGUGAUACUAUACCAUCACUCUUCAAUAACAUCUUAAAGUACUUGAUUAUCACUUUUAUAAGUUCUCCUUGGUUCUGGCAUACACAUGAAUAAAAGAGACAAACAUGUAUGAUUUAUAACUCCAAAUUAACCAACUCAAUUAAUUCAGCAUGUUUAGUCCUUUAAUCUUUGUUCUUAGUACUACCUUCGUGAUCCCACACUCCUAAUCAUAUAAGCUAAAGUAUUGCACAUUCAAUCUUUGGAAGAUAUAAACAAAACAUAAAUAUAGAUAGAUUAUAUUUCCAUUAGGUUGAGCCAUUUGAUCUAACAAAUGUUUUAAAUGCUACACUCAUGAUCCAUCAACUUUGCCUUGCUCACUAUGCUUAAGGUUAGAGAAGAACAAAUACACUUUUGGUUCUGUUGGUGUUUUCCACCAACAGGGCCCAUGCACUUGAUCUCUGCCUUGUCUCCAUGAAUAGGUACACUUCAAACAAAACAUGGAGGAGUUUUACAACUCCCAGAUUCCACUAAGUGAAGAACCGGGAUCUACGAGCACAAACACAAUGGAGAUCAGACACUUAGUUUCCCAAAGGAAAUAUUGAAGAACCUCUGUGUCCGAGUUGGUACCUUGUACGCUCCAGCAAACUUCGUGGUGAUAGAGACUGGUACUGAGGAGAGGGCACCCAUCAUCUUAGGGAGGCCAUUCCUAAACACCAGAGCAGUCAUCUACGCUAAUGCUGCCAAGAUCAGUCUCUACAUCAAGGGGAAGAAGGAGACUUUCCUUCAAGAACAAGACUACACAAGCUUCAGAGCAAACCCGACAUGAACCAAGGAAGAGGACCAACAGGAGGAACAGGAACAAGCAAAUGUGGACUGAGUCAGCUAAGAUGGUCACUGCAGUUCAAAGAGGUCAAGAUCGUCGACUCAAGUCGCCAUUUCUGAUCAAGAAGGACAACCCUGGUGUUCCAAGUAUUGAGUGCACAAUCAACAGAUACUCUUUUUAGAAGACACUCUACGACACCGGAUCUGAUGUCAACAUAAUGGCCGCAGUCACUUAUCAGCUCCUGCAUGGAACCAUGCUCCUACAACCAGCAUACAUUCAGCUCCAGAAAAUUUUCAGGUCAUUGACAUGGGAGAAGACGAGUAUGAUCCACCGACCAUCCUUGGAAGACCGUUCCUCAACACUAUCAAAGCCAUCAUCUAUAUUGGAACCGGAGAAGUCCACAUGCACUUCCUCUCUGAGAAGGUACGCCACUACUUUAAUGAUUCUAACUAUAUAGUUGAAGAUUCUAAGCAGGUCAGGACAAGAAGAAGACAACGCAACCGCAACCAGAGGAGGCAGAUCAUCAAGGACGGAUGGGUAGACUACGAAGGAGAAGUGAUAAGGUCUGAACACAUACGGCUUGAACAGAACUGUCCUGAGGAGACCGUAGCACCGAGUCAGGUGUGGAGAGAGAAGAUAGUUAUACACGACAAAGAGGCGCCGCCGGAAUCACCGACUACGCCACCUAGCGAAUCCCAGGACGACUAAGAAAACGGAGAGUCCCGUUCGGAGGACUUAAAAAUACCGAACGCCUUGCCAAGAGGUAAACUUGGUAGUUAUCCUUUUCCAUUCAAUAGUUUGCUUAGUUAAGCAGGUUCAUGCUAUCUUGAAAAGAAAAUAAAUGUUAAAAAAUAGUAAGCCCCAUGUGAGUAUGCUCAUGGCAUAAAACCCAUAAGUACAUUCACUGUGGUGGCAUGAAAAUAAAAUAAAUAAGUUUUCAUCUUACAAUAAAAAUAUAAAAAUAAUAAGUGCAUGAUCCUGCUAAAUAAGUAAUAUUGAGGAGGCUCAACAUGAUAAAGGCUAGAUAUUUAUGCUAACACUUAACCAGUUCCACAAAGCUUUGUUGUCUAUUUGAGCUCCACAGAAUUCAAGGAUCAAAGAAGACUAGCAGACAGAGGACAUCCUAAUCACUGUCGGGGUGCUGUCGACUUUCAAAUACACCUCCAUCACCUGCUAGCUACAUCAGAAGAAAUUACGUCAAAAUUCAGCUUGGGGGAGAGCACCCCCAUUUAUCUCGCUAAGUAUUUCUACCUAUCUUUAUACUUAUAUUAUGUUAGAAUAUUAAAAUACAUAAACUAUGAAAAAACCAAAUAAAGAUUUUGUGCUUUUAUAUAUAUAUCUUUGCUUAGUUUGCUAAAUAAAUAAAUAAAUAAAAUUUGCUAUGAACCCUCAUGAUAAGCUCUCUCAUGGAAAUGAUGAAUAGUUGCUCUGCCAUGACUAGUUCUUAAAAUUGAAAUCUCUCUCAAGUUUAGGCAUAACUGUUAUAAUUUAAAGCUUGCUCUAAACCUAAACUUGUGGGAAGAGUACUUGAUCUAAAGUCUAAGUCGUUAACGGAUAUGAUAUGGGAAGGUUGAGCUGCUGUUUAUCUGUUCCUAGAGAUGCUAGAAUUCUGGAGAAUUUUAUCUUUGAAAAAAUCUUUAAAAUAACACAUGAUGAGUUCCUGUAUGAUGAGAGUUUAAAAUCCUACCACAGCCAUAUAUACAUGCUUGCUAGACUUUGAGCCACGUAUUUACUUUUUACUGCUUAUGAGCAUUGAGUGUGGUCAAGCUGUGUAGACCCUUAGGAGCUUGUCAUAUGGUUAAAAUCAAGAUUCACUUGCACGUUCACUCAUACAUGCUACUUCUACUCCGAAAGUACGCAUCCACAUACAUCCACUCAUUUCCAUCUCCACAUUCACCCGAAAUUAUUCUACUCCUAAUCCGGGAGAGAAUAGCCAAAAACAUUUUCCUAUACCUGUUAUUCCCUGUGAAAUAAAUGCUCCAGUUAUUUUGGUUACUACCACUUGCUAUAUUAUUUCAGGAGAUGAGUGCUCUAAAAAAAAGAGAAGAAAAAAAAAAGAAAAAAAAUAUAAUAAAUAAUAUACGAGGAAAUAAAAAGAGGCAAGUGCCCGGAACCUCGAAGAAAAGAAAAAGUGAGACGAGAGGUAAAAAUGGACAAGUGUCCGACAGUAGAAUUAGGGGUACAAGAUACCACCUGAGAGGAAAGAAAAAGAAAAUAUAGAGCAUCUCAUUCUCCCCAAAAAGCUUCAAGUGCAAGAAAGGUAUGUAUCCCCUCAAAAGAGCAAAAGUAGAAUUAGACUUUCACCAUUAUUAUCACCAUCAUCACCAUACACCAUUCAUUCGCCACACAUGCACAUCUUGAUUUGACUUAUUGACUUGUUCUUCUGGAUCCAUGGUUUGACUAUGCAAUAAAUGUCUUGUAAGUAUGUAUUAGUUGUCUCCCACCUAUGAGCUCCAGAUAUCAGAACUUUAUUAGAGUAGGGUGAGAGAGAAGGCAAUAUCACUAUGCCUCAUACCAAAAAUACCACAUACUUUGAGAGAAGGCAUAUACCAUUACUGCCUUGGUAAGGAUCCAUAAAUACCACAAAAGAGAGAUCUGAGAGAGUCAUAUAAGGAAUCUCUGAGUUUUAUUUGAAAAUCUGCAAAAAACCCCAGAGCUAUAGCUGAUCAAGAAUAAGAGACAUGGCGCUUGACUUGACCGUUCUAUCUUUUAACUGCUCAAGACACAAGUGAUAGUUACAAGCCCCAUGGUGAAAGGUAAAAUGAGUAAGUUUUAAGUCUUAACAGUUUAUUCUAACUCAAAGAUGAGAUCUUGCUUGAAUGCGUGUGUACUUUUAAGAAAUGAAACCACUGCAGAAACUCUUGAGUUCAUCCUUGCUCAGGGACGAGCAAGAGGUAAGCUUGGGGGAGUUUGUUGAUGGUCCUUAAGUAUCAAAUUUAAUUAUCAAAUAAACAAAGAAAAGGAUCCAAAUGAAAUCAACAUCUAGACUUAGGGUUUUAUCUGACAGAAUUCCACGAGUUUUGGUGUUUGUCUAUUUCUGUAGGGGGUUAUCAGAAAAUAAGGAAGAAAGGCCCACACGUUGGGAUUACAUAGAGAUAUUAAUGUGCCGCACAAUUUUCUAUCAUCUAGAAGACUCCAGAAGCCACGGGAACGAACGAGAAGGCAAACGGGCCCGGGGGCAGGGCGCCCGCCCACCCCCCUUGGGCGCCCGCCCAGGUGUUUCCACCAAUCACAGAAUGGAGUACACCAUUGCAAUGAUCUCGUUGAGCUGAUCGAAAUGCAUAUAUUACUUGCUAUAUUUGGAGUUCGGAAUCAAAAGAUAUUAAUAAAAGAAGGACUCCAC
rnacentral:lncRNA from 1 species